UGUGCUAGUGAAGAACUUCAGGUUUUAUUCUUGAUUAGCUCUUGAGACUUUCAAGACCUUUAAGACUCCCACUGUCCUCUUGACAUAUAAGACUUUCUUGUCAGAUAUUCAAGAGAUAGUGUGGAUUCUAAUCAAGACAAACACUUCACACAAUUGGCCUUAGUUGGUCUUUGUUUUAUCCAAAACAUCACAACUUACCAAUUUCAAAUGUACAAGAGUAGAAAAAUUUUACUCUUACAUUUGACAAGUGUUUUAAACCUUCUUUAAGACAUGUCACUCAAGUUACAUUCUUAGAGUAUAACUCUAAGAAUUGUUUUUUGGAACGAAGUAUGAAUCAUCUUCUUGAUUUAACCACUUCAACAAUUCAUAAAUCCUCUUCUUAACUAUUAGAAUACACUUAGAGGAUGAAUUAUCAUAAGGUCUCUUAAUCAUUAAGAUGAUCACAAAAAACUGAUACUAAAGUACUCCCCCAUCUUGCCAGAUUUGAGAAACUUUUAUCCUUCUGCCUAAUUUGCUUCUUCUUAUUUGCUCUGCCAUAUAUUGGAUCUUUUCCAAUGUUUCAGAACUUAUACUUAAGCUUGUAAGAAUAACCAUAUUUACUAAGCUAUAUUAAAUUAUGACGAAUAGUCUUAUCGAUCUUUUGUGGUGGACUUAACCAGUGCACAAGAAUGUGUACUCAUUCCCUUAGUCCUUUACUUGACUCACACAUCCAUGUGAACAAGUAGUUAGUCUUAAUUUUCAAAUGCUUGAAAGUUCUCAUUCAUUAUGCUAUACAACUUGCAUGAUUCCAAGUUUCUAUCCAACUGAAACUUGGGUGAUGAGAAUCUUUCCUUAUUUGGUAAAUUUAGACAUUACCACAAAUGAAAGAAUCAAAUUCACUUUCCAAUAUUGCUAUCAGUAGAAUCUUAUAAGCAACAACUUUUCACAAAUGCCAUUGUAAGGAUACUUAAAAUAAAUAAAAUCAAAACCUUUUUCUUUUAUUUUAAAACUUUGNNNNNNNNNNNNNNNNNNNNNNNNNNNNNNNNNNNNNNNNNNNNNNNNNNNNNNNNNNNNNNNNNNNNNNNNNNNNNNNNNNNNNNNNNNNNNNNNNNNNNNNNNNNNNNNNNAUCAGAUUCAGCAUAUUCUUUCUUUAAGUUUCUUCACUUUUCUUUGAUUCUUAAAACAUCACCAUGUGACCCAGUCACAUCAUGUAUCAAGAAUCUCAGAAUAGAAACUUAGCAGAGUUAGAUAGUGGACUUUACCUGACGUAUAGUCAAACUUAUUAACUUUAACAUGCUUAGGUAAAUUUUGCAGUUUCGUAAUCAAUGCCCUUUCCUUUGGCAAUAGAUACCUAUGGACCCUUGAUAAUGGUACAUGGGACUAUCACAAACUUAGCCUCUUUCUUUACCAUUUGGUUAACCGAGUUGACUAUGGCCGAUACCUUUCCAUUGGGAAGAGAGAGCUUUACUGGAUAUCCAAUGUCAUCAUUGUCGAUGUCCAUAAAGUCUUGGAAGUCUGAUCUUAGCAAAUAGAUAAGAUCAUUAAGGGUCUUGUCAUAGUCUGUUUCAUAGGUGUCCCAAAGGAACUCACUAUGUGACUUAGAAAGUGGUUGAACCACCAACUUUCUCAAGACUUUGACACCCAACUCUCCCGGCUUGUCAAUAUGUGACUACAUCUCCAAGAUGUGACCACACCUAGACCUUGCCUUGCUAAUAGGGCCUGAGUGACCUUAAACUUUUCAAGAACUUGUGGGUUAGGGAGAAUAAUUUGAAGAGGUGAAGAAGUAUGAUAUCCAUGGGACAUCAUCUUCAUUAGGAAACCUUGUUUCAAGAGAUUUGGGAAGAUCAUAGGUGUCUAAACCAGACAUCUUUUGGGAGAUAUUCAAGAUAGUUGAUUUAAAGUCCUUAAUAUGACACCCAAUAUGAAAUAUUAAGGCUAGGACCCAACAAACUAUUUUAUAACUUAGAAGAGGUAUGCCGUAAUCCAAGCUAUAAAAUAUUUGAAGGUAGGUGAAUGACGAUUCACCAAUUUCCACCAAGAUAAACGAAAUGUAUUAUUAGGUUUUAAUUGGUUUUGAAACUCCUAGAUCUUUGAGAUUCAUUGAACUUUUCAAAGGCAUGUUUCAAUCUCGAGUGUGCCCUUCAGGUUUUGUGACUGGGAUGCCGAGGAUCACAAAACAAGGUGUGAAGUAACCAUGCAAAUCACUUGGUACCCUUAAUAAAUUACCCCUCAAUCGAUGUGCCGGUUAACCACACACGCUCCAUCGAUACUAUGAUAAAUAUUAAGUCACCCUUUACCUACCUUGUUAAGUCCAAGUUAGUGUGCCGGUUAACCACACACGCUCCACUAACGACUUAGACAAAGUGUAAAGUGUAAUUUCAUGGAUUAGCACCUUAUUCACAUUUUUCCUAAGUAACUAAGAUUGGGUAUUAUUAAGAGUUUAGUUACUUAGUAUUAUCAUUAAUACUUUUAAUGAAGGGAGAAUUCUAGUCCUGUCAAACCCGUUCGGCUAACGACCCUCCACCAGUCAAGCAAGCGGUGGGUGAGAGUGGACACCCAUUAAGUUGCCAUUUUAUAGGCAACAACCUUAUACCCACCUUAUAGACCGGCUUCGUGAAUGAGGCGUACUAGCGGUAAGACUGACUUUACUCUUAUACAUAUAUAUAUUAUUAACUUAUAAUAUUAUAAAGUAUAAGGGUUGAAUUUUAACUUUUAAAAUUCUAAGGGCUAACUUGGAAUUAAAGUAUUCAUAAGUGAAAACUUUACAAAUUCCAAAACUUGAGGGCAAGUUUUGAAACUAUUCAAAACUAAUUAAUUCCAUAACUUAUGUGUUUAAAGUAGUUUUAAUCCAAAAACUCUUCAAGUUCCAUAACUUGAGGACAAGUUAUGGAAGACUUUAAACUAAUAAAAGAAUUAACUUUUCUUUAUUUUAUAACUUAUGAAAUUAAUUAAGGUUACAUGUUUUAUUACUUAAUGAAGUGACUCUUGAAACUCGAUAACUUGAGGACAAGAUUCUUCAUUUUUGUAACCAUUGCCAACUUUUAUGAGUUCUAUGAAACUUAAAUGUGACCUUUCAUGUAACUUGAGGACAAGUUACACAAAAACAUUUUAGAAUCAUCUCUUAGAUUAAAAUGGAUUGAAAACACAUAAUCAAUUAACUUAUCUAUUAAUCUAAGCAACUCAUAUGAACAAAGAUAAUUCACAACAAACUUUUUCAUGUAAUUAGCAUAACUCUUAAACUAAUACAAAACAUAAAUCUAUUGACAAUUAUCUUUGAAAUUGGAUUAGCAUGAACAUUACCACAUCAAAAACAAGUUUAUAACUCCAAAAACAGCUUAUGGUAAUGUUCCUAGUCUAAUUCCAACCAAAAAACACGAAGACAAGCUGUCAGGGGCCAAAACUCGUCGAGUUCUAUAGAGAACUCGUCGAUUUCAUGCAUUAAACAAUGAACUUGUCGAGUUUAUUGAAGAAACACAUCGAGUUUUCUGUCUGGAUAGCUUCUUGGCUUCGAAAAAUGUAUUUGCAUCAAGUAUAAGAGAAAGCACGCCUAGGCUCUGAUACCACUGUUGGGUUUUGAGCAUUAUAACACUCCUAAGUGUACAUGCAACCCUAAAUACCUUGGAUCUAUGUUUUCUCUAUUAUAUAUGCAAAUAUGAACUUUCCAAGGUAUUACCCUAUCUAGCCUACAAUACUUGAUAGUUGGGUAAUCAAAUGGAUAAAAUACAUACCUUUGUUUGAUGUAGCUUGUCUUCAUGAAGCUUGAGUGCCUAGUGCCCCAAGUGUGACACCUCAAAUGGUUCACAUAACACCAACUGCACAUGGAAUGACUUGAGAGAAAUGAAACACUCCUUGAAAUCGUCUAGCCCUCAUACACACACUAGUGCACGAUUUCUUGAGCCAUGGGAUUCUUUUAUAUGGUGGCUAUUAGGGUUACACUAUGUAACUCAUAACUUUACCCAUUCCUUAUGCUCCAUGGAUUUUAACCUCCAUGGACUAUCCAUGGGUCACCCCAUGGACUUAGUCCAACAUAAGGAAUCUUGGAUCACAAGCCCACAUAUAUAAGAAUGAAUGAUUUACACAAUCAACCCAUAUAUUUAAUUAGUCUCCUUCUGAUCACUUAAUUAAUUCCAAAUUAAUUCUUGAUCAAUACUAAUUAAAUAACCUUAUUAAUAUAUUAGAACUUAUAAUAUAUUAAUAAACUUUAAGUGUUAUUUCUCUCAAUAUAGUCUAUCCAAAUGCAUGAUGGCAUGCAACCUAAAUGGACCAUGCUGGGUUGGGUCAAGUCUUACCAAUUAUAGUUAUGGACUUAGACGUUAAUCCAACAGCUCCAUCUUUAGAGAAUCAAUUUCCUUAUUCGCCUGAUUGAGCUGAACAGACUGAACUUCAAGAAAAGUGGUUUUGCGAGCAAGUUCAUUCAUAAUUUUGUUCUCCAUGGCAAGGUCAGCAUGAAGUUUGUCAAGGCGAGAGGAGAUAGAGGAUAAAAGAGUGGUUUUAUCAGCUUGAAGACUGGUUCGCACCGAAUCAAAUUUAUCUUUCUCAGCCUGAACUGAGUUGGACAGUGACUCAAUAGCAGUGUUAACUUUGUUGGUGUUAGACUCUGCAGCUUCUUUAAGCGAGUCCAGAAGAAGCUUGACAUCAGAAAAGGAAAGUGGCUACGUCUUCAGAAGCUUUCUUACAAGACAAAGAUGAGGCAUCCACAACCUUGGUUGCCUUCUGUGUAGACUCAUCAUGCUGUUUGAGGGUUGUUUUAGUUAAGGCGCGAACAACAGUGUCUGAGUAAGCAGAUGUGGAGGAAGAGGAAGAUGAAAUGAGCAGCUUGUCAAGUUUUUCAUUGAUAUCUCUUAAGUAUCGCUUUGUAAGGGGAGCAUCAUCAUCAUCCUCACUUUGAACUCGAUAGGGGCUAUAGUAAUAAGAUUCGAAUUCAAGUUCAUCUCCACAAAGAACUAGGAAAGAGUCCGAGGAAGGAGAUAUGGAAAUAGGUUUGGAAGUGAUAGGGGUUUCGGUUUCUGAGGUAGGUGCCCCCAUGUAACAUUCAAAUUUCCAGGUAUUAUAUUUUAUCAUUUACUUUUGAGCAAAAUAGAGGGACUCGACGAGUUGCGUCAUAGACUUGUCGAGUAGGACCGCGAUUGCUGACUGGAUUAAUGAACGGACUCGACGAUUCAGGAAGGGUGGACUCGACGAGUCCGCGCUGUGGAUUGAAACCCUAAUUCUCAGGGUCUUUGCCCUAUUUAAAGGCCUUUAUGGCCUCCAUUUGCGGCUACCGGUUCUGAGAGAGAAACCCUAGAGAGCUUGAGCGAGCUGUGAGAGAGAUUGAGCUAUUUUGAUCAUUUUUGGUGUGAUUUUGCAAAGGAGAAAGUGUUUCCAGCAAGGGGAGGUCAAGAGGAUUGCAUUUCAGUGGGUUUUCAGCUUGGAUCUUCAAUUUUGAGGUAGCUAUUCGAUCCUAUCCUUCUGUUUUGCUUAAGGGCAUUGAAUUUAGGGUUUUGUAUACCCUUUUAUGGCUUGUUUAGUUGAGUAUAGUGUCCCAUUGAGUGCUAAUCUUUAGAUCUGGACCUUUUAAGGUCCAGAGACCCUGAACCAUUAUUCAUUUUGUGGUUCUAUGGAGGAAAUGGACAUAGGUUGCCAUGUUAGAAGGGAUUUCACCAAAAUAAGCCUUGGGAGUAAUGCAUGUGUAGCAAGAUUCGACCUUUAUGUGGUUAUUGGUCAUAGGGGAGCAAGAUCUAGAGAUUAGUGAAACAGAUUUGACCUCAAGAGGUCAGAUGAGUGUUGUCAUGGGAGCAACUCGCCGAGUUCAUAAGUGGACUCGACGAGUUGAGUCGGGUUGCCCCGCGAUUUGUGACCUGUGAUAACCCGUUGAGUGUAGGGUUGAAUCAACGAGUGAGGACCAGGGGCGAAGAGGAAAUGCAUGUACUCGCUGAGUCACACUAGUGCACUCAACGAGUCUGGUCAAAGUUUGAUCGUUGACUUUUGUUGACUUUUAGGGUUUGGUCAAUGUUAGGGUCUUUGAGCCAUGAUAGGGGUAAAAUGGUCUUUUACCCUUCUGAGAGUACUAAGAGAGGGAUUAGUCUAGCCUUGAGGGUUGUAUUGAUUAGAUUGCUUAUUCCAUGUGAUUAGGCGGGGGCUAGACCAGAUUUUACAGAGUUCGAGAUUUACCGAGUUACCCGAGGUGAGUCUUGUCACUAUACUUUACCUAGAGUUAUAUGAUAGAGUAUCUUGUCUGCUAUUCGUAUGAUUGUGAUACACUGCAUUAUUUCUAUGUGAUUCAUGCCGUGUAUGUUCUAGAGUUUACAGAGUUAGAACCGGAAGGUUGACCGAGUUAGGACCAAAGAGUUCACAAAGUUAGGACCGGAGGGUCCACAGAGUUAUGGCCUCGAGUGGCUAAUAUGUGUUAUAUGGGAUAUCUUGGGGAACUCACUAAGCAUUUAUGCUUACAGUGUUGUGUUAUGUGUUUCAGGUACCAGUGAGGAUCGCGGGAAGGGGCCGGCAUGAUCAAUACACACAUGAGGAGUUUUUAUACAUUAUGAUCUUUGGGUUGUGUUUCUAUGGAUAAAUAUGUGAUACUAUGAUAUUUUUAUAAUAUUUAUGAAUGAAAGUAUGUUUUGAAAAUGUGAAAAAUUGUUUGAAAAUUUUCGGUGUUACAAGUUGGUAUCAGAGCCUUGGUUUGAGGGAUUCGGAUGCACCGUCGAGCAUAUUUGAACUCAAACUGAGGAUUUGAAGAAUUUUUCUAAAUAAAACAAAAUUUUUCUAAAAGAGUAAAAGGUUUUGAAAACAGCAGAGCAGAGCAGUGUGUAUGAUCAGCCAGCACCCAAACAGUGAUUUCCCAAAAUAGCCUUAUAUUAUGUGUUAUGAGAUAUGAGAUGAUAUGUUAUGCAUGCUAGAGUAGGCUAGGUAUUCUUAUUAGGACUAGAGUGGCUUGAUUUGUGAUGCCUUAGCCUAGGGGUUUUGCUGCUAGGAGAUGCUUGAGAGUGAGUAGAUAGCAGUAAGGAGCUUAUAAGGGAUCUGCUAGAAAGUAGACUAUGCAUAGUGAGAAUAGAGUACUUGGGAUUUGGGAUCCUAGGAUGACGACUUGAGGUGAAUACUGAUACGGUGUGGAUGGUAGUAUUGGGCCCGUACUACCGAAGACACAGGAUCAGUACGCAACCCAAGUAAGAAUCCUUAGGGUACCAGGGAUCGAGUAGGAAUGGGAUAUUGAGUGUGUGUACACUUAAGUGAGUCUCUGAUAUUUUGUGUUGUAUUUCAGAGAGACAUCAUGGUUGGGACACGCCACACACCUGAGAGCAGUGGUGUUAGUGAUGAGGAGAUCCACAGGCUAAUUCAUGAGGAGGUGGCUGCUGCCAUCCGAGCCGAGAUACCAGAGAUGUUUGGGUCUAUCAAGACCACCCUGAUCGAGACUUUUAACAAGCAUUAUGCUGCUCUUACUGAUGCUACUGUUGCUGCAUCUACCGCAGCCAUUGCUGCUACGAGGCCGUAGGGGGGUGACUCGUUGCUGUACCAAGAGUUCAGCAACAGGAAGCCACCAGAGUUUGACGGGACGCAAGAUCUGAUCACUGCGAUGAGAUGGAUUUAUGAUAUUGAGGGAUGCUUCUAUACGUGUUCUUGCCCGGAGCACCUGAGAGUUCAGUUCGCUCUGAACCAGCUUCGCUUGGGAGUGAAGGACUGGUGGAAGUUUGUGAUAGCGCACUACUCUUCUGUAGAGCUUGCCGCGGUGACCUGGGAGAGGUUCACUGCUAUGUUUCAUGAUGAGUACGUUCCCCCGAGGGAAAGGGAACAUUUGGCCCAGGAGUUCUUGACCCUUAAGUAGGGUACCGAGUCUGUUACAGUGAUUACCAGGAUGUUCCAUGAGAGGGCGAUGUUCUGCCCUGAGCACGUGUCUUCCGAGCAGGAACGCAUUAGUCGGUAUUUGAGCAUUUUGAGAAAAGACAUCCACGAGUUCGUGACGAACUCGUCGUACCGGACAUUUUCCGAGCUCCAGGAAAAUGCCCGAAAGAGGGAGAUUGAGCUCGAGACUCAGGCCAAGGAGGAGGCGGAGUCUCAAGGGAGGGAUCUGCGACCGGCACAGUCCCAGCCAGCAGCCAACCGGGCCAAGCAAUUAGUCGGUAUUUGAGCAUUUUGAGAAAAGACAUCCACGAGUUCGUGACGAACUCGUCGUACCGGACAUUUUCCGAGCUCCAGGAAAAUGCCCGAAAGAGGGAGAUUGAGCUCGAGACUCAGGCCAAGGAGGAGGCGGAGUCUCAAGGGAGGGAUCUGCGACCGGCACAGUCCCAGCCAGCAGCCAACCGGGCCAAGCACGCCGAUUCGAGAUCAGGGAACCAGAAGAGCCGCACUUGUGGCAAGUGCGGCAAGAGUCAUGAGGGGGUUUGUAGAGGAGGGUCUUGCUACAAGUGUGGCAAGGAGGGGAACAUGGCCAAGGAUUGCCCCAAGGUGUUUGCAGUCUGUUUUCACUGCAACCAGACCGGACACCGGAAGGCUGAGUGUCCGCAGUUGUGGGGGUCAGCCUAGGGAGCAUCAUCUGGAUCUGCCCCUGCUGCCGUUCGAGCAGCAGAGAGUCGGCUAGUGAAGACCAAGGCGCCAAAGGCUCGCGAGAGAGCCUUCCAGUUGACAACGGAGGAGGUCCGCGCAACGCGAUAUGUUGUGGCUGGUAUGUAUUCUUUCAUCUAUUUAUUUUGAGUUGUGGUGUUAUGCUUAUAUUAUGAUACUACCUAGGUACAUUUCUUGUGAGUUUUGUACUUGCUUUGGUGUUAUUUGACUCGCGUGUGAGUCGGUCUUUUGUAUCGUUAGCCUUUAGUCAGCACAUCAGUAUCUGUCGAGAGACAUUGAGUCAAACUUUGCGAGUUUCCAUAGCUGACGAGAGAGCGGUGUAUGCCACUGAUGUGAUUUGAGGAUGUGUACUCGAGAUCUUCGGCGUUGAGUUCCCGAUUGACUUGGUCCGAUUGCGAUGGGAGAUGUCUGUGUUAUCGUGGGCAUGGACUGGUUGAGCAGGUUUGGAGUGGUUAUCGACUGCUAGCGACAGUUGGUGACCAUACAAGACCCUAGUGGGGGAGUUCUUACGGUUUAUGGCGAGGGUACCCGUUCUGGGUCAACAUUUUGUUCGGCCACUAGAGCGAGGCAGAGCCUACAACAGGGCUGUAGUGGGUUUGUGGUUUAUGUGGUGGAUACGAGAGUAGAUGCAGAGAGACCGAGGUCGGUCGAUGAGGUCCCGAUAGUGCAUGAGUUCCCGGAUGUUUUCCCCGAGGAGUUGCCGGGCGUGCCUCCCGAGAGGCAGGUAGAGUUCCGUAUCGAUUUGGUUCCGGGGGCAGUGCCUAUCGCUAAGGCGCCCUAUCGCCUUGCGCCACCAGAGAUGCAGGAGUUAUCCUCACAGUUGCUGGAGCUGUUAGGGAAGGGGUUUAUUCGGCCAAGUAGCUCGCCGUGGGGAGCGCCGAUCCUUUUUGUCAAGAAAAAGGAUGCUUCAUAUCGGACAUUGAUUACCGGGAGUUGAACAAGCUGACGAUCAAGAACUGUUACCCCUUACCGAGGAUCGACGAUUUGUUCGAUUAGUUGUAGGGAAUUUGUUGGUUCUCCAAGAUAGAUCUGAGGUCUGGAUAUCAUCAGAUGAGAGUGGGUGAUGAGGAUAUCCAGAAGACAACAUUCAAGACUCGUUAUGGGCAUUACGAGUUCGUGGUGAUGCCUUUCGGACUCACCAAUGCACCGGCGGCGUUCAUGGAUCACAUGAACAGAGUAUGCAAGCCGAUGAUGGAUCGUUCAGUGAUCGUGUUCAUCGAUGACAUUGGUGUAUNAUUUGAGAUCCAGAGAGCAGCAUGAGGAGCAUUUAAGGGAGAUUCUCGGAGUUCUGAGAUCGGAGAGGCUUUAUGCCAAAUUCUCCAAGUGUGAUUUCUGGUUACGAGAGGUCCAGUUCUUAGGAUACCUCGUCAACCAGAAUGUGAUAUUGGUUGAUCCGGCCAAGAUUGAGGCGGUGAUGAGUUGGGAGGUGCCAAGACCCCCCUUUAGAGAUCAGGAGUUUUCUGGGGUUGGCUGGCUAUUAUCAUAGAUUUAUCAGAGAUUUCUCCAAGAUUGUUGUUUCUCUCACCAGGUUGACCUGAAAGGGCGUGGCAUUCAGUUGGGGCCCAAAGCAGCAGGCCUCAUUAGAGACACUUCACCAUAGAUUAUGUGAAGCCCCAGUAUUAGCCCUUCCAGAGGGGAUGGAGGAUUUUGUGGUGUAUUGUGACGCGUCGAUAUCAGGAUUUGCUGCGGUGCUGAUGCAGAGAGGCCAUGUGAUAGCAUACGCAUCGAGGCAGUUGAAGCCUCAUGAGACGAGAUAUCCCACCCACGAUAUGGAGUUGGGGGCUGUGGUGUUUGCCCUCAAGAUCUGGCGUCACUAUUUGUAUGGGGUCCGGUGUACCAUAUACACAGAUAACAAGAGCUUGAAGUAUCUGAUGGAUCAGCCCAACCUAAAUAUGCGCCAGAGGAGAUGGUUGGAUGUGGUAAAGGAUUAUGAGUGUGAGAUCCUAUACCACCUGGGCAAGGCUAAUGUUGUAGCCGAUGCCCUGAGUCACAGGGUGGAGAGUGCCCCAAUACGAGAUGUUUGUUUGAGAUUGACAGUGAUGACUCUGCUGUUGUACACCAUUCGGGAGGCCCAGGUAGAGGCCAUGAGACCGGAGAACCGCAAAAGAUAGCGGGUGAUCAGGCAGAUAUCUGAGUUCGUUGUCGAUAGUCGUGGGCUUAUGACCUUUCAGGGUCGGAUUUGGGUGCCGUUUGGAGGUGGGGCAUGUACCAUUCUCAUGGAGGAGGCGCAUAGAUCGAGGUUCUCGAUCCAUCCAGGGGCCACUAAGAUGUAUUUGGCCCUGAAGAGGGUGUAUUGGUGGCCUUGUAUGAAGAGAGAUGUCGCGUGGUUUGUAGAAAGGUGCUUGACCUGCCGCAGGGUGAUGUCCGAGCACCAGCGUCCGCAUGGAAAGUUGCAGCCACUUGUGGUUCCCGAGUGGAAGUGGGAACAGAUUUCCAUGGAUUUUAUCACCAAAUUGCCGAGGACUGUGAGGGGUGUCGAUGCAGUUUGGGUGAUUGUUGACAUGAUGAUGAAGAGCACUCACUUUCUUGCUAUCAGUGAGUGCUCUUAUGCUGAGAGGUUGUCAUAGUUGUAUGUGAGAGAGGUGGUAUCGAGGCAUGGAGUACCGGUCUCGAUCGUGUCAGAUCGAGAUGUGCGUUUCACUUCCAAAUUCUGGAAGGAAUUUCAUGAGGAGUUGGGUACGAGGCUGCAUUUUAGUACCGCAAACCACCCACAGACGGACGGACAGAGUGAGCAGACGAUUCAGACGCUCAAAGACAUGUUGCGAGCAUGUGUGUUGGACUUCGGAGGGAGUUGGGACACGUAUUUUCCAUUGGCUGAGUUUUCUUAUAACAACAACCACCAUUUAAGUAUCGGCAUGCCUACCUUUGAGUUGUUGUCCGGGAGGAGGUGUCGAAGUCCCAUUUGCUGGGGAGAGGUCGGGCAGCGAGUGAUGGGCAACAUAGAGUUAGUGCUUCAGAAGACGGAGCAGAUACAGCAGGUCAAACAGAGGUUGUUGACAGCUCAGAGUCGCCAGAAGAGUUAUGCGGAUAGGCGACGAUCCGAGCUUGAGUUCCAGGUGGGGGAUUUCGUACUCCUUAAGGUAUCUCCUUGGAAAUGAGUGAUCCGAUUCAGGAAGAGGGGCAAGUUGGGGCCCCGAUACAUCGGUCCGUUUAGGGUGACUGCGAGGGUAGGUAGGGUAGCAUAUCGUCUGGAGCUACCUGCAGAGCUGAGUCAAAUCCAUGAUACCUUCCACGUGUCUCAGCUGAGGAAGUGUAUAGCCGACGAGACGGCGGUGGUACCGUUGGCGGACAUUCAGGUGGAUCCCAGCCUGAAUUAUGUUGAGAGGCCAGUUGCGAUUGUAGAUCGGAAGAUCAAGGUUCUAAGGAGCAAGGAGGUACCCCUGGUAUAGGUCCAGUGGCAACAUCGGAGAGGGUCCGAGCUGACUUGCGAGCCGAAGUUGGAGAUGUGUGAGCAGCAUCCAGAGUUGUUUGCAGAGUAAGACUUCGAGGGCGAAGUCUGAUUCUAGUGGGGGGAGAAUUGUAACAUCCGGAUUUCCAGGUAUUAUAUUUUAAUAUUUAUUUUUUAGUAAAAGAGAGGGACUUGACGAGUUGAGUCGUAGACUUGCUCGAUUAGGACCGCGAUUGCUGACUGGAUUAAUGAACGGACUCGACGAGUCGGGAAGGGUGGACUUGACGAGUCCGUGCUGUGGAUUGAAACCGUAAUUCUCGGGGUAUGGGCCCUAUUUAAAGGCAUAUAUGGCCUCCAUUUGCGGCUACUAGUCCAAAGAGAGAAACCCUAGAGAGCUUGACCGAGUUGUGAGAGAGAUUGAGCUAUUUUGAUCAUUUUGGUGUGAUUUUGCAAAGGAGAAAGUGUUUCCAGCAAGGGGAGGUCAAGAGGAUUACAUUUCAGUGGGCUUUCAGCUUGGAUCUUCAAUUUGGGGUUAGCUAUUCGAUCCUAUCCUUCUGUUUUGCUUAAGGGCAUUGAAUUUAGGGUUUUCUAUAAACUUUUAUGGCUUGUUUAGUUGAGUAUAGUGUCCCAUUGAGUGCCAAACUUUAGAUCUGGACCUUUUGAGGUCCAGAGACCCUGAACCAUUCUGCCUUUUGUGGUUAUAUGGAGGAAAUGGACAUAGGUUGCCAUGUUAAAAGGGAUUUCACCAAAAUAAGCCUUAGGAGCAAUGCAUGUGUAGCAAGAUUCGACCUUUAUGUGGUUAUUGGUCAUGGGGGAGCUAGAUCUAGAGAUUAGUGAAGCAGAUCUGACCUCAGGAGGUCAGAUGAGUGUUGUCAUGGGAGCAACUCGCUAAGUUCAUAAGUGGACUUGACGAGUCGAGUCGGGUUGCCCCGCGAUUCACGACCUGUGAUAACCCGUUGAGUGUAGGGUUGACUUAAUGAGUGAGGACCAGGGGUGAAGAGGAAAUGCAUGUACUCGCCGAGUCACACGAGUGCACUCGACGAGUCUGGUCGAAGUUUGAUCGUUGACUUUUGUUGACUUUUAGGGUUUGGUCAAUGUUAGGCUCUUUGAGCCAUGAGAGGGGUAAAAUGGUCUUUUACCCUUCUGAGAGUACUAAGAGAGGGAUUAGUCUAGCCUUGAGGGUUGUAUUGAUUAAAUUGCUUAUUCCAUGUGACUAGGCGGGGGCUAGACCAUACUUUACCGAGUUCGAGAUUUAUCGAGUUACCCGAUGUGAGUCUUCUCACUAUACUCGACCUAGAGUGGUAAUUAGAGUUAUAUGACAGAGUGUCUUGUAUGCUAUUCAUGUGAUUGUGAUACACUGCAUUAUUUCUAUGUAAUUCAUGCCGUGUAUGUUCCGGAGUUUACAGAGUUAGAACUGGAAGGUUCACAGAGUUAGAACCGGAAGGUUCACCGAGUUAGGACCAGAGAGUGCACAGAGUUAGGACCAGAGGGUCCACAGAGUUAUGGCCUCGAGUGGCUAAUAUGUGUUAUAUGUUGCGGAACUCACUAAUCAUUUAUGCUUACAGUGUUGUAUUUUGUGUUUCAGGUACUAGUGAGGAUCGCGGGAAGGCGCCGGCAUGAUCAGUACACACAUGAGGAGUUUUUAUACAUUAUGAUCUUGGGGUUGUAUUUCUAUGGAUAGAUAUGUGAUACAAUGAUAUUUUUAUAAUAUUUAUGAAUGAAAGUAUGUUUUGAAAAUGUGAAAAAUUGUUUGAAAAAUUUCGGUGUUACACCCCGUAUCAGAUAUGUUGACACGAACCGCAGGUUCGUGUAUGUUGGUUGUUGUGGAAGUUGUUUGAGUGAAGAUUAGUGGAGGGAGAGGUGCAGUAGAGGUUCGUUGAGAAGUAGUAGGUGGUGGAAGUGGUGCAAUGGAAAUAGGAACUGUAGUAUGAGAUGGAGAAGCAGGAGCAGUUGGAAUUGAGUCAUUAAGUUGUACCUCGGGAGAGGGAGAACGUGGAGGCGUGUUUCCUCUUGGUGAUCCUUCAAGGUGAACAUCUUCACCUUCGUCUGAUUUGUCUUGAUUUUGAUCAGAAGGAAUGAAAUUUGAAUCACUAGGCGUAGCUCCCUUCAGUUUCCUUGCCAUCUUCUUCACCAUUCGCUUCUUUGGAGCAGAAGGAGCUACUUGUUCGGCCUUACGCUUUUUGGGCGUAGAAGCUUUGGAAGAUUGACCUUCUUUAUCCAGAUUCUUUUGAUCAGACCUCUUCCCAUGUUUUUCUGGUUUAUCAACUGCAUCCAGAGCGCUUUUCAUCUCAAGAAUUAAUUGUCUCGGUCCUGAAGAAGGAAGUUUUGUGUAUUACCUGAUAACCUUGCUUUCGGCAGAAAGACACCGAUACAACAAUUCGGGAAUGGAACCAACAAACGCGAAUUUGGUUGGAUCUUAGACAAUGAUCUUGGUAGUGUGGAAUAAAAAACCGUAAAUUUUUGAAUAAAUUUUUCAUUUUUAAAAUCAUAUAAUUCUUAUAACACAUUUCACAAAAAUCUCAUUUGUUUAAUUUUAUAAAACACAACUCCAUAAUUGUUUGAUUAAUAAUCCGGGAUCCUCAAAACAUAGCUUUUUAUCUGUUGUGUACAAUCAAGCCGGUGCAGUCCUGCGAUCCUAAGAAAACCUGAAACACAUAACACAUAACAUGGUAAACACGAAGCUUACUGAGUUCCCCAAAAUACCAUGCACAAUAAUUAGCCACUCGAGGAUAUAACUCUGUAAGACCCUCCGGUCAAUGUGUCUCAGUGGGACCCUCCAGUCCCAUAGCUUGUUGGACCCUCCAGUCCGGUUUAAGUGAGAACCUUCCGGUCUCACUACUCGUUGGACCCUCUGGUCCAGUCUAAGUGAGGAUCCUCCAGUCUCGUACUCUGAUGGACCCUCCGCUCCUAACUCUUAUGGCUCUGAGUAAUAUACAACAUAAUCACAAAGAAAUAAUGCAGGAUAUCACAAUACACAAUAUAAACACAUAAGACAUCUUAGUCACACAAAAUACCACUCAUGGUAAGUAUAAUGAGAAGACUCACCUCACCUCACAAGCUAGUGACAGUCGCGUACACGGAAAUCUUGAACUAGACUACGCCUAAGACAUAGGGUAAACAUCUUUAAUUAAUACUCUAUUCAUACUUAAAUACACAAAAGGCUAUUCUCACUCUCUCUGUCUAAGUCUUGAAGUGGAUAAAAUACCAUUUUACCCCUCCAUGGUCUCCAUUACUCAUGGUUAACCCAACCCUAUAGUCAACCAAAGUCAACUCAAGUCAACAGUCCAUGCUUUGACCUGACUCACCGAGUGCACCCUUGUCACUCCUUGAGUCCACUCAUUUCUUCAGAAGUCUCAUGAAAGCACAACUCAGCUCGGCGAUUUGACCCCCAACUCACCGAGUUAUCGCAUGGUUCAUCACUUCGGGACAAACCCUAACAAACUUGUUGAGUCGGCUCAUCGACUCGACGAGUCCAUCCAAACUCAUUUCUCAUUCAAACGAUUUCCAGGCAGAAAACCUUCCCAAAUUCCAGAUCCAGCCUCCCAAGGCUCGAAUAUCACGUAAAGAUUCGAUCUUUACAUAUAUGUAUGGCAUAAUAGCUCCAUAACAUCAACUACAUGCUCUCACAAGGGUUGGACACACAAGAUCUCACUUAUAACCCAAUAAAGCUCAGGUCCUAGGGCUCAUAAGAUCUCCCACAUUCCAGAUCUGGGGUUUUAACCUCAAACCAUGUUUCAUUUAACUCAUAGGUACAAAAGAAUGGGAGAAAAGCCCUAAAGCUCCCAAAAAUAAGAUCAAGCACAAGGAAUGGACAAGAUGAGAAUUUUGUACCUCCACACAGCAGCUAAUGCACUCAAAACCACCGAUCUACAACCUUUCUUUGAUCCAAAUAAUGUAGCUCUUCAUCCUCCUUCAUAGAAGCGCACCAAGAUUGCCCACAAUGAUCACACACUCACUUCACAAGGGAUAGAACAGUUUUAGGGUUUCUCUCAGGCUCUCCAAGGUGAGUGUAUGCGGAAAUAAGGGCCUAAAGCCCCUUAAAUAGGUCACAAACCUGAAGAUUUAUGGUUUCUCUGCCCAACACCUACUCUGCGAUUCAGCUCUCCGAUUCGUCGAGUCCAUUCAUUAAAUCCUCGCGAGCAACUCGACUCGACUCGGCGAGUCGGACUCACGGCUCGUCGAGUCACUCUCUAAAUCUCGAGGUUAAGAAUUCAUUAAUAUAUAUCUGAAAAUCCGGAUGUUACAAUUCUCCCUCACUUGAAUUUGAUUUCGCCCUCGAAAUCUCACCUCAAAUCAAAUAGAUCAAACCCAAAACCCGAAGCGCACUAUCGAAAAGACCUCACACCACUCAUAUAUUUUUCGUCAUGGACACCUGACUCCAAACAGGAACUCCCAAAUACAAAAAAGGUCAAUCUCCUCUUUCACCAUGAUACUCUCUCUGACUACCUGAAUGUUGGGUACUCUAGUGGCAUGCCUCACUGCUAGACGACCCUCUCAAGAUAUCACCAUGUUAUUUGCUCAACAACAUCCUCUGACUUCUUACAUUCAUGAACCUCCGCUCCCUCCCAUAUAUCCCUUUCAACAUAGAGCACCCGGUCAACUCUCGACCCCACAGUUGAACCUCCAAAGGUUACCCAUAACAUGCCCCAAAAUGUCUCACUGACUUCCCUCUCUCAACAACUAUCUCAGACCAUUGUGACACACAAGUCAAGAAGUUCGCUUUACCCAAAGCAAAUACUUCAAUCCCAACUGAACUCGUCUCACCCUCGACCUCUGUCUUCUACUACUCAAUAACUCCAUGCGUCUCGAGGUCCUUCCCAUACAAACGAACUGACCCACAUAGGCAGAAGACAUCAGAUGACACACAAUACCCCUCCGAAAGGAACCUUCUUCUAUGUUGGGCCGUGGAACAAGAGUUAGCAAAUGCAUUAUUGUGUCAACUUGCACUCACACCCAUCCAAAAAUAAGCAUCACUACUUCUGACAGCAACCGCCAUGAAAAAACUCCUUUCCUUGCUAUAAUUCACAUUCUUAAAUAAUCUCGCUUGAUAUCGAUUAGCCGACGGGCUCCCACUGGAAUCAUAGAUACUUGUUACACCACAUGCCAUGUCUUAACUCAAAACUCAAAAUAACCCAAAAUCUAGGACAUCAUACUCUGAUACCUCAGUACACCAUCAGAGAACCCCACGAUGUCUUGCCUCUACCACUGAUCUCAUACUCACGGCAUCUUACUCAGAUACCGCAUUGCCUUCUUGGAAUCUCGAUACCAAUCUUCCUCUCACACCACUUGUAACCUCGGUAUACUCCAUCUCCUAAUUUGAAACACAGGGGCAUCGUCAAUGGCUCAGAACAUGUUGACGAAAACCUCAAGCUUCACCCUCUAAUGAUCACCACCCAUACGAAACUACUCAUACCAACUGUAAAUUUGGUUGACAAUUCAACCUAUUCCCCUUAUUAGACUAUCGAUCACAAUCUAUACCUAUACCUAUAAAUUCCUACUAUUACACCCUUAAUUCAGCGACCCAGCCGCACUCGAACUCAACAUUCACAGCCCGAAAAAAAAUCCCUAGCCACAAUAAUUUUUGCGACCAACGGCCACCUACCGUGGAUCCCCAUGACCAUUUCUCUAACCACACUUGAACAGAUCACUGAUCCCCUCACUAGAAUGCCCAGUUCUCCCCCACUUAGGGUUCGAACCAUCACCAAUUGGCAUACCCACAAUCUACUCCGUAGACUACUUCACUAGGCAUAUUACACUUGAAUCUUGAAUCGUACUACAUAAUCACUCAAGGCCCCUCCCGGAGGAACCAAGCAAUCUCCAAAUAUCCUGUCCCUGACCAAAAUCCCAGAAUUCUCCCCACGUGACUACGUCUAAUCAUCUCGAAGCCUCAGACCGGCACACCACUGGGUACCCCACGGUUCCGAAUUAGUUCCGACUCUCGAUCCGAAAAUUAUUCACUAUCAUCCACUUCAACUUUGACUCCUCGACCAGCUUCCCCAUUUGGGAAUAAUCAUGAAGGUAAUAGACCUCACUCUUGAAUCGUACUACAUAAUCAUUCAAGGCCCCUCCCGGAGGAACCAAGCAAUCUCCAAAUAUCCUGUCCCUGACCAAAAUCCCAGAAUUCUCCCUACAUGACCGCGUCUAAUCAUCUCGAAGCCUCAGACCGGCACACCACUGGGUACCCCACGGUUCCGAAUUAGUUCUGACUCUGGGUCCUAAAAUAAUUCACUAUCACCCACUUCAACUUUGACUCCUCGACCAGCUUCCCUUGCAACCCCAUAAGAUCUACCUCUAACUCUGAAUCAGAAGCUUAAAUAUCCCUCUGCUUCUCACAGAAAAUAGCACAACUCUGGUCAUAGAAAGUGACGUCUGCUAUCGGCCGACUGCUCAGCUCAGACCGUAAUCCUCCAUAAAGCACCACCACUACUCAUCCCCGAGUCUUGUGAAUCCAAAUGACCUCUCAUAAAAUCUUCUCGGAAACCAACUCGAUUUCCUCCACAAGGUACGCUCCAUUGAAACUCGUCCAACAUGGCCCUCUGGCCCCACACUCUAUCACAUCUGAUCCCAGUCCAAUCAAUCUCAACAGGAUAAUUGGUAAAACCAGAAGCACCAUCCGCCACGAAUCAUGGUACUCGAACCAUGCUAUCUCCUCUCAAUCUGCUACGAAUCAUGGUACUCAAACCAUGUGAUCACCUCCCAAUCAGUUACUUAGAACCUCUAGAAUUCUCCUUGUAUCGAGUAUGGGUCCUCUGCUUUCAGUAGUAUGGGCCCAUACUACCUGACACAUCUACCCAUACUUUCCACACAGAUCAUCCAUAUUUCCUAAAUAGCUGCUCCACCUCCUUAAUCACCAAUCUCAUCAUAUCUAGUCGCUCCCUGCGAAUACUCUCCUCAAUCAACAUACUCAUCUGAAAAAGGUCACUCUCUAGGCUCUUCCUAGGUUCUCACACUUCUCUACCAUCAGCUGCUGAAGAACUCCUUAUGAUGCCAGCCGUCUACCUCCUAAAUAUCGUCAUAUUCACUUAGUAGCUGACUCCCAUCAUCAAGAGUUCCACAAAGCACAAAGAAAACAACAUUCGGGCAUCGAAUAAUCUCCACCAGCACGUAAAACCACUCUAAGAUACAACUCCACUUGCUCUACUCAGACUCAAAGGUGUCACCAAACUCAAGCAACUCUACGCCACGCGGGUAUCUAACUACUCUCUCAGUGGGCUCCUCCAAUGAUCGUCUAGGCAUCUCUCCUAGAUUACUCUGCUACUUAGAACUCUCUCUAAAGGAUUCCUGCUAGAUACUCUUACACCGUGCAUACUCAAAGCACAUCACAAAUAACAACAACUCCUAGGCUAAGGCCUCACAAAUCAGGCAACUCUAGACUUAACAUAUGAAAUACCUAGCUUAUCUUCUAGCAUGCAUCACAAAUAUCUCAAUAAUAACUCAUAGCACAAAUAAAUAAGGGUAUUUUGGGAAAUCACCGUUCGGACUCUGGCUGAUUGUACACAUUGGUCUUUCUCGUUUUUCUCUUAGGAACUCUUACUCGUUUUAGAAAAACAUUUCUUUUGAAAAAUCUCCUCAAAUCCUCAGUUUGAGUCCAGACUUCCCUGAAGUUGCGUCUAAAUCCCUCAAGCCAAGGAUCUGAUACCAGCUUAUAACACCGUAAAUUUUCGAAUAAAUUUUUCAUUUUUAAAAUCAUAUAAUUCUCAUAACACAUUUCACAAAAAUCUCAUUUGUUUAAUUUUAUAAAACACAACUCCAUAAUUGUUUGAUUAAUAAUCCAGGAUCCUCAAAACAUAGCUUUUUCUCUAUUGUGUACAAUCAAGCCGGUGCCUUCCCCAUAUCCUGAGAAAACCUGAAACACAAAACACAUAACACGGUAAGCACGAAGCUUAGUGAGUUCCCCAAGAUACCAUGCACAAAUAAUUAGCCACUCGAGGCUAUAACUCUGUAAGACCCUCCGGUCAAUGUGUCUCAGUGGGACCCUACAGUCCCACAGCUCGUUGGACCCUUCGUUCCGGUCUAAGUGAGAACCUUCCGGUCUCACUACUCGUUGGACCCUCCGGUCCGGUCUAAGUGAGGACCCUCCGGUCUCGUACUCUGAUGGACCCUCCGCUCCUAACUCUUAUGGCUCUGAGAAAUACACAACAUAAACACAAGGAAAUAAUGCAGGAUAUCACAAUACACAAUAACAUAAGACAUCUUAGUCACACAAAAUACCACUCAUGGUAAGUAUAGUGAGAAGGCUCACCUCACUAGCAAGUUAGUGACAGUCGCAUAUACGGAAAUCUUGAACUAGACUCCGCCUAACACAUAGGGUAAACAUCUUUAAUUAAUACUGUAUUCAUACUUAAAUACACAAAAGGCUAUUCUCUCUCUCUGUCUAACUCUUGAAGUGGAUAAAAUACCAUUUUACCCCUCCAUGGUCUCCAUUACUCAUGGUUAACCCAACCCUAUAGUCAACCAAAGUCAACUCAAGUCAACAGUCCAUUCUUUGACCCGACUCACCGAGUGCACCCUUGUGACUCGUCGAGUCCACUCAUUUCCUCAGAAGUCUCGUGAAAGCACAACUUAGCUCGACGAUUUGACCUCCAACUCGCCGAGUUAUCGCAUGGUUCAGCUCUUCGGGACAAACCCUAACCAACUCGUCGAGUCGGAUCAUCGACUCGGUGAGUCCAUCCAAACUCAUUUCUCAUUCAAACGAUUUCCAGGUAGAAAACCUUCCUAAACUACAGAUCCAUCUUCCUAAGGCUUGAAUGUCACGUAAAGCUUCAAUCUUUACGUUUAUGUAUAGCAUAAUAGCUCCAUAACAUCAACUACAUUCUCUCAAAAGGGUUGGAUACCCAAGAUCUCACUUCUAACCCAAUAAAGCUGAGGUCUUAGGGCUCACAAGACCUUCCACACUCCAGAAUAGGAGAAAAGCCCUAAAGCUCCCAAAAAUGAGAUCAAGCACAAAGAAUGAACUCUGACCUUUGUCAAUGACUUGUCCAUUAGAUAAGGGAUUAUAUAUUCCUCCAUUCUAGAUAUCAUAUGGACUGAGACAUGGAUUAUAAUCAUUCUCUCUGUCCAUUUGUUGUUUCCCGAUUUCUGAUUUAUGAUGACUGACUAAUUGAACAAAUCAAACCAGUCCUGGCCCGGCCGAGCACUUCGAUUUGUCAUCAUCAAAUCAUCGAAGGGGCCCACAAAUAUCGCUUUUAUCCCGAAGGUAAAAGGAAUGGAUAAACUUUGACUCAUAUGGCUUGUUCUACUACUUGUUGAAUCAUAAACAAAGGCACGUUUUAUAGCACCGAGUUACCAAAUACGUUUUCAUGCAAUCAAUGUACAACCAACUCAUAGUAACAACUCAUAUCUCUAGGUUUGAAGAAUAUAAGAUAUUAUCGUCUCAUGAUCACUCGUGAUAAAAUCCAUGAAGUGAUUCCAAUGAGCGCGGGUUGAAUCCAAUACUCAGAACUUAUGAGCACUCAUGAGUGUUGUAGCCCUUUGUCCAACACCUUAGACCUCUACAAGCCAACCCAUGACAGUCUUAAUUCAUAUCUACUUCCAACAUAUGACCGACUGUGGAUGGUUUGAAUAACUUAGUCAUUCCGGAAGAAUAACCCAGUUUAUUCGGGAAGUCAAAACAUGCAAAAUGAAACACAAUAAUAAUUGAAUCCAAUAUGGUAUCAACCCUUUGAACAUAAAUAAAACACCUUUUAUUUAUCACCAUAUGAUUACACAUUAUUCAUUGUAUACUGUUUCAGCUAUCAACUUUAUUCUUGAAUUUAAAACAAUAGUUGUCCCAUGCUCCAAGCAUGUACACUAUGUUUUCUUAAACACUAGUCAUGCCACACACCAAGUAUGCAUACUAUGUUUGUCUAUGAUCUUUACUUUGUGAACUAGAUCAAUUGAACAUAACUUCAAUGAUUCUCUUUUCACACUCCCAAAUCCUUACUGCAAAUGCAAGAAUUCCAAAUUCAUGCCAUUUACUGAAAUCUGUUAGAUUCUAAACUUAUAUGCAUUGAUCCUCUUGUAAUGAUUAUGCACAAAGUCACAAAGACUUGGCAACAAUCAUUACAGAGUAUUCCAAAGGAGAUCAACUCCUUGGAAAUAUCCUUCUUGCAUUAAGUUUCCUUAAUCUUACACAGAUUGAAAAUUCUAACUUUGAAACAUUUCCAGAUUCCAUUUUGACUAUCACUUCUGAACAAGAGUUGCCUCCUUACAGAUUAUGUCAAUAUGGUCCUUCCAGAAUUAUCACUAUACUUCCAACUGUCCUUGAGCAACCAAUCUUUGGUAAACCUUAGAUUGUCCUCGACAAUUGUUUAAUCCUUUUAGUCAUAUCCAGUUCUAAACCUUUUCCCUUCUUAAUGCCCCAGGCAUUUGGAAAAUUUUAGAACGGAUGAAUAUAGCACAUGUAAUCGAUCCUAUAUCCGAAGCAUAUGGGACACGAUUCAUGAUGUCUUACAUAAAGACUAAACCAGUCUUUUGCUAUAAUAUUUCCAUUUCAAUUUGCCAAGUUCUCAUAAUUCAGAUUAUGAAAAGGGAUGCCGUAAUCAUAAUCGAAUUUUAGAACGCAAAUAAUGGACCCAUAUACAGAAUUUCCUUAUGUUGAGCCAUUCCAACAUGAAAUUAAUAUAUAUAUAUCCUUGACUAAAUGAUUAAAACCUCACGAUCUAAGCUUAUAGAUUUGAGAUGAAGUAUAAUUUCCUCUCCCUUAAUUAUAGCAAAACAACUCUUUUCCAAUUGAAACUUUGUUUUCUAUAAUUAACAUUGCUAGCUUGCAAUACUUAUCAUAAUUAUAGCUCCCACUGACAUGAUGAUUAUUGGCAUAACACUUAUGCUCCCACUAGCUUUGANNNNNNNNNNNNNNNNNNNNNNNNNNNNNNNNNNNNNNNNNNNNNNNNNNNNNNNNNNNNNNNNNNNNNNNNNNNNNNNNNNNNNNNNNNNNNNNNNNNNGUUUAAUUAGAGAAACCUAGAUCCAAGCAUUAGGGUUUUCAUGUGUACAUAGGAAUGUUCAUAUGGCCAAAACCCAUCAGUAUUUUGGGGAACUCACUAAGCAUUUAUGCUUAUAGUUGCUGUGUUAUGUGUUUCAGGUACUAGUGAUGAGUGCAGGAAGGUGCCGGUAUGAUUCGUACACACACGCAUUGGAGUCUUUGUAGAGAUUCUGGGAAGAUGUUUUGUGACAAUAACAUUUGAUACAAUGUGUUUGAUAUUAUAUUAUGAAUGAAUGAAUGUUUUAAAAAUGAAAAAUUAUUUUGAAAAUUUACUUCGUUACAGAAACCCUAAAACCUUUCUAUCCCUUGUGAAGUAAGUGUGUGAUCAUUGCGGGCAAUCUUGGUGCGCUUCUAUGAAGGAGGAUGAAGAGCUAUGUGAUUUGGAUCAAAGAAAGGAUGUAGAUCGGUGGUUUUGAGUGCAUUAGUUGUUGUGUGUGUUGGAUUAAUGUCUAAGUCCAUAACUAUAAUUGGUAAGACUUGACCCGACCCGGCAUGGUCCAUUUGGGUUGCAUGGCAUCGUGCACUUGGAUAGACUAUAAUGAGAGAAAUAAGACACUUAUGGUUAUUAGUAUAUUAUAAGUUCUAGUAUAUUAAUAAUAAGAAUAAUAAGAUUUUUUAAUUAGUAUUGAUCAAGAAUUAAUCUAGGAUUAAUUAAGUGAUCAAAAGAAGACUAAUUAGAUAUAUGGGUUGAUUGUGUAAAUCAUCCAUACUUGUAUAGUGGGCUAAUGCUCCAUGGAUAAUCAAGUUGGGCUAAAACCCAUAGGAUGGUCCAUGGAUGCUCCAUGGUGUAUUUGUACCCAUGGAUCAUGGAAAUGAAAGGCCAUGUCAAUUAGGGUUUACAUGGUGUAACCCUAACUAUAUAAGCAUCUUAUUCUUGACCAAGAUCGGCCACUAGUGUGUGAAGUAAAAGGGCUAGCUGAUUUCAUGAAGUGUAGAAUUCUCUCAAGUUACUCUAAGUGUUUUGGUGAAUUGUGAUUCCAUUUGAGACUUCCACACUAUUGGGGCUAGGCACUCAAGCUUCAUGAAGACUUUNNNNNNNNNNNNNNNNNNNNNNNNNNNNNNNNNNNNNNNNNNNNNNNNNNNNNNNNNNNNNNNNNNNNNNNNNNNNNNNNNNNNNNNNNNNNNNNNNNNNCUUGCCUAAUAUAGUUGCAGCCUUAGACAUUAUUCCAACAAAUACCACAUACAGCACAUACGCCACUUGAGGCUAUAAUACAACCCUCCGGUCGAUGUGUCUCAGCGGGACCCUCCAGUCCCGUAGCUCGUUGGACCCUUUGGUCCGGUCAUAGUUUGUUAGACCCUCCGGUCUGGUAUAUAUCAUCAUACAACAUACAAAUAUCACAUAGCACAUAAUCACAUACAUAACACAUAAGACCCUCUGGUCAUCGUAUAGUACCACUCUAGGUAACGUAUAGUGAGAAGACUCACCUCGAUGUCUCGGUAAGUAUCUGACUCGGAAGAAAUGUGAUCUAGCCUCCGCCUAAUUACAUAAAGUAAAUACUCCCAUAAAUACAACUGUACUCAACCCUAAAAGUCAACAAGGUCAACGGUCAAACUUUGACCCGACACGGCGAGUGCACUAGGGCGACUCGGCGAGUCUACUCGUGUCCACUGACUCUCUUAGAACCUCUCUUGGCACGUCGAGUACUUCCCUGGACUCAAUGAGUUCCACCUGGCAUGAAUCGCGGGGCCACCCCAAAUCAACUCGCCGAGUCUCAAGAACAACUCGGCGAGUUCCAACUUGAACUCAGACCCCUGACUCUCCCUGACUCACCGAGUCAUUCCCCCAACUCGGCAAGUCCACUCACUGAGUGAUUAACGGGCAACCUUCAUACUACUCGCCGAGUCUGUUCUUCGGACUUGGCGAGUUCUUGCCAUGCACAAACUCAAAACAACUUCUGAGGUCAGAUCUGUUCCAUACAAUCAUAGAUCUGGCCUCUCCAAGCAUGAUAAACACGUAAAGUUCGGACAUUGGCACUCAUAUAACAUCUAAAUGGUCCAAAAUGGUGAUUUAGCCCCAAAAAUGACAUUCCUAGCCCAUGGCUCCCAAAAGGACUCACAAAGCUCCAAGGGUUAAGGCCUCUAGACCUCUUUGGUUCCAGAUCCAGAACACAAACUCGAGAAGGGACCAAAUGCUCUACUUAAUCCACCUCUAAAAGGGUUAGAAAACCCUAACACAAAGGAUCAACAUCAAAACUGAAGAAGGUCCGAGAAUAAUACCUCAAUACAAUCUCUAUGAGCUCAAAAACCACCAAAAUAGCACCUCCUUCAGCCUCCUCUUGCCUUGAACACUUCCUUCUUGCAAAAUCACCCACAAAAGUUCAAGAUUGGCCUCACCUUCCUUACAAACGCUCUAAAUCUCUUUAGGGUUUCUCUCUGGGGGUUGGUGGCCGCAAAUGACGGCCAUAAGGCCCUUUAAAUAUGUCUCAAACCCUGGAAAUUAGGGUUUCAUUAAACAGCAUGGACUCGCCGAGUCCACUCGAGAACUCGCCGAGUCCAGCAGUAAACUCGCAUACGAAUCUGCGACCAUCCUCGGCGAGUUUAGAUGCCAACUCGUCGAGUCCCCCCACAUUAUCCAAAAAUAAAAGAACAAAAUACAAUACCUGGGAACCCGGAUGUUACAAUUCUCCCCCACUAGAAUCAGACUUCGCCCUCGAAGUCUCACUCUGAAAACAACUCUGGAUGCUGCUCCCGCAUCUCACACUCUGGUUCCCAAGUUAACUCUGACCCUUUUCGAUGCUGCCACUGGACCUGCACCAGAGGCANNCUCAAAACCUUGAUUUUCCGAUCCCUGAUCUCCACCGGUCUCUCAGCAUAAUUCAGGCUUGCAUCCACCUGAAUAUCUUCUAAUGGUACCACUGCCGACUCGUCGGCUAUACACUUUGCAACUGCAACAUGUGGAAAGUGUCAUGAAUCUGAACCAAGUCUGCUGGCAACUCCAAACGAUAGGCUACCCUGCCUACCCUCGCGAUCACCUAGAAAGGACCAAUAUAUCGGGGCCCCAACUUGCCCCUCUUCCCGAAUCGGAUCACUCCUUUCCAAGGAGAGACCUUCAGGAGCACGAUGUCGCUGACCUGAAACUCGAGCUCCGACCGACGUCUGUCCGCAUAACUCUUUUGACGACUCUGAGCGGUCAACAACCUCUGUCUGACCUGCUGGAUCUGCUCUGUCAUCUGAAGCACAAUCUCGGUGCUGCCCAUCACACGCUGCCCUACUUCUCCCCAGCAAAUAGGUGUUCGACAACUCCUCCCAUACAACAGCUCAAAGGGCGGCAUGCAAAUGCUCGAAUGAUGGCUGUUGUUAUAUGAAAACCCCGCCAAGGUCAAAUACAUGUCCCAACUCCCGCCAAAAUCCAACACACAUGCCCGGAGCAUGUCCUCGAGCGUCUGAAUCGUCCGCUCACUCUGCCCGUCAGUCUGUGGGUGGUAUGCGGUACUAAAAUGCAGUUUCGUACCCAAUUCCUCAUGAAACUUCUUCUAGAAUCUGGAAGUGAAACGUAUAUCUCGAUCUGAGAAAAUCAGGAUCGACAUUCCAUGCCACGAUACUACCUCUCUCAUGUACAUCUCCACCAACUUAUCCGCGGAAGAACUCUCACUGAUGGCCAGGAAGUGAGCACUCUUCGUCAACCUGAACACAAUCACCCAAAUUGCAUCAACACCCCUCACGGUCCUUGGCAAUUUGGUGAUGAAAUCCAUGUUAAUCUGUUCUCAUUUCCAUUCGGGAAUAUCUAAUGGCUGCAGCUUACCAUGUGAACGCUGGUGCUCGACCUUCACCCCGCGACAGGUCAAACACCUCUCUACAAACCAUGCGACAUCCCUCUUCAUACAAGGCCACCAAUAAUCCUUUUUCAAGUCUAAAUACAUCUUAGUGGCCCCGGGAUGGAUCGAGAAUUUCGAUCGAUGGGCCUCCUCCAUCAAAAUGGUACGCGUGCCGCCCACGGACGGUACCCAAAUCCGACCCUGAAAUGUCAUAAGCCCCCGGCUAUCGGUAACUAAUUCUGAUACCAGUCCGACAACUCGCUCUCUCUUUUGGCUUUUUGGCUUCACAUCCUCAGCCUGGGCCCCACGAAUAGCAUCCAACACCGGGGUCGUCACUGACAAUCUCAAACAGACAUCACAUAUUGGGGCACCCUCCGCCCUGCGACUCAAAGCAUCGGCUACCACACUAGCCUUGCCCGGGUGGUACAUGAUCUCAUAAUCAUAACCCUUGACCACGUCCAACCACCUCCUCUGGCGUAUAUUCAGGUUGGGCUGAUCCAUCAAAUACUUCAAGCUCUUGUGGUCCGUGUAUAUCGUACACGGAACCCCAUACAGAUAAUGUCGCCAGAUCUUGAGAGUGAACACUGCCGCUCCCAGCUCCAAAUCAUGAAUGGGAUAUCUCGACUCAUGAGGCUUAAGCUACCUCGAUGCAUAUGCAAUCACAUGCCCCCUCUGCAUAAGCACCGCUCCCAAUCCGGAUAUCGAUGCAUCACAAUAAACCACAAAAUCUUCCAUCCCUUCCGGAAGAGCUAACACUGGUGCUUCACAUAAUUUCUGGCGAAGUGUCCCGAACGAGGUCUGCUGCUCCAGACCCCAAGAAAACGCAACACCCUUCCGGGUCAACCUGGUAAGUGGUACGACGAUCUUGGAGAAAUCCUUAAAAGAUCUCCGAUAAUAGCCGGCCAAACCCAGAAAACUCCUGAUCUCGGUGGGUGACCUCGGCACCUCCCACCUCAUGACCGCCUCAAUCUUGGCCGGAUCAAACAAUAUCCCAUUCUGGUUAACAAGGUGUCCCAGAAACUCAACCUCUCGUAGCCAGAACUCACAUUUGGAGAACUUGGCAUAAAGCCUCUCCGAUCUCAGAACUCCGAGGAUCUCCCUCAAAUGCUUCUCAUGCUACUCUCUGGAUUUUGAAUACACCAAUAUGUCGUCGAUGAACAUGAUCACUGAGCGAUCCAACAUCGGUCUGCAGACCCUGUUCACAAGAUCCAUGAAUACCGCCGGUGCGUUGGUGAGUCCGAAAGGCAUCACCACGAACUCGUAAUGCCCAUAACGAGUCCGAAAUGCUGUCUUCUGGAUGUCCCCCUCCUGCAACCUCACCUGAUGAUACCCAUACCUCAAAUCGAUCUUGGAGAACCAAGAUGCUCCCUGCAACUAAUCAAACAAAUCAUCGAUCCACGACAAUGGGUAACGGUUCUUGACCGUUAGCUUAUUCAGCUCACGAUAAUCAAUGCACAUCUGAAGCGAACCAUCCUUCUUCUUGACAAAAAGAAUAGGCGCCCCCCAUGGCGAACUGCUCGGCCUGAUAAACCCCUUUCCCAGUAGCUCCUGAAGCUGCGAGAAGAACUCCUGCAUCUCCGAAGGCACAAGGCGAUAAGGCGCCUUAGCGAUAGGCGCAGCUCCCGGAACCGACUCAAUACCAAACUCUACCUGCCUCUCCGGAGGCACACCCGACAAUUCCUCUGGAAACACAUCCGGGAACUCGCGCACUAUCGGAACCUCCUCAACCGACUUCGGUCUCUCUGAAACAACCCUCACAUCCAUCACAUAUGCCACAAAUCCUCUACAUCCCCGCUAUAGACUCUGUCUCGCUCUGGCAGCCGAACAAAAUGUUGACCCUGCACGUGUACCCUCACCGUGCACUGUAAGAACUCCUCCACUAGGGUCUCGAUUCGUCACCAACUAACGCUCACAGUCUAUCACAACUCCAUAUCAGCUCAACCAAUCCAUACCCACUAUAACACAUACGUCCCCCAUCGUGAUCAGAACCAGAUCUAUCGGAAACUCCACACCGAAGAUCUCAAGGACACAUCCUCGAAUCACAUCAGAAGCAUACACUGCUCACUCAUCAGCUAUGGAAACUCGCAAAGGCCGAUCCAACGCCUCUCGACGGAUACUAAUAUGCUGACUAAAUGCUACGGAAACAAACGACCGACUCGUACUCGAGCCAAAUAAUACCAACGCAGGCACAUAACUCACAAGAAAAGUACCUAUGCAUAUCAUCAUAUAUGUUGGAUUGGUGUCUAAGUCCAUAACUAUUUUGGUAUGUACUUGACACGAUGGGGCAUGUUCCUUUUGGGUUGCCUUCACCAAAGCAACUUGAUAGGAUGAAUUAUGGAGAGAAAGGAUUAAUUAUGAUUUAUUAAUAUAUUAUGAGAAUAAUAUAUUAAAGGAGAAAUCAUAUUGUUUAAUUAAUAUUAGUCAAGAAUUAAUAAGAAUUAUGUUUGUGGCUAAAAGACAUUGAUUAAACUUAAGGGACUAGAACUGUCAAUUGUAUGAUAGUUGAAUAUUGAGCUAAUGGACUCCAUAUUAAAGGGGUGGACGAAUUCUAUGGGGAAACCCAUUAGAAAUCGUCAUAGGCAUUUAAGGAAGGAGCUCAUGGGUUGCUUAGGGCCUAAGCAUCCAAAUUAGGGUUUCCUUGUUAGAUAACCGUAAUAGCCUCUCUAUUUAAAGGACCUCAAAAACGUGGGGAACUAAUUGAUUAGGUUUUGCACACGUUUUUGGGCAGCCUCCUUCUCUUCUCUUCUUCAUCCUCUUGCUCUUGGUGUUUGUGAACCAUUAAAGGAGUGACAUUUGUGACUCUAAGCUUUCUAAAGUCAAUACAAGAAGGAUUUGAGAUUGUUAUUGCUACAUAACAAUCAAGGUAUGAUCUAAACCCUAAUUUAUAUGUUAUAUUGAUCAUCAUAUGCUAGAUCUAGGGUUUAUAGUCUUGGAUGAAUUGCAUGUACAAUAGAGAAACCUAGAUCCAAGCAUUAGGGUUUGUAUGAGCACAUAGGAUGUUCUUAUGGCUAAAACCCAUCAGUGGUAUCAGAGCCUUGAUUGGUUUCUAUUGUAUUGAUGCCUUGUAUGUUUGUUCAAGUUGCAAAAUCGAGUUUUGAGCUCCCUGCCUGAUGAACUCGGCGAGUACCACAGUGUACUCGGCGAGUAGGCCUCAACUCGGCGAGUCCAGUGUGGUACUCGGCGAGUUUGAGCGUCAGAUGGAGCUAUUUUCGGGAUUUCUUGCUGUUUUACUCAUGGAUACUUGCCUUAUCUGUUUUAGGUCAUUAAAAUCCGAUUUUAUACAUAUUUAUGAGUAUAUCCUUGAUUAAACAAAAGAUAAUUACCAAUUGAUUAGAUAAUAACUUCCUUAUAUGAUUAAAGUUGGAUUAUUUGUAUUAAUUGGGUAACUUAUUUUGCAAGAAAUUGAAAUUAGGUCAAAUAUAGAUAAUGAUGAAAUUAAUUGUUUAAUUUAUAUUAUUUGUUAUUUGAUCCUUGUGUUAUGAAAAGUUUCAAUUUUCCCCUUUAGGUUUUAUAGUUUAAAUUUGAACUCAAAAGUUUUGUUUUGAAAUUUAAAUAGUUGAAACCCUAAUGUUUUGAAAAGGUUUCAAAACUUGCCCUCAAGUUUUGGAAUUUAAAUUUUGAUUAAAAGUUUAAUUUUGAUGUAUAUUUAAAUUCUAAACCCUAAUGUUUUGAAAUGUUUCAAAACUUGCCCUCAAGUUUUGGAAUUUAAAAGUUGAUUAAAAGUUUAAUUUAGGAAUGUUAAAUUCUAAAACCCUAGUAUUGUUUUGAAAAGUUCAAAUCACACCCUUAUGGUUUUAUUAAUUAAUUAAGGUGUAUAAUUAAAAGAGGUUUAAUAAAUCCAUAAAAGUUUUGGUUUACAAUUUAAUUGAAUUAAAAGUAUAAUUGUUAAAUUUGACCACCUAGUAUUUUAAAAGUGUAAAAUACACCCUAUACUAUAUAUAACAUUAAAAGUCUAACAUUAUAUAUAUGUAUGAGUAAAAGUCAGUCUUACCGUUAGUAGGCCUCAUUCACGAAGCUGGUCUAUAAGGGGUGUUUAAGGAAAUUGCCUAUAAAAUGGCGAUUGAAUGGGUAUCCACUCUUACCCACCGCACUCUUGACUAGUGGAGGGUCGUUAGCCGAACGGGUAGGAUAGGACAAAACCUUCCAUUAUAAGUAUAAUGAAGUACAAAAGUAACUAAAUGUUUUACAAAUUCCCAAUCUUAGUUACUUAGGCAAAAGUGAAUUGAUGCAAUUCCAUGAAAUUACACUUUGUGCCCUUGCGAAGACGUUAGUGGAGCGUGUGUGGUUUACCGGCACACUAAAUGGUUCUAAGCAAAGGUAGCAAAGGGUGACUCAAUGUUUGUCAUAGUUCGGUGGAGCGUGUGUGGUUUACCGGCACAUCGAAUAGGUGACUGUAACAUGUGAGGGCACCAUGUAAGUUUGCAUGGUUAUUCACACCCGCUUUGUGAUCCUCGGCAUCCCAGUCACAAACAAGAGGGGCAUAUCGAGAUUUAAACAUGCCAUUGAAAGUUCAAUGAAUCUCAAAGGAUCUAGGAGUUUUCAUAGAUUUAAAACUUAAAUUUCUUUUUCGUUUUUCAUGGUGGAAAUUAGUGAAUCGUCAUUCACUUACCUUCAAAUAUUCUGCAAUUAGGGUUACGGCAUCCCUCUCCCGAGUUGUAGAAUAUUGUGUUGGGUCCUAGCCUUAGUAUCUCAUUUGGGUGAUUUACUAAGGACUCAAUCAAUCAACUAACUUGAAUUCGUUUUCUCCCGUUUUGUAGAUGUCAAAGUUCGACAACUAUGGUCUUCCCAAAUCCCGUGGAACAAGCAUUCCACAUGAAGAUGAUAUUCCACGAUUCGAUCGAGGAACAAGAAAUCAUGCUUCACUUCCUCCUCCUCCUCCAAUUAUUCUCCCUAACCCACAAGUUCAAAGGCUUGAAAAGUUCAAGAUCACUCAAGCCCUUUUGGCAAGUAAACAUAAAGAAGGAAAGUCGGUGUGUGCACACGUCCUAGGGAUGAAGUCACACAUUGAUAGGUUAAGAAUGUUGGGAUCCGUUGUCUGUGAGGAAAUGGCUGUUGAUUGGGUUCUUCAGUCACUUCCUAACUCAUAUAGUGAGUUCGUAAGAGAGUACUAUAUGAUGAACCGCGACGUGACCCUUAUAGAUCUCACCUAUAUGCUUAUUGCUGCUGAAUCAGCAAUGGUUUGGCGCAAUAGAAAAGCAAAGUUGAUUGGUGAAUCUGCCUUCAAGACCUCUAUGGAUAUAGACAAUGGCAACGAAAGACAUGCUAUGAUCGAAAAGUUUGAUCAUAAGAGAAAGGCAAUGUCUGAAGUAGUUCCAUGUCAUGUUCCAAAAGAGUCAAUUUGCUUUUAUUGCCAAGAGAAAGGGCAUUGGAGACGAAGCUGCCCCAUUUACCUAAGAGAUCUAAGAGAUGGGAGAGUCGAAACGUAUGGCUCUAAUAUAGGUAAAAUCCAUUAACUAACUCUUUUAAGCUUCUAUUCUAGAUUCUUAAUACAUAAUGUGAUAAGAUUACAAUUGAUGUUUUGUAGGAUCGAAGAAAAGAAAGGAAGCUUAAGGGAAGAAGUGAGCAGAAUCUAACCGUGAAGGAAUGGAUUUCGAUCGCAUUUCUCGAAGAUUAGAUUCUUGAGCUACUACUUAGAGUUAGAAUUAGAUUGCUAAGAAAGAUGUAUUAGCAUAGUUUUUCAAUGAAUUGCAUUGUAAGGACAAAUUUUUUCCGCAAUAAAAUAAAUUUUGAUUUUAUAUUAUUUAUUUAUCCUUGCAAUGGCGUAUAUGAAAAAUUGAUGUUUGAAUGUUUCUAUUAUUAGCAAUAAUGGAUUUGGUUCUUAUUAUGUUAUUUAUGGAAAGUCGAGAGUUUACCAAAUAGGGAGAGUUUCUCAUCGCCCAAGUUUCAAUUGGACAGAAACUUGGAAUCAUGCAACUUGGUUGCACGAUGAAUGAGAAAUUUCAUAUUUGGAAAUUAGACUAAUUCAUUGACAAAGUGUCAAGUGAAGGACUAGGAGAUCGAGUACACAAAGUUGCGUGUUGAUCAAGUCCACCAUAAGAGUAACAAAGAUAUUCGUCAUGAUUUACUAAAGGUUUAGUAAAUAUGAUUAUACUUACAAGAUUAAGUGUAAUUCUGAAUUGAUUGAAAAAGUUUAAAUCAAUAGCAGAACGAAUAAGAAGAAUCAAGUAGGCAGAAAGAUAAAAGUUUCUCCAUUCUAAGAAGAAGGGAGAGUACCUUUUAUGCUUUAUGAUAGGUCUUAAUGAUUAAGAACCAUAUCUCAAUUGAUCCUCUAAGUGAGUCUUAGUACAAUUGUAUGUCUAAGAAGAGGAAUCAAGAAUUGAAGAAAUGGUUAAAUCAAGAAGUCAAUCAUACUUCGUUCCAAAACAAGUCUUAGAGUUAAGAUUGUGACAUUGAGUGAUAAGUAUUAAGAAGGUUUAUAACAUUCAUCAAAUGUGGAAAGUUGUGAUGUCUUGGAUAAGACAAAGACCAACUAGGACCAAUUUAUGAAGUGUUUUGAUAAAAGCUACACUAACUCUUGAAUAUUUGUUUGUCAAGAAAUGUUUAUUGACAAGAGAAUCUUAUAUGUCAAGGAGUCAGUGGGAGUCUUAAUGGUCUUGAAAGGUUUCAAGAACAAAUCAAAUAAACCUUAUCGAUCAUCACUAGCACACGAGUUGAGGUUUACAACCUAUCGUGUUGACAUUAUUUUGUUUCUGUGCCAAUCCAAUCGAGUUAAUUAUGCAUGUGAGUUCUAUGAGUUCUCAUUUUGAACGCAUAAAAGGCAAAGCACCUUAAUCAAUGAAAGGUACAUUGAUAGGAAAGGGUGAGCUGCUUAACUACUUGGAAGACAUGGUGGGCAGCUGUGCUACCAUAAGGCAAGAAAUCAAGAUUAAGAAAGUUCGGUCCAUAUGAGUUUGAAUUUGUCGUAAACUUUGGUUUUAACAAAUUCACAUGGAUAGGAACACAUACACCAUUAAAAUCUAAGUGUCAUAAGAUUCCCUCCUUCAUGAAAAUGACUGUGAGGAAAUGCUUUCACUAAGGAAGAUUUUAAGAAGAUAGUGAUUGUGAAAAUUGUAUUCUCGAAUUCGAUUAUGGUUACGGUAUCCCUUUCCAUGAUUCGAAUUAUGAGAUUUGGCAAUUAGUCUAAAUUGUUUAAGACACACAUAUAAACUAUCUAAGGCAAAGGUGUAUAAGUUUAAGAAGCCUUGAUAAAAGAUUAUCAAAGCAUUGGGUAUUAGAAUUAUGAACUUAAAGAAAUUCAAUAGGCAUUGUUUUACUAAAAGUUAAGUUGUUUCUGAAUACAUGUCAAAGCUAGUGGGAGCAUAAGUGUUAUGUUUGUAAUAAUCAUCAUGAUAAUGGGAGCAUAAAUGUUAUGCUUGUAUGAUUAUUAAGGCAAGUAUUGCAAGUUAGCAAUAUUAAUUAUAGAAAACAAGAGUUAUACUUUGCAAAGUCGCAAUGGUUGAAAAGUUGUUUUGCUAUAAUUAAGGGAGAGAAUAUUAUGCUUCGUUUCAAAUCUAAAGGCUUAGGUUGUGGAAUGUUAAUAAACUUAGUCAAGGAUACAUAGUGUGUUCUUAAAUUUCGAUUAUGAUUACGACAUUCCUCUUCAUAGUUCGAAUUAUAAGAACGUAGCACAUAAAAUAUUAUGGCAGAAGAUUGAUAAAGUAUCAAAUCUUUAUAGAAGACAUUAUGCGUCGUGUCCCAUACGCUUCGGGUAUAGGAUCGAUUUCAAAUGCUAUAAUAUUUGACCAUUCUAAAAUUUUCCAAAUGUCUAGUGCAUUUAGAAGGAAAAGGACAAGAAUCGGCUUUGACUAAGAUAAUUAAACAACUAUCAGAGGACGAUUCAAAGCUCGUUGAGGAUUGGUUGCUUGUGAGUAGUUGGAAGUAUAGGAUUGGAUGGACCAUAUCAACAUUAUUAUGAAUAGAUAAGAUUCUANNNNNNNNNNNNNNNNNNNNNNNNNNNNNNNNNNNNNNNNNNNNNNNNNNNNNNNNNNNNNNNNNNNNNNNNNNNNNNNNNNNNNNNNNNNNNNNNNNNNCUAGGAGAUCUAGUACACAAAGUUGCGUGUUGAUCAAGUCCACCACAAGAGUAACACAAAUAUUCGUCAUGGUUUACUAAAGGUUUAGUAAAUACGAUUAUACUUAUAAGAAUAAGUGUAAUUAUGAAUUGAUUGAAAGAGGUUAAAUCAAUAAUAGAACGAAUAAAAGAAUCAAGUAGGCAGAAAGAUACAAGUUUCUCUAUUCUAAGGGAGAGUACCUUUUAUGUUUUAUGAUAUGUCUUAAUGAUUAAGAACCAUAUCUCAAUUGAUCCUCUAAGAAAAUCUAAGUACAAUUGUAUGUCUGAGAAGAGGAAUUAAGAAUUGAAGAAAUGGUUAAAUCAAGAAGUCAAUCAUGCUUCGUUCCAAAAACAAGUCUUAGAGUUAAGAUUGUGACAUUGAGUGACAAGUCUUAAGAAGGUUUAUAACAUUCAUCAAAUGUAGAAUGUGGAAAAAGGUUUUCUUAUUCUCACACAUUUGAAAUUGGUAAGUUGUGAUGUCUUGGAUAAGACAAAGACCAACNGAUAAAGGCUACACUAACUCUUGAAUAUUUGUUUGUCAAGAAAUGUUUAUUGACAAGAGAAUCUUAUAUGUCAAGGAGUCAGUGGGAGUCUUAAUGGUCUUGAAAGGUUUCAAGAACAAAUCAAGAAUAAACCUUAUCGAUCAUCACUAGCACACGAGUAGAGGUUUACAACCUAUCGUGUUGACAUUACCUUGUUUCUGUGCCGUUCCAAUUGAGUUAAUUAUGCAUGUGAGCCUAUGAGUUCUCAUUUGAAUGCAUAAAAGGCAAGGACCUUGAUCAAUUGAAAGUACAUUGAUAGGAAAGGGUGAGCUGCUUAACUACUUGGAAGACAUGGUGGGCAGCCGUGUUACCAUAAGGCAAGAAAUCAAGAUUGAGAAGGUUCGGUCCAUAUGAGUUUGGAUUUGUCGCAAACUUUGGUUUUGAAAAAUUCACAUGGAUAGGAACACAUACACCAUUAAAAUCUAAGUGUCAUAAGAUUCCCUCCUUCAUGAAAAUGACUGUGAGGAAAUGCUUUCACUAAGAAAGAUUUUAAGAAGAUAGUGAUUGUGAAAAUUGUAUUCUCGAAUUCGAUUAUGGUUACGGUAUCCCUUUCCAUGAUUCGAAUUAUGAGAUUUGGCAAUUAGUCUGAAUUGUUUAAGACACACAUAUGAACUAUCUAAGGCAAAGGUGUAUAAGUUUAAGAAGCCUUGAUAAAAGAUUAUCAAAGCAUUGGGUAUUAGAAAUAUGAACUUAAAGAAAUUCAAUAGGCAUUGUUUUUCUGAAAGUUAAGUUGUUUCUGAAUACAUGUCAAAGCUAGUGGGAGCAUAAGUGUUAUGUUUAUAAUAAUCAUCGUGAUAGUGGGAGCAUAAAUGUUAUGAUUGUAUGAUUAUUAAGGCAAGUAUUGCAAGUUAGCAAUAUUAAUUAUAGAAAACAAGAGUCAUACUUUGCAAAGUUGUAAGGGUUGAAUAGUUGUUUUGCUAUAAUUAAGGGAGAGAAUAUUAUGCUUCAUUUCAAAUCUAAAGGCUUAGGUUGUGGAAUGUUAAUAAAUUUAGUCAAGGAUACAUAGUGUGUUCUCAAAUUUCGAUUAUGAUUAUGGCAUAGUUCGAAUUGUGAGAACGUGGCACAUAAAAUAUUAUGGCAGAAGAUUGAUAAAGUAUCAAAUCUUUAUGUAAGACAUUAUGCAUCGUGUCCCAUACGCUUCGGGUAUAGGAUCGAUUGCAAAUGCUAUAAUAUUUGACCAUUCUAAAAUUUUCCAAAUGUCUAGCGCAUUUAGAGGGAAAAAGGACAAGAAUCGGUUUUGACUAAGAUAAUUAAACAACUAUCAAAGGACAAUCCAAAGUUCGCCGAGGAUUGGUCGCUUGUGAGUAGUUGGAAGUAUAGUAUUGGAUGGACCAUAUCGACAUUAUUAUGAAUAGAUAAGAUUCUAUUAAGAAUGAGUUGUCAUAUGGAAAAUAUGGAAAUGUUUCCAUAUUGGGAGUUGGAUAUUGAGAAUCUAUGUCUAGAUUAGAAACUUUUAUGCAAGAAGGAUGUUCAAAGGAAUGUACUUUGAGUGAGAGACAUCAUAUCUAUAGAAUUGUUUCUGAUAGAGAUUGGCCAAGUCUUGAUGAUUUUGAGCUAUGACUUUACGAAAGAAUCAUUGCAUAAAAUGUUAGAAUCUAGCAUAUUCUAUAAGUGGCAAGAAUUUGAUAUUCUUACACUUGUGAUAAGGAUUGGGAGUUGUGAAAUGAGUAUGAUUGGAAAUGUGUUCAUUUGAUCUAUUUCACAAAGUAAGGACCAUAGGUAAACAUUGUGUGCAUGCUAAGAGCAUGGGACAAGUGUAGUAAUAAUUCAAGUAAGAAGUUGAUUACCCGAAACAACAAAUAAUGAGUAAUCGAUAUGGUGAUAAAUAAAAGGUGUUUUAUUUAUACUCAAAGGUUUGAGGCCAUAUGGGAUUAGUAUUAUUCUUGUGUUUCACUUUGCAUGUUUUGACUUCCUGAAUAAUUAAAUUGGUUCAGAACAGUCAAAUUAUUCGAACGGGCCACAGUCGUUCAUAUGUUGGAAGUAGGUAUGAAUGAAGACUGUCGUGAAUUGGUGUGUGGAUUGUCUAAAGAGUAUUAGACAUAAGCAAAUGUUUGCUGCAACGUUCAUGAGUGCUUAUGAAUAUGAUUUGAGCAUUGGAUUAAACCCACGCUCACUUGGAUCACUUCAUGGAUUUUAUCACGAGUGAUUGGUGAGACGAUAAUAUCUUAUAUUCUUGAAACCGAGAUGUGUGAGUUGUAUCUUGCGAGUCGGUUACACAUUGAUAAUAUGUAAACGCACCAGUAACUUGGUGUUAUAAAACAUAUUGUUGUGUGUGAUUCGGUGAGUGAGUGCAAGCGAGCAUUGAAUCAAAGUUUAUCCGUUCCUUUUAUCCAAAGUAGGAUAAAAGCGAUAUCUUUGGGCCCCUCGAUGAUUUAGUGAUGACAAACGUAAAUGCUCGGCCGGGCUAGGGCUAAUUUGAUUUGUUCAAUUAGUCAGUCGUCAUAAAUCGGAAGUCGAGAAAUAGUACAGAGAGAAUGAUUAGAAAUCAUGUCUCAUACGAUAUCUAGAAUGGAGGAAUAUAUGAUCCCUUAUCUAAAGGACACGCGUAUCUGAUAGGAUCAGAGUUGACAGCGGCUUUGGAAAGCUACGAUUGCAGAUCAGGAUCUGAAGUCAUACGCAUAAUAGUUAUUAGACUUAUCCAAGUGGGAGACUGUUGGAUUAGUGUCUAAGUCCAUAACUAUUUUGGUAUGUACUUGACCCGAUGGUGCAUGGUCCUUUUGGGUUGCCUUCACCAAAGCAACUUGAUAGGAUGAAUUAUGGAGAGAAAGGAUUAAAUAUGAUUUAUUAAUAUAUUAUGAGAAUAAUAUAUUAAAGGAGAAAUCAUAUUGUUUAAUUAAUAUUAGUCAAGAAUUAAUAAGAAUUACAUUUGUGACUAAAAGACAUUGAUUAAACUUAAGGGAAUAGAACUGUCAAUUAUAUGAUAGUUGAAUAUUGAGCUAAUGGACUCCAUAUUAAAGGGGUGGACGAAUUCUAUGGGGAAACCCAUUAGAAAUUGUCCUAGGCCUUUAAGGAAGGAGCCCAUGGGUUGCUUAGGGCCUAAGCAUCCAAAUUAGGGUUUCCUUGUUAGAUAACCAUAAUAGCCUCUCUAUUUAAAGGACCCUUAUUGCUCAAGAACGUGGGGAACUAAUUGAUUAGGGUUUACACAUGUUUUUGGGUAGCCUCCUUCUCUUCUCUUCUUCAUCCUCUUGCUCUUGGUGUUUGUGAACCAUUAGAGGAGUGACAUUUGUGACUGUAAGCUUUCUAAAGUCAAUACAAGAAGGAUUUGAGAUUGUUAUUGCUACAUAACAAUCAAGGUAUGAUCUAAAACGUAAUUUAUAUGUUAUAUUGAUCAUCAUAUGCUAGAUCUAGUGUUUAUAGUCUUGGAUAAAUUCCAUGUACGAUAGAGAAACCUAGAUCCAAGCAUUAGGGUUUGUAUGAGCACAUAGGAUGUUCUUAUGGCUAAAACCCAUCAAUAUAAGCAUAAAAACUCAACUCAAAUAAAAGAUGAAAAGAGAGUACAUACCUGUCACAACAUCUGGCACCGCGCGGACCUCCUCCGCGGUCAACUGAAAUGCUCUGCCACGAGCCUUCGGGGCCUCGACCUUCACCGGCCGAACCUCGAUAGUCCUAGCAGCAGGCGCAGAUCCCUGUGCUGAUCCCUGAAGAAGCUACGGGCAGUCGGCCUUCCGAUGGCUGGUCUGGUUGCAAUGAAAGAAAACCGAGAAUCCCUUGGGGUAAUCCCUCGCGAUAUGCCCCUCCUUCCCACACUUGUAUCAUACCCCUGCCCUGCACGACCCUUCGUGACUCUUAUCGCUUCCCACAAGUGCGGCCCUUCGCGCCUCCAGAUCUCGAAUCAGCGGGUCUAGCCCGCUUGGCCGCCGGCUGAGACUGAUCCGGCCGUCGAUCCGCCCUCUGUGACUUGGCCUCCUCCCUGGCCUGAGUCUCCAACUCAAUCUCCCUUUUCCGGGCAUUUGCCUGGAGCUCGGAAAAUGUACGGUAAGUCGAGUUUGCCACGAACUCCCGAAUAUCUCUCCUCAACACGCUCAGAUAACGGCUCAUACGAGCCUGCUCAGAUGACACCUGCUCAGGGCAAAAGAUCUCCCUCUCAUGAAACUUCCUGGUGAUCACUGCCACGGAAUCAGUACCCUGCUUGAGGGUCAAUAACUCCUGAAUCAACCGUUCCCUCUCCAUCGAGGGAACAUACUCCUCUCUGAACCCCUCCCAGGUCACCUCGGAGAUCUCAGCCAAAGUGAAGUUCUCCGUCACGAACUUCCACCAAUCCUUCGCUCCCAGGCGGAGCUGGUUCAAGGCGAACCGAACCCUCAAGUGCUCUGGACUAGAACACGUAUAGAAGCAUCCAUCAAUGUCAGAGAUCCACAUCAUAGUGGCAAUCGGGUCCUGUAUCCCGUUAAACUAUGGUGGCUUCGUGUUGCUGAACUCCCUGAACAACAAUGAGUCACCUCCGUGAGGUCUGGCAGCAGCAACAGCAGCAGUAGCUGCAGCUGCAGCAACCUCAGUCAGCACGGCGUACCGCUCAUCAAAGGUCUCAAUCAAUAUGGUCUUGAUGUCCCCAAACAUCUCCGGAAUCUCAGCUCGGAUGGCAGCAGCAACCUCCUCAUGAAUCAAUCGACGGAUCUCCUCGUCGCUGACACCACUGCUCUCAGGUGUGUGUCGAGUCCCAACCAUGAUGCCUCUGAAAUACAACAAAAAUUAUCAGAGAGUCUAUCGAGCGUACACAUACUCGAUGACGCAACCCUACUUGUCCUCCGUUGUCCAAAAGAUUCUUACUUGGAAUGCCCCUGAUCCGGUGUCUUCAGUAGUACGGGCCCAAUACUACUGACCACACCGCAUCAGUAUUCACUACAAGUCCUCCUCCUUGGAUCUUGGAUUACAAGUACUCUACUCCCAUGAGCUCUUAACUGCUAUCUACUUGCUCUCAAAGCAUCUCAGCAGCAAAAAUCUCCUAGGCUAAGGCAUCACAAAUCAGGCCACUCUAGUCCUAAUAUGUAUACCUAGCCUACCCUAGCAUGAAUAACAUAACAUAUCUCAUAACACAUAAUGUAAGGGUACUUUUGGGGAUUCACCGUUCGGGCACUGGCUGAUCGUACACACGACUCUACUCUAUUUGUCUCAAAACUCUUUUUACUCUUUUCAAAAAUUUUACUUCAUUAGCAAAAAAAUUUCUCAAAUCCUCAGUUAGAAUUCAGAUAUGCCCGAAGAUGCAUCUGAAUCCCUCAAACCAGGGCUCUGAUACCAACUUGUAACGAUGUAAAUUUUCAAAAUAAUUUUUCACUUUUAAAACAUUCAUUCAUUCAUAAAAUAAUAUCAAACACAUUGUAUCAAAUGUUAUUGUAACAAAACAUCUUCCCAGAAUCUCUACAAAGACUCCAAUGCUUGUGUGUACGAAUCAUACCGGCGCCUUCCCGCUGUAACUCCCUGAAUUUCAAAAUAAUUUUUUCGCAAAUUAUAAAAACAUUUCUCAUUCAAUUUUCAUAAAACAUUAAGUUUAAAUCCCAAUUCACAUCAUACAAAAUCCCAAGAUCACAUAUAUAUCAAAAAUCCCAUGCGUGUGUACAGAUCAAGCCGGCGCCUUCCCACGGUCAUCGCUAGUACCUGAAACAACAACACUAACACUAUAAGCACAAAGCUUAGUGAGUUCCCCAAAAUACCACAUAAACAUAUAUUAGCCACUCGAGGCUAUAACUCUAUGGGUCCGUGCACCCAAGCUCUGUGAACCCUCAGGUUCUAACUCUGGGAACCUUCCGGUUCCAACUCUAUAAACAUGCACAACAUAAAUCACAUAGACAUCAUGCAGUACAACACAUAGCAUACACAUAACAUACACAUACUCUGACACAUAACUCUGAUCACCUACUCAAGGUAAAGUAUAGUGAGAAGACUCACCUCGUGUAUCUCGAUAACUCGCGAAUCCUGGAAAUCACUCGUGCUCGAUCCUCCGAGCUAUAAUCCUCCUAUAACAUCAGAUGUCUCUAAUUAACACUUUUACCACUAAGGUUGACUACCCCUAUCAAGUCAACACUGGUCAACUCUGGUCAACGGUCAACGGUCAACUUUGACCGGACUCGGCGAGUGCACUAGGGCGACUCGGCGAGUCUANUUCUCUUUUGACACGUCGAGUACUCCCCUGACUCGACGGGUUCCACCUGGCAUGAAUCGCGGGGCCACCACGACUCAACUCGCCGAGUCUCAAGAACAACUCGGCGAGUCCCAGCUCGACUCAGUCCAACUGUCAACCCUCACUAACUCUCCCUGACUCACUGAGUCGACCCUUAACUCGGCAGGACCACUCACUGAGUGGUUAAGGACAAUCUUCAUGCUACUCGCCGAGUCUGUUCUUCAGACUCGGCGAGUCCAUGCCAUGCAUCUACUCAAACUAGCUUCUGAGGUCAGAUCCGCACCAUCCACUCAUAGAUCUGGCCCUCCUAAGCUUAUUUACCACGUAAAGUCUAUAUCUUGGUGCUCAUAACACACCUACAAGGCUCUUUUUGGAGAAAUAACCUCUAAAAUGGCAACCCUAGCCUCUAACCCAAAAGAGAGGGCAUAAAGCAUGACAUUAGGGACUCUCUGGACCUACUAAGGUCCAGAUCUAAGCACCAUAUCCCCAUGGGACCUCUCACACUUCCAAUACAAAGCAAAUAAGGCAUGAAGAAACCCUAGAUUUGACCAAAUCAACAAAAAUACGGAAAUAAGCUCUGAAUGAUACCUCAAGAAGCCUCCUCUGAUGAAAUGAAAGAAGAUCCAAGCUCCCCAACUCCUCUAGCUUGACUUUCCUCUUCCUUUCUUGCAAAAACACACAAAUUUGGUGAACAAUAGCCUCUUAUCUCACUCACACGAAUCCCUCAGCUGCUUUGGUGCUCUCAAGAUAAAGGUAGCCGCAAUGAAGGGCCAUAAGGUCCUUUAAAUAGGGCUUAGGACCGGGAAUUUAGGGUUUCAUUAAACAACGAGGACUCGCCGAGUCCAUUCCUUGGACUCGUCGAGUCCGGGCGCGAACCCGCGACCUGAACCGCGAUCCUACUCGGCGAGUUUGAGCUCCAACUCGCCGAGUCCCCUCACAAAACUCCAAAAAUAUAAGCAUAAAAGAUACCUGGAGAUCCGGGCUGUUACACCCGCGCUCAUCACUAGUACCUGAAACACAUAACACAACAACUGUAAGCAUAAAUGCUUAGUGAGUUCCCCAAAAUACCACAUACAACACAUACGCCACUCGAGGCUAUAAUACGACCCUCCGGUUGAUGUGUCUCAGCGGGACCCUCCAGUCCUGUAGCUCAUUGGACCCUUUGGUCCUGUCAUAGGUCGUUGGACCCUCAGGUCCGAUCUAUAUCAUCAUACAACAUACAAACAUCACAUAGCACAUAAUCACAUACAUAACACAUAAGACCCUCUGGUCAUCGCAUAGUACCACUCUAGGUAACGUAUAGUGAGAAGACUCACCUUGAUGUCUCGGUAAGUAUCUGACUCGGAAGAAAUGUGAUCUAGCCUCCGCCUAAUUACAUAAAGUAAAUACUCCCAUAAAUACAACUGUACUCAACCCUAAAAGUCAACAAGGUCAACAAUUAAACUUUGACCCGACUCGGUGAGUGCACUAGGGCGACUCGGCGAGUCUACUCGUGUCCGUUGACUCUUUUAGACCCUCUCUUGGCACGUUGAGUACUUCCUUGUGAGUUACACCUGGCAUGAAUCACAGGGCCACCCUGACUCAACUCGCCGAGUCUCAAGAACAAGUUGGCAAGUUCCAACUAUUAAGAUGGACCAAGCAGAUAACUCUUAACUCAAUGUGAGAAGAGUAAGGUAGCUCAUUACUUGAGUUAUUUUAUAAGCCUAAUUGGGAAGAAAGGAUUUGUAUAUAUCGAAUCAGUAAGGCUUCACUCAAAGUCUUGGAAGCUUCGGUCGACAUGCAACAACAUGCUUCUAGGGACACUUAACUAGUACAUAGAUAAAGAGUGUUAUUCCUGUCCCAGUCUCCGUCACAUAAGUGCAUCUAUGAUAUUGAAGUAUAAAAAGAAAAUACUUUUGGUUUUUUAUGAAUUUUUUGAAAAAGAAAUAAAAACAGACAAUAAAAUAUUGUUGAGUUCUAUGAAUUUUCUGAAAAUCAAAUAAAAACAGAAAAGAAAAUAUUUUUGAGUUUUGGAAAUUAAUUGAAAACAUAAAAUAGAGUAAGCAAAAGAUAUACAUAGUAUACAAAUGAUAUGUAAGUUCCAAACCAUAAGAUGAAACAAUCGCUCGCUUUGAAAAAUUAUGAGGGGCGAAAUAGACCGAGCCUUCGGUUCAUUUUGGUUCCCGAAAAAUUAGGAGCCGAAAUAGACCGAGCCUUCGGUUCAUUUCGGUUCCCGAAAAAUUAGGAGCCGAAAUAGACCGAUAGCUCGGCUCAUUUCGGUUGUUAGAGAAUUUCAAGAAAGCGAAAGAAAAAGUUAUACUUAAUGAAACGAGUGUGGUUUUGGAACUGACUUAGCUUCCAUUAUUCCUAAGCCUUGUAUUAUUUUAUUAAAUGAUGAUUCAAGCAAGGCCUUAGUAAAGAUGUCAGCCCAUUGAUCAGAGGACCGAACAAAGUGAAUUUCAACAUUCCCAUCUUCUACGUGAUCCUUGUGUUGGGUUUUGAGCAUUCUAACACUCCUAUGUUGUACAUGCAACCCUAUAAACCUUGGAUCUAUGUUUUCUCUAUUAUACAUGCAAAUAUUAAAUAUUCCAAGGUUUCAUCCUAACUAGCAUAUUAUGAAGCACCUAUACUACAAAGUUCUAGUUAGACGACAUACCUUAUGAUGUAGCUUGAUGUAUUCAAGCUUUAAGAGCUUAGCCCCAAUAGUGUGAAAUCCUCAAAUGGAAUCACAAAUCACCAACACACCUUGGAAGAACUUGAGAGAAUAUGUAUGCACACUAAAAUCGGCCCACUUUUAUGUCCUCACACAUUAGUGCCAUUUCUUGUGCCAAAGGCCUCUUUAUAUAGUAUGGAGGAUUAGGGUUACAUUCAUGUAAACCCUAAUACCCAACAUACAUGAACUUGGCCCAUUCCAUAUAUAUAUAUAUAUAUAUANUGGACUAUCCAUGAAAGCUUAGCCCAACCUAAAUGAACUUGGCCCAUUCCAUAUAUAUAAGAGUCCAUAUUUAAUUAGUUCCUUUUGAUCACUUAAUUAAUUAUAAAUUAAUUCUUGAUCAAUACUAAUUAAAUAAUAUGAUUCCAUAUUAAUAUAUUAGAACUUAUAAUAUAUUAAUAUUAAUCAUAAACAUACUAUUCUCAAAAGAUUAUCCAUAUAAAUUGUGUCGGUGAAGUGCAACCCAAAUGGACCAUACCGAGUCGGGUCAAGUACAUACCAAAUAUAGUUAUGGACUUAGACAUUUAUCUAGCAGUCUCCCACUUGGAUAAAUCUAAAACAGUUAUUGAGUAUGACUUCAAAACCUAACUGGCAAUCGUAGCUCUUAAAGCCGCUAUUGAACUCUGACCAUUGUCAAUGACUUGUCCAUUAGAUAAGGGAUCAUAUAUUCCUCCAUUCUAGAUAUCAUAUGGACUGAGACAUGGAUUAUAAUCAUUCUCUCUGUCCAUUUGUUGUUUCUCGAUUUCCGAUUUAUGACGACCUACUAAUUGAACAAAUCACUUUAGUCCUGGCAUGGCCAAGCACUCACAUGUAUCAUCACUAAAUCAUCGAGGGCCCCACAUAUAUAGCUUUUAUCCUGAAGGUAAAAGGAAUGGAUAAACUUCGACUCAUAUGGCUUGUUCUAUUACUUGUUGAAUCAUACAUAAAGGCACGUUUUAUAACAUCGAGUUAGCGAAUGCUUUUUCGUGCAAUCAAUGUACAACCAACUGAUAGUAACAAAUCAUAUCUCUAGGUUUGAAGAAUAUAAGAUAUUAUCGUCUCAUGAUCACUCGUGAUAAAAUCCAUGAAGUGAUUCCAAUGAGCGCGGGUUGAAUCCAAUACUCAGAACUUAUGAGCACUCAUGAGNUUAACACAACUUUGUCCACCAACUUAGACCUCUACAAGCCAACCCAUGACAAUCUUGAUUCAUAUCUACUUCCAACAUAUGACCGACAGUGGAUGGUUUGAAUAACUUAGUCAUUUGGGAAGAAUGACCUGGUUUAUUAUGGAAGUCAAAACAUGCAAAAUGAAACACAACAAUAAUUGAAUCUGAUAUGGUAUCAAAACCUAUGAAUAAAAAUAAAACAUUUUUUAUUUAUCACCAUACUGAUUACUCAUUAUUCAUUGUUUUGGUUUUAUCAACUUUAUACUUGAAUUAAAAACACUAGUUGUCCCAUGCUCCAAGCAUGUAAACUAUGUUUUUCUAAACAAUAGCUUUGCCAUACACUAAGUAUGCACUCUAUGUUUGUCUAUGAUCCUUACUUUGUGAACUAGAUCAAUUGAACAUAACUUCAAUGAUUCUCUUUNACACUCCCAAAUCCUUAUCGAAAAUGUAAGAAUUUCAAAUUCCUAUCAUUUAUCGAAAUCUGUUAGAUUUUAAACUUAUAUGCAUAGAUCCUCUUGUAAUGACUUUGUACAAAGUCACAAAGACUUGUUAAAAGACAUUACAGAGUAUUCCAAUGAAGAUCAAUUCCAUGGGAAACAUCCUUGUUGCAUUAAGUUUUCUAAUGUUACACAAAUUGAAUAACUUCUACAUAUGGAAUCAUAUCCAUAUUCCCAUUUUGACUAUCACUUCUGAACAAGAGUUGCCUCUUUUCAGAAUAUGUCAAUAUGGUCCUUCCAAAAAUUAACAAUAUACUUCCAACUAUCCCUGAGCAACCAAUCUUUGGUAAACCUUAGAUUGUCCUCGACAAUUGCUUAAUCAUUUUAGUCAUAUCCAAUUCUAGACCUAUUCCCCUCUUAUUGCCCCAGGCAUUUGGAAAAUUUAGAAAUGUUAAAUAUUGUAGUACAUGUAAUCGAUCUUGUACCCAAAGUAAAUGGGACACGAUUCAUGAUGUUUCACAUAAAGACAUGGUUCUAGCCCAGUUUUUUUCCAUAAUAAUUUUUUGUUUGCCAUAUUCUCAAAAUUUGACUAUGAAAAAGGAUGUCGUAAUCAUAAUCGAAUUUUGAGAACCCAAUAUAUAGAAUUUUCUUAAGUUGAACCAAUGCAACAUGAAAUUCAUAUAUAUAUAUAUAUAUAUAUAUAUAUAUAUAUAUAUAUAUAUAUAUAUANNNNNNNNNNNNNNNNNNNNNNNNNNNNNNNNNNNNNNNNNNNNNNNNNNNNNNNNNNNNNNNNNNNNNNNNNNNNNNNNNNNAUAUAUAUAUAUAUUCUUGACUAAAGGUGAUUAAAACCUCAAUAUAAGCUCUUUAGAAUGAUUAUAAACUCAAUCUAAUCUUUUUAGAAUUGAAAUGAAGUAUAAUUUCCUCUCCCUUAGUUAUAGCAAAAUAACUUUUCAACCCCUGCAAUCUCACGAAUUAUAACUUUUGUUUUCUAUAAUUAACAUUGCUAACUUGCAAUACUUAUCAUAAUUAUCAUUCUCCCACUUACAUGAUGAUUAUUAGCAUAACACUUAUGCUUCCACUAGCUUUGACAUGUAUCCAGAAAACAGCUGGACCUCUAGAAGUCAAUACUUUAUUGACAUUCUUACCAAAGUUCAUAUUUUUGAUACUAGAUUGCUUUGAUAAGACUUUAUAAAAAUCAUACACCUUAUUUUAGAUAUCUCAUAGGUGUGUCUAAGCAAUUCCAGAACUAUGAAAAAGGAUGCCAUAAUCAUAGUCUCAAUUGUUUAGACUUUUUUCCAUUUCUCAUAAGUCAAUGUUAGUGUGCCAGUUAACCAUGCACGCUCCAUUAACAACUUUGAGAACUGCAAAUAUCACAAUUGCUAUAUACUUAAAAUCUACUUAGUGAAAAAAUUUCCUCACUAUCAUUUUCAUGAAUCGGAGAGAAACCUUAUGACACUUAGUUUUGUUAGUGUAUGUGUUCUUAUCUAUGUGAAUUUGUCAAACCAUAAUCACAAGAUUAGGUUAGUGACAAAUCCUAACUCAUAUGGAUUGAACUUGUGCAAUCUUCACUUCUUGCCACCUGGCAGCUCAAGGGCCUUCCAUUGCUUCCAAGUAGUUAUGUAAACAAUUGAGAACAUGUUGAACUCAAAUAUAUAUAGCCAACUUAACUAGAAUAAGCACAGAAAUGUCAACACGAUAGGUUAUAAACCUCUAGUUGUGUGCUAGAAAUGAAAUACAAGUUUUAUUCUUGAUUACUUCUUGAACCCCUUUCAGGAUCUUUUAGACUCCCACUGUCUCCUUGACCAAUAAGACUUUCUUGCCAAAUAUUCAAGAGAUAGUGUGGAUUCUAAUCAAGACAGACACUUAACACAAUUGGCUUUAGUUGGUCUUUGUUUUAUCCAAAACAUCACAAAUUACCAAUUUCAAAUGUACAAGAGUAGAAAACUUUUACUCUUACAUUUGACAAGUGUUUUAAACCUUCUUUAAGACAUGUCACUCAAGUUACAAUCUUAGAGUAUAACUCUAAGAAUUGUUUUUGGAACGAAGUAUGAAUCAUCUUCUUGAUUUAACCACUUCAACAAUUCAUAACUCCUCUUCUUAACUAUUAGAAUCCACUUAGAGGAUGAAUUGUGAUAAGGUCUCAAAAUGUCACACCCCGAAAACCGAAGACGGAAACAUUUCCGGGGUUGACUCCACGUUGAGUAUCAAAUCCAAUGUACAUAGUAAGUAAAGUGAAACAAACAUUACAUUACAUAUUAAAAGUUUUACAAUUUGUUUCAAACGACACAGUUUAUACAGUUGUGAUACAUAAUAUAGAUAUAAACAAAAUGAACGAGCCUUGGACGCACACGAUCCUUAACCAAGUAAGUCUUCGGGUACCUGUACUAUCGUUGACCUGAGAACACAAGCAAUUUGAAAAUCAGCAUAACGCUGGUGAGUUCAUAAGCAGUUUUGUUUUGUGAAAAUGUUUAUGUUUCCUUUCUGUUUCUGAAAAUGUAACACACACCAAGAAAAUCCCAUAUUUUCUUAAAAGUUGGUUGUUGUAUCAUAAAAGUAAAGUAUAGUUUGAUUAUCCAAUUCAUUGUUCUAUUGCUUUUAUGUACCAGUGUAUUCCCAGGAAAGUCCUAUACUUUCCUAAAUAGUUAGUUAUUGUAAAAGAUGUAAUGAUAUACAAUUGGUUACACUUUUCUGGUUAUGUGUAUGUUACCUAGGAAUGCCCCAUGCUUUCCUGUAUGUUGGUUUUCAAUGUAAAAGAUGUAUUCUAUUAAACCUGGUUAUGUACAAAGUUUUCCCCAGGAAGGUCCCAUACCUUCCUGAAUGUUGGUUAUCAUAUGUAAAAGAUGUAAAAGAUGUAAAAGAUGUAAAAGAUGUAAACUGAAUCCUGGUUAUCUGUAAAAUGUAGUAAGUGGUUCAUUAUUACUAUAAGUAAAUCUCUGUUAUCCUAGUUGCGAGUUCCAUAACCAUACUAAAGACUGAACCUGUGGCAAUAAGUAGUCCACAAACUUGUGGCAAUAAGUAGUCCACAAUCCUUAUGACUUUCGUCACCCUUGAACCAUUUCGGUUCGGCUGUAGCUAGCAGCCAGGUGUGGGGUAGUCAGCCCCGUAUAGAUCUAUACACUCAAGUCACGCUCUCUAAAUUCCAGAGAUUCUGGUUACGGGUGUAGUCCUCCACUCGCGUAUCUCUGUGGAGUGUUCGCCGAGGACGUGUCUCCAAUCAUACGGAAUAACAAAUUUACUAGUAAUAAUAGGAUAAUCCUCCAUUCGCGUAUCUCUGUGGAAUGUUACCGAGGACAAGACAGUGUACGAAUUAUAUUGUUCAUGUGUUAUAAUGUCAUGCUUUUAACUGAUAAAGUGUGGAAACCAUUUGUGAAAUAUAUAAAACAUAACAGUUUAUAAAACCCAUUUCACAAAUAAAUGUUUAAGUGAUCUGUAUAUUCUACUAGUUAUCAGUUGUGUAAUCAAUAUUAAAAGCAUAUGAAAUGUGAAACACACACACAUGAAAAUAAGUUUUGAGUACAAGAAAACCCUUGUACUUUGCUUGUGUUCCCCCCUGAAAACAGUGGAAAACAGUGAAAAAGGUAGGGGUAUGAACUCACCGGACUCGGAAAUGUGUCGGUUUUGGAUACUAGACGUUGGUUCGGGGAUUGUUUACUCGCGAUGUCCCUAUGUAAAAUGUAAUAUUGCCAUAUAAUACUAAUUAGAUUUACAAUCACUACUUAUUUAGGACAUUACACUCCAACGAGGUUAAACACCUCAAAACGAGCGUUUGGAGUGACCCGGGUGACAUCUACGGAUGAAAUAUGGCACUAGGGACUUGGGACUUGAGUUUACUCUCCAUAAGUAAACAUUUAAAUGAGUUUACAACCACAAAACACACCCACACAUGAGUUUACGGCCGUAAACUCAUGUUGGUGUGAUUUUGAGGGUUUAAGGGCUUAAAUGGACAUGGGGAUUGCUAGAAUGGAUAUCUAAAAUGCCUUGGAACACUUGGAAUGAAUUAACAUCAUUUAAAAGGGAGUUUACGGCCACACUCUUGGAGUUUACGGCCGUAAACUCACCCAUGGCCAAGAAUGAUUAAUUUGAACUACAAAGGACAAUCACAUGUGAUUCUAACUAAUUUUCUAAGCAUUGUUAUGAAUUUAGGUUACCAUUUAACAAACUUUUAGGAGUUUACGGCCUAGAGGCAUGUUCUAUGGCCGUAAACUCUCCUUAUGCUCUUGAAAAAUUAGUUUUUGAUGCUUAAAACACUCAUAUGUAAUUCUAGAAAUUUUUCCAAGCCUUUAGGGUGGUUUAAGACAUCAUUUGACACACUUAUAGGAGUUUACGGCCUAGGAGGAGUUCUUUGGCCGUAAACUCACUUAUGUAGGGCAUUUGUUGUGUUUAAGGUCUCCAAAUCAUUUUUAGAUGAAUCUAGGAUUUACCACAAGGCCAUUGGUUGAGUUUCAAAGCAUUUGGACAUGUUUAAAGGCACUAAAUCCCCAUUAAAGAGGAGUUUACGGCCCAAGAACAUACCUUGGCCGUAAACUCUCUUUUGUCCCUCAUAAUUCAUGUUUUAAUUGUUUUAAGUCUAGAUUUGCAAGCCUUAUAGUCAUAUCUAAGUCCCAACUUUGAUUUGGAAGGGUAAUUUGGCUUAAAAACCCCAUUUAAUGGAGUUUACGGCCCAAGCUUGCUCCUUGGCCGUAAACUCAUGUUCUUGGUCCCAAAACUCAAUUAAUUCAUCAAUUUGAAGGCUAAAGAUGUUGAAUAACAUGCUAGGGAGGUUACCUUAGAGAUUUGAAGCCUUAAACUUGAGAUUUGGACCUUAAUUCUAGCUUGAGGAGAGAGGUUGUGAGAGUUUAAUGAGAAAUUGGCCAAAGGCUUCAAAUGAAGUCUUAAAACACUUUAUAUAGUGUUCGGGAAUUGGACACGACGGAAUUUUACCCGAUACCGACGUUAAGUGAGGCUUUUGGUCAUACCCGACCAAAUUGUCGUGACUCGAUAUGGCCGAUUCUAUAAUUAUUCCGAUCACUAAAGUGGGGUGUUAAAAUGAUUUCUAAAUGUAUUAAGACACCCAUUAAGUCAUUUUAGGUCAAUAUAAACUAAUGACUUAAUAAAAUGGCGAAAUUGGAAACGAAAUUGAAAAUAACGUUUGGUUGAUCGGAUUGGAUUACAAGUUGUGGUACAAGAAGUGACAUGAAAUUUCGGGUUGUUACAUUAUCCCCCCGUUAGAGGGAAUUUCGUCCCGAAAUUCAAGACAAGAGAUAAGAGAAAAUACAAAUCAUGGACCUAGAAAGAGUUGUGGAUAUUUUUGUUUCAUCGAGUCUUCUCGCUCCCAAGUGAACUCCGGUCCCCGCUUGGCAUUCCAGCGAACCUUCACCAACGGGAUGCGACUCUGUUUCGUACGUUUGACUUCUCGAUCCAUGAUUUCGAUUGGUUCCUCCACAAAGUUGAGGUUUUCAUCGAUCUCAAUCUCGUCUAAUGGAAUCACUAGGGUUUCAUCGGAUAGGCACUUCUUGAGGUUUGAAACAUGAAAGACGGGAUGGAUGUUACUAAGUUCGUGAGGUAAAUGAAGUUUAUAGGCUACCGGACCAACUCUGGCGAUGAUUUCAAAUGGUCCAAUGUAUCUCGGAUUAAGUUUUCCACGUUUACCAAAGCGUACAGUGCCUUUCCAGGGCGAGACCUUCAACAGAACACGGUCUCCAACCUGGAAUUCUAGUGGUUUCCGACGAUUAUCAGCGUAACUCUUCUGACGAUCACGCGAGGCCUUUAGUCGUUCACGGAUUUGGAUAAUUUUCUCAGUGGUUUCACGGAUGAUUUCAGGACCGGUAAGUGCACUGUCGGGGACUCGACUCUUGGCUAACUGUGUAUCUCCUACCUCGGCCCAGCACAGAGGGGAUCUGCACUUGCGACCGUAUAGGGCUUCGAACGGGGCAGCCCUAAUGCUGGUGUGGUAACUGUUGUUGUAUGAGAAUUCGAUCAAUGGUAGAUGUGCGUCCCACGACUUUCCAAAGUCAAUGACACAUGCCCUAAGCAUGUCCUCCAGAGUUUGGAUUGUUCUCUCGCUUUGACCGUCAGUCUGAGGAUGGUAUGCCGUGCUCAUGUCUAGUUGGGUUCCAAGGGCUUUCUGAAGAGACUGCCAAAAGCGGGAAGUAAACCUGCUAUCUCGAUCAGAGAUAAUGGAUGUAGGUACGCCGUGCAGUCGGACUACCUCUUGAAUAUAUAUCCGUGCGAGUCUUUCCAUCUUGUAUGAUUCUUUAAUUGGAACGAAGUGAGCUGAUUUUGUCAAACGAUCGACAAUCACCCAAAUGGUAUCAUACCCAUUCAAGCACUUGGGUAGUUUGGUGAUGAAAUCCAUGGUGAUCAUCUCCCAUUUCCAUUCAGGUAUCUCAGGUUGCUGGAGCAGACCCGAGGGUUUCUGAUGUUCAACUUUUACCUUGGCGCAAGUCAAACACUUGCCCACAUAUGAAGCUAUCUCAGCCUUCAUAUUUGGCCACCAAUAUUGCUUCUUGAGAUCUAAGUACAUCUUGUCAGAGCCCGGGUGAACAGAGUAUCUGGUUCUAUGUGCUUCCUCCAUGACUAACUCUCUAAAUCUUCCAGACUUGGGAAUCCAGAUUCGAUCCAUAAAACAAUGGACUCCGUCACUUCUGAUCUCAAGUUUCUUUUCCAUCCCUCUCAAAGCUUCAGUUGUCAUGUUCUCAGGUUUUAGGGCUUCUAACUGAGCUUCUCGGAUUUGCACGGGUAGGUUGGAAUGGAUGGUUAUCGACUGACUCUUCACUUUGUUGUUGGUACUCUCGUUUCGACUAAGGGCAUCUGCUACCACAUUGGCCUUGCCCGGAUGGUAGCGGAUUUCACACUCAUAAUCACUGAGUAGUUCUACCCAUCGCCUUUGUCUCAUGUUCAGGUCUUUUUGGUCGAAAAUAUGUUGCAGGCUCUUAUGAUCAGUAAAGAUCGUGCACUUGGUUCCGUAAAGGUAAUGCCUCCAAAUCUUCAAUGCAAAAACUACGGCUCCUAGCUCCAAGUCGUGUGUGGUAUAGUUGACCUCGUGUGUUUUCAACUGUCUAGAGGCAUAAGCAAUCACUUUUCCUCUCUGCAUAAGCACACAGCCUAAACCUUGAGUAGACGCAUCGCAGUAGACAACAAAGUCCUCUGUCCCUUCGGGUAGGGAUAGGACAGGCGCGCUGCACAGAGCUUUCUUCAACGUCUGAAAUGCGGUCUCUUGCUUAUCACUCCAACAAAAGGGUACACCUUUCUGUGUUAGAGUGGUUAGAGGUUUGGCGAUUCGGGAAAAGUUUUGGAUGAACCUUCGAUAAUAGCCAGCGAGACCCAAGAAUUGUCGGAUUUCUGUGGGUGUCUUCGGUGCUGACCAAUUCUCUAUUGCCUUAAUCUUGGAAGGAUCAACAUGAAUACCUUCCUCACUUAUCACAUGACCAAGGAAAGUUACCUUCCGUAUCCAGAACUCACAUUUUGAAAACUUCGCGUAUAACUUCUCGGAUUGCAGGGUCUCCAACACUAACCUCAAGUGUUGUUUGUGGUCUUCUUCACUUCGGGAAUAGACGAGUAUGUCAUCGAUGAAUACUAUGACAAAUUUAUCCAAAUAAGGACGACACACCCGGUUCAUCAGAUCCAUAAACACUGCCGGUGCGUUGGUUAAACCGAAGGGCAUCACUACGAACUCGUAGUGUCCAUAUCGAGUCCUGAAAGCUGUUUUGGGCACAUCACUUUCAUGAACUCGCAACUGAUGGUACCCUGACCGAAGGUCUAUCUUAGAGAAGUAACUGGCUCCCUGGAGUUGAUCGAAAAGGUCAUCUAUUCGAGGAAGAGGAUAUCGGUUUUUGACAGUCAACUUGUUUAGCUCACGAUAAUCAAUACACAUACGAAAGGAUCCAUCCUUCUUCUUGACAAACAAAACCGGAGCUCCCCAGGGUGAGGAACUCGGUCUAAUGAAUCCUUUGUUAAGCAACUCGUUAAGUUGACUGGAUAACUCCUGCAUCUCUGCUGGAGCUAAGCGAUACGGAGACUUCGCUACAGGAGUAGCCCCAGGAAUUAGGUCAAUACGGAACUCGACCUGACGUUCGGGAGGAAUUCCUGGAAGCUCUUCGGGAAACACAUCAGGAAAAUUACAGACCUCGGGGAUGCUCGCGAGGUCUUUAACUUCUUGUUUCUCAUUGAUUACAUGGGCUAAGAAUGCAAUACACUCCUUUCGCAGGAGUUUCUGAGCUUUGAUGCAGGAAAUGAUAUGAAGGUUGGAACCGAGUUUAUCGCCAUAGAUCACUAGAGUUUGACCCGAAGGAAGGUUAAGACGGAUGGCUUUUUCGAAGCAAAGGAUAUCUGCAUGAUUGGGACUCAACCAAUCCAUGCCAAUAAUGACAUCAAAGCUCUUUAUGGAUACUGGCAUAAGAUCGAUAGGAAAUGAAUGGUCGUUUAAGGUAAGAGUGCAAUCUACGAAUACCUCACUCGCACUUUCUUUCUCUCCGUUUGCCAUUUCGACGGUAAACAUUUCAGUUAGAGGUUGGGAAUCAUGUUUUAGGUUAUGUUUGAAUGCAUGACUAAUAAAACUUCUUUCAGCGCCCGAAUCGAAAAGAAUAUUAGCAUACGAGUUGUCGAGAAGAAACGUACCCGAGACAACAUUGGGAUCGGCAACUGCUUCUUCCCGUCCCAUAGCAAGGACCCUUCCGGUGUUGCUAGCAGUAGUCUUCUUGGGGCAGUUCCUUUUAAAGUGCCCGGCCUCACCACAGUUAUAACAGGCUUGACCAACGCCUGUUCCAGAAGAUUGAUUUGUUGAUUGAGUCGGAGCUUUGCAGUAUCGAACAGUGUGCCCCUUCUUACCACAAUUGGUACAGGAUAGUUCUCGACAGGGACCAGGGUUGUGGUGAUACUUGCAUUUUUCACAAAGAGGGAGGUUACCAACAUAUCGGUUGGUAGGAGUUGGUGCUGUGGAUCCCACAACAGAAGCAGCAGCUACGGGGGUAGUAGCAGCAUGAACUGCUACUGUUUGUUGUCUUUUGGAGGAGCCUUGGGAAGAUUGACCCUUCUUUUUCUUCCAGAAUUUUCUUUUCUCACCACUGCUUUUGGUCGACUCAGGGGUAGCAGUGGUGGCUUCCUCAACAUCAUCACUGUGGUGAAUUAUAGCUUGGGCUAAAGUCUUAGCACUAUCAUAAGUAUCUGGGCGAGCAGCUAAGACAUGACCUUUGGUCGGAUUGGUUAACCCCCAAAUAAACCUCUCGAUCUUUUUGCUUUCAGGGGUGACUAGUCCAGGGCAGAGAAGGGCAAGAUCAUCAAAUCGGGAAGUGUAGGCAGCAAUGUCGGAACCUUUCAUCUUCAGGUUCCAGAGCUCGUGCUCUAGCUUCUGCAUUUCGCCUCGGGGACAAUAUUCAGCAAGGAGGAGUUCUUUCAUAGCCUCCCAGCCCAUGGCAUUGGCUACAGGGAGAGUUAAGGAUUUGACUCGGCCAUUCCACCAAGUCAAUGCUUUAUCAAGGAAGGUACAAGCUGCGAACUUGACCUUAUCGGACUCAUCACAGGCACAGAUUUCGAAGAUGGAUUCGAUUCUCUCGAACCAUCGGGAUAAGGAAAUGACACCACCAGUGCCAUUGAAGAAAGAAGGCUUCGCAUUCAUGAAGUCCUUAUAGGAACCCUCCUUACGGCGUUCCUGAUUACCAUCUUGAUUUUGAUUACUACCUCCUGAACCACCGGUAUUUAGCUGGGACAUGGCAGCUGCCACCGCGGCGGUAACAGCUGUUUGAAAUAACACGGGAUCGAUUUCAGGAGGAGGUGGCGGAGGGUUGUUGGAGCUGGGUCUCUUCCUGGGAGGCAUCUUGAUCUAAUAAGAUCAAUAAAGAGAGAGGAUGAUAAGUCCUCUGAAUCGAGAGAUAUGACAGAUAUUAAUUCCAAUUAAGCGGUAAAGCAGGAAAGAGUUAUUGAAGCAAGUAAACUAUCGCUAACGGAAUGAUCGGGGGUCUAAACAUGUACGAUGAUUUGAGAAAUACUCCCAUAGUAUUUCAUGGUUUGCUACGAUACUAGCUCGAUGUUUGUGGUAUUAGGGUAAGUUUUAGGCAUGCCGCAUAUCACAAUCACUCCCAAGCACAUGUUGGCCGUGUCUCGAAUGAAUAUAGUUGGCCAGGCUAUAUUGACCCUAGACACGACUACAUAACUGCCCAGGUUUAACUGCAAUACACAACACCCAUUUACUUAUGUUUUGUUCUACUUAUAGAUACGAAUCUCGACGGUUCGGUAUACUUGUAUAUUUUUGAAAAUACUUGUAGUCUGGAGAUACUUUUAUUUCAGAGCACUUAGGCCCUUUAGUGUUUAUAGUUUUAUACCAUGUAAGGUUUGGUAUACUUUAUUCACUAUAAACAAGGGCUCUGAUACCAAUCUGUCACACCCCGAAAACCGAAGGCGGAAACAUUUCCGGGGUUGACUCCACGUUGAGUAUCAAAUCCAAUGUACAUAGUAAGUAAAGUGAAACAAACAUUACAUUACAUAUUAAAAGUUUUACAAUUUGUUUCAAAAGACACAGUUUAUACAGUUGUGAUACAUAAUAUAGAUAUAAACAAAAUGAACGAGCCUUGCACGCACACGAUCCUUAACCAAGUAAGUCUUCGGGUACCUGUACUAUCGUUGACCUGAGAACACAAGCAAUUUGAAAAUCAGCAUAACGCUGGUGAGUUCAUAAGCAGUUUUGUUUUGUGAAAAUGUUUAUGUUUCCUUUCUGUUUCUGAAAAUGUAACACACACCAAGAAAAUCCCAUAUUUUCUUAAAAGUUGGUUGUUGUUUCAUAAGAGUAAUGUAUGGUUUAGUUAUCCGGUACAUUGUUUUAUGUCUUUAAUGUAUCAGUGUAUUCCCAGGAAAGUCCCAUACUUUCCUGAAGUGUAGUUAUUGUAAAAGAUGUAAUGUUAUUCAGUUGGUUACUCUUGUCUGAUUAUGUGUAGGUUACCUAGGAAUGCCCCAUGCUUUCCUGUAUGUUUGUUUUCAAUGUAAAAGAUGUAUUCUGUUAGACCUGGUUGUGUACAAGAUUUCCCAGGAAGGUCCCAUACCUUCCUGAAGGUUGGUUAUCAUAUGUAAAAGAUGUAAAAGAUGUAAAAGAUGUAAACUGAAUCCUGGUUAUCUGUAAAAUGUAGUAUGUGAUUCAUUAUUACUAUUAGUAAAUCUCUGUUAUCCUAGUUGCGAGUUCCAUAACCAUACUAAAGACUGAACCUGUGGCAAUAAGUAGUCCACAGCCUUGUGGCAAUAAGUGGUCCACAAUCCUUAUGACUUUCGUCACCCUUGAACCAUUUUGGUUCGGCUGUAGCUAGCAGCCAGGUGUGGGGUAGUCAGCCCCGUAUAGAUCUAUACACUCAAGUCACGCUCUCUAAAUCCCAGAGAUUCUGGUUACGGGUGUAGUCCUCCACUCGCGUAUCUCUGUGGAGUGUUCGCCGAGGACGUGUCUCCAAUCAUACGGAAUAACAAAUUUACUAGUAAUAAUAGGAUAAUCCUCCAUUCGCGUAUCUCUGUGGAAUGUUACCGAGGACAAGACAGUGUACGAAUUAUAUUGUUCAUGUGUUAUAAUGUCAUGCUUUUAACUGAUAAAAUGUGGAAACCAUUUGUGAAAUAUAUAUAAAACAUAACCGUUUAUAAAAUCCAUUUCACAAAUAAAUGUUUAAGUGAAUUGUAUGAUCUACUGGUUAUCAGUUACGUAUAUCAGUAUUAAAAGCAUAAGAAAUGUGAAACACACACACGAAAAAUAAGUUUUGAGUACAAGAAAACCCUUGUACUUUGCUUGUGUUUCCCCCCUGAAAACAGUGAAAAACAGUGAAAAAGGUAGGGGUAUGAACUCACCGGACUCGGAAACGUGUCGGUUUUGGAUACUAGACGUUGGUUCGGGGUUUGAUUACUCGCGAUGUCCCUAUGUAAAAUGAAAUAAUGUCCAUAUAUAUACAAUUAGAGAUACAUUCACUAAUCAUAUGGAACAUUACACUCCAAUGAGGUUAAACACCUCAAAACGAGCGUUUGGAGUGACCCGGGUGACAUCUUCGGACUUGUAAUGGCACUAGGGACUUGGGACUUGAGUUUACUCUCCAUAAGUAAACAUUUAAAUGAGUUUACAACCAUAAAACACACCCACACAUGAGUUUACGGCCGUAAACUCAUGUUGGUGUGGUUUUGAUGAUCUAAGGGCUUAAAUGGACAUGGGGAUUGCUAGAAUGGAUUAUCUAAAAUGCAUUGGAACACUUGGAAUGAAUUUAAAUCAUCAAAAUGAUUAUUUUAUGGGAGUUUACGGCCUAAUAUAGGCUCCUGGCCGUAAACUCCUUAAUCUUCAUGAAAAUGGUGUUAAAUGUUGUUAAAACAAAUCACAUGUGAUUAAUAGGAUUAUUCCAAGACCUAGCAUGAGUUUUAUGGGACAUUUGAGGGGUGUUAUGGAGUUUACGGCCCAUGAGACCCUCCUCAUGGCCGUAAACUCUUAUAUAGGGUGAUACAAAGUGAUUCAAGGUCUAAAACUUGCAUAGAAGGGCUUCUAAAAUUCAUCUAAAGGCUUUAGGGGUGUUUAGUUUGCAUUCUAACACCAAAAAUCUUGGAGUUUACGGCCCAAGAACAAGCCUUGGCCGUAAACUCUUAGAAAUCCCACAAAUGAUGUGAUUAAGUCCCUUAAACUAUUUUUGGUUGGUCCUUUGAUUUAUUCCAAGGCUUUUGGUGGUGUUGGAUGGCUUUCUAACACCUUAGAAAUGAAAUUAUGCCUUGUUUUGGGGAGUUUACGGCCCAAGCACUCACCUUGGCCGUAAACUCACAUAAGUCCCUCAAAAGUUAUAUUUCAAGUGUCCAAAUGCUAAUACCAAGGUCCUAUAAUUCAUAUCUAAGCCAUAGAAGUGAUUUGGAAGGGUUUAAGGGCAUGAAAAACCCCUUUUACAUGAGUUUACGGCCCAAGCUUAUGCCUUGGCCGUAAACUCCUUCAAAUGGCUCAAAAUCAAAGUUUCAAAUGUUCUAAGUCCAUAUCUUGAAGUCCCAUAGCCAUAUCUAAAGUCCAAUUGAGUUUAGGAAGGAGUUUAAGAGCUUAAAACCCCAUUUAAUGGAGUUUACGGCCCAAGCUUGCUCCUUGGCCGUAAACUCAUGUUCUUGGUCCCAAAACUCAAUUAAUUCAUCAAUUUGAAGGCUAAAGAUGCUGAUUAACAUGCUAGGAAGGUUACCUUAGAGAUUUGAAGCCUUAAACUUGAGCUUUGGACCUUAAUUCUAGCUUGAGGAGAGAGGUUGUAAGAGUUUAGUGAGAAAUUGGCCAAAGGCUUCAAAUGGAGUCUUAAACAUGUUUAUAUAGUGAUCGGGAAUUGGACACGAUAGAAUUCUACCCGAUACUGACGUUAAGUGGGGAUUUUGGACGUACCCGAUUGAGUUACCGUAACCCGAUACGGUAAUUUCUAGAAAUAUUCCGAUCACUAAAGUUGGGUGUUUAAAAUGAUUUCUAAUGUAUUAAGACACUCAUUAAGUCAUUUUAGGUCAAUAUAAACUAAUGACUUAAUAAAAUGGUGAAAUUGGAAACGAAAUUGAAAAUAACGUUUGGUUGAUCGGAUCGGAUUACAAGUUGUGAUACAAGAAGUGACAUGAAAUUUCGGGUUGUUACACAAAAUCAUUAAGAUGAUCUUAAAACAUGAUACUAAAGUACUCUCCCAUCUUUUCAUAUUUGAGAAAAAUUUAUCCUUCUGCCUAAUUUAAUUCUUCUUAUUCGUUCUGUCAUGCAUUGAAACUUUUCCAAUGUCUCAGAAUUACACUUAAGCUUGUAAGUAUAACUAUAUUUACUGAACUUUAGUAAAUCAUGACGAAUAGUCUUAACGAUCAUUUGUGAUGGGCUUGAUUAGUGCACAAGAGUGUGUACUUGAUCCCUUAGUCGUUUACUUGACUCACACAUCCAUGUGAACAAGUAAUUAAUCUUAAUUUUCCAAUGCUUGAAAGUUCUCAUUCAUCAUACUAUACAACUUGCAUGAUUCCAAGUUUCGGUCCAAUUGAAACUUGGGUGAUGAGAAACUUUCCUUAUUUGGUAAGUUUAGACACUACCACAAAUGAAAGAAUCAAAUCCAUUUUCCUAUAUUACUAGCAAUGGAAUCAUAUAAACAACAAGUUUUCACAAAUGCCAUUGUAAGGAUACUUAAAAUAAAUAAAAUCAAAAAUUUCAUUUUAUUUUAAAACUUUGCAGAAAUAGUUAUCCUUACAAUCCAUAUGAAAACCUUUUUGUUAUCUAUUCCUAAGCAAUGUGUCAUAACUCCUAAGUAGCAACUUCAAAAUUCUGAUGCGAUCGAGAUCCAUCUUCGCGAUCAGAAGCAGUAUAUACUUCCUUUAAGCUUUCUCUCUUUUCUUUCAUUCUUAUAACAUCACCAUGUGACUCAGUCACAUAAUGUAAUAAGUAUCUCCAAAUAGGAUCUUAACAGAGUUAGACAAUGGACUUUACCUGAAGCAGAGUCAAACUUAUUGACUUUAACAUCCUUAGGUAAAUUUUGCAGCUUCACAAACAGUGCCCCUUACUUUGGAAAUUUUAACAAAUGGGCCCUUUGGUAAUGGUACAUGGGACUGUCACAAACUUAGUUUUUCUCUUUACCAUUUGGUCAACCGAGUUGACUAUGGCCGAUCCCUUUCCAUUGGGAAGAGAAUGCUUUUUCUGGAUUUCCAGUGUCAUCAUUGUCAAUGUCCAUAAAGUUUUGGGAAGUCGAUCUUCUAAUCAAAUUUUCUUUACUAGCAUUCCAAAUCAUUGCUAAUUCAGCAGUACCAAGCAAAUUGAAGAGAUCAUUAAGGGUCUUGUCAAAGUCUAUUUCAUAGGAGUCCCAAUGGAACUCACUAUGUGACUUAGAAAGUGAUUGAACCACCAACUUUCUCAAGACUUUGACACCAACUCUCCCGACUUGUCAAUAUGUGACUUCAUCUCCAAGAUGCGACCACACAUUGACCUUUCUUGCCAAUAGGGCUUGAGUGACCUUGAACUUGUGGGUAAAGGAGAAUAAUUGGAGGAGGUGAAGUAUCAAGAGACUUAGGAAGAUCAUAGAUGUCUUAACCAAACAUAUUUUUGGGAGAUAUUCAAGAUAGUUGAUUUAAAGUCCUUAAUAUAACACCCAAUAUGAAAUAUUAAGGCUAGGACCCAACACGAUAUUUUAUAACUUGGAAGAGGGAUGCCAUAAUCUAAGCUAUAAAAUAUUUGAAGGUAGGUGAAUGACGAUUCACCAAUUUCCACCAUGAAAAACAAAAUAAAUUAUUUAGGUUUCACAUGGAUUUGAAACUCCUAGAUCUUUUGAGAUUCAUUGAACAGUUCAAUGGCAUGUUUCAAUCUCGAGUGUGCCCUUCAGGUUUUGUGACUGGGAUGCCGAGGAUCACAAAACAAGGUGUGAAGUAACCAUGCAAAUCAACUUGGUACUCUUAAUAUUUACCCCUCAAUCGAUGUGCUGGUUAACCACACACGCUCCACCGAUACUAUGAAAAAUAUUAAGUUACCUUUUGCCUACCUUGUUAAAUCCAGGUUAGUGUGCCGGUUAACCACACACACUCCACUAACAGCUUAAACAAAGUGCAAAGUGUAAUUUUAUGGAUUAACACCUUAUUCACAUUUUCCUAAGUAACUAAGAUUGGGAAUUUAUAAGUGUUUAGCUCCUGAUUAUAUAUCAUUAUACUUAUAAUGAAGGGAGAACUAUAGUCCUUGUCCUACCAGUUCGGCUAACGACCCUCCACCAGUCAAGGAAGCGGUGGGUGAGAGUGGACACCCAUUAAACUGCCAUUUUAUAGGCAGUAACCUUAUACCCCCCUUAUAGAUCGGCUUCGUGAAUGAUGCCUACUAAUGGUACGACGACUUGCUCUUAUACACAUAUAUAAAUAUUAUUAACUUAUAAUAUUAUAAAGUAUAAGAGUUGAAUUUUAACUUUUAAAAUUCUAAGGGCUAAACUUGAAACUAAAGUAUUCAUGGGAAAACUUUACAAAUUCCAAAACUUGAGGGCAAGUUUUGAAACUAUUCAAAACUCUUGGAUUUUCAUAACUUAUGAGUUUAAUGAAAGCUUUAAAACUUUUAAUGAAGAGACUCUUGGACAUCCAUAACUUGAGGAGAAGUUAUAGAGCCAUAAAAACUAUUUAUAAGAAAAGACUCUUCAUUUUUUUGUACCCUAAGGCAUUUUACUGAGUUUUACGAUUCCUAAAUGUGACUUUUCAUAUAACUUGAGGACAAGUUACAAAAACACAUUUGAUGAACAACUUUUAGAUUAAUUUGGAUUGAAAACAACUAACACAUAUUUUUCAUUAAUCUAAAAUAACUCAUAAGACAAGGUAACGCAAAAAAAACUUUUGGUAAUCCGUAACUUGAGGACAAAUUAUGGACUCAAUUAAAAUACAUUUAGAUCAAGAAUUAACUAACAAACACUUUUACAUAAUUCCUAUGAUCUACCAAAACUCAUAAGCAUGAACAAUCCAUAUCAACAAUUUCAAGAAUUACAUCAACAUUAAUAAAACUUGAAAUUUUGAUUUUAACCUUGAAAUUGGUUUACUAUAAUGAUUACCACUUUAAAAACAAGUUUUAUAAGUCCAAAACAGCUUAAUUCAACACCAAAACUGUUUCUUCGGUUUGUUUGGCUGCAAGACUGACAGUGAGUACAUGGACCUUUGUUUGUCUGAGUGCUUACUUUCGCCUGUGGAUUCGAUACCUUGUGAAUAUGAUUAGCAUUUUGAGAAUUCCAAAACUGCUUUCUUUCUUUGAGAUUCUUCUGGUACCGUCUGUUCCUUUGACAUGUUUGCUCAGCAAGUUGUUUUUGAGAUUUGUGAAUUUUUGCCUUUGGUUUCAGUUCAUCUUCACGAGCUUGGCUUGGAGAUGAUUCUCUAGAUGCCUUUUCCAGUUCGCCUUGAAUUUCUUUAGUACCGCUUGUACUUGGCUUAUCAAAGCUUGAAGGCUUGUUGAGAGGUUCAGCCACGUAUCUACCCUUGACUCUCCAUGAGGUUUUCUCUGACAAACCUAUUGUUUCGUGUGCAUUGUCAUUGGGAGCUGACCAGAAAAAAUUAUCACACCCAUCAGUUUUGCCUUCAUCUACCAAAGAAGUUAGCUCAGCUAUUUGCUUCUUAAUAACUCCAGUGGUGGCAUAUACUUGAUUCGGUACUGUUUGCACCUUUUAAUAUACCACUCCCUUUUCUUUAAGGACAUUGGACUUGUCCUUGCACAUAUGAGAAAAUGCAACUGAGUUUUCAGAUAUGAGAGGUUUUGCCGAUUUAGGUUCGCUUUUGAGGAAUUCAGAGCAGUCAACCUCAUCGCGUUCAGAAAUUUCACUCAUAUCACUAUCCUCAUCAAAUUCAGAAGUAUUUUCCACAUUCAUCUUAUUUUCUGAACUUAAUUUGAUACUCAAUGAGUCAAGUUUUUGCAUGGUUUCAGUCUUUAUUUUCAAUUUUUCAUUUUCGUCCAAUAAAUUCCUAAGCAUGUCCUUAUGGUCUUUGGACUAAUAAAGGACUCAAAUUUGUCCACACCAAUUCUGUAAGCAUCUAAAACCUCAUCUGAUGAUACAAUAGAUGCACAAUUGUAGCAAUCUACAUCAACUUCAUCCUCCUUAAAUUCAAGAAAGUGAAAAAUCAUUUUGUGAACCUUUUUGCCAAUGUCACAAUUCAAAUGUAACUGAGUAAUAUUAGUGUAAAAACGUUUAGCAAUUAAACAAAAAAUUCCCUUGUUUCAAAAACUUCAAAUUGUCACGUUGUAAAUAUAUCAACUCAUCUCUCGUUCUAACUAAAUCUAACUCCGUCUUCUCGAUCCACAUCCUUCGCUCCUCACUCUUUGAUGUCACCCUGCUAAGUUGAUCGGUUAUGUUAGCAUUUGUGAGGCGUGUUUGCAUUAGACUUCCACUUAAACUAGAAAAUUUGAAUUUUAAUUCAUUUAAUUCUUUUUCAUAGUUUGUUACAGGUAUUUUAAGUGAUUCGAGAAUGGAUUGUACCUUCUUGAUCAACCGAUCGCAGUCGUGAUGCAUUCACUCACAGAUUUGGCAGCAAAACACUUAUCUUCCUUCUGAUUCGUGUCAUCAUUCUCUCCUUCGGUUGUAUUGCCUCUCAUUUGUGACACUCCAGUUUUCACCAUCAAGCAUCUCCCAGCAAACUCAGUACUAUCUUCUUUUGCCACAAAUGCCUUGCCAUGCGUGGGUUUACGUACCUAUUCAUCUUCAGAGUCUGUAGACCAGACCUCCACGCCACCGAACUCAUCAUCAACAAUGUUCUCCUGUACAAUCAAAACAUUCAUAUAAUUGUUAGUGGCUUUCUUCUUCUUUAUCUCCUCCAACUUGCGCACAUGGUAUGCUUCAUCAUCUUAACCCUCCUUCUUCUCCGAUAGCUUUCUUUGUAACGUCCAAAAUUUCAAAACAAUUAAAACUUUUCAAAACCACUCAUUUUAAUAACGUUGUUACAAAAGGUUUUCAAUACAUUAUUUAACAAAGUAUUUUCCCAGGUUCAUAUCAUAAAACAUCAACGCGAGGAACGGUACGAUCACGCCUUUGCCUUGCCACGGACUCCUGAGAACCUGAAACAUAAAACCACAACUGUAAGCCCGAAAGCUUAGUGAGAUACCCCCAAAAUACCAACCACAUAUACGCCCUUCCAGGCCACGACCUUCCGGUCCAAGUGUCUCAGGGGACUUCCGUCCCUGCUGGGUAAACCUUCCGGUCCUACCCACGCCGACCUUCCGGCCCACAACACAACAUAUUGCCUUCCGGCCCAUAACAUAUUGCCUUCCGGCCCAUAGCAUAAAAUGCAUACAUAACAUAACAAAUCAUAUCACAUAAUCAUAUAGCAGUUCACAGACAACAAUCGAUCAACAUAUCACAUAUCAUAGCAUUACUCUAAACAAGAUACCGGUCUAGCCGGUCACUAGCAUAACAUUACCCUAUGAAUCAGUCAACAUACUAAAUGCAUACAUACGCCUUUCCAGGCCAUGACCUUCCGGUCCACAUAGCAAUGCCUUCCGGCCCAUAACAUGUAAUGACAACUACCCGGAUUUCCAUCCGAUAAAAGGGUCGGCCUUGGUGCCAUAAACCCUAGCGAUAUAGUGAGGAUAACUCACCUCGAAACUGCCGACUGAACAGAUAGCUCAAGCUGCUCCGAUCACUGAUACGAUCUCCACCUCUGGACAGCCACCAAUGCACUGAACUCAAACAAUAAACAACAAUUACCAAAAUACCCCUGGAACCACUGGUCAAUCCUUGGUCAAAGACAAGGUCAAAGUCAACCCCUGACUGACCCUACUCGCCGAGUCAACCCUAUGACUCGCCGAGUCCCCAUACUCAGAACUUCACUCAACCCGCGAUCUAACUCGCCGAGUCACCCCAAGACUCGCCGAGUUCAACGACUCUGAGUCCACUCGCCCUUGACUCACCGAUUCCUUAAGAUUCCCUUUCUACACGUCGAGUAUCCCCUUUUUACUCGACGAGUUCCUCCUGGAAGAAUCGCGGGGCCACCCCGACUCAACUCGCCGAGUCUGAAGAACAACUCGACGAGUCCCAGUUAAUCUUCAAGCUACUCGCCGAGUCUGUUCAUCGGACUCGGCGAGUCCAUGCCAUGCAACCGCUCAAACUGCUUUCUAAGGUCAGAACUGCUCCGACCAUUCAUAGGUCUGGCCUUCCUAGACUGAUUCAUCACGUAAGGUCCUCAUUUCGGUGCUCAUAAUACACCCCAUGACUCAUAAUUUACAUUUUGACCUAAGGCAUAAGGAUUCCAAUCCAAAACCUCCAUUAAUUCCCGAAAUGCUCAGGCAUGGGACAUUCUGGACUUCCAAAGGUCCCAAUACAGGGUUCCAAUCGUUUGGGGGACUAAGGUAACAUUCAAUCUAGCCACAAAAGGGUUCCAUAAACCCUAAAUCCAUAUACACAUCAACAUAGCAGAGUAUAACUCGAAUUCUUACCUGAAUAAUGUGCUCUCUGUGUCCCCAAUCCUCAGAACGUGACUUCCCUUGUUGCUCCCUUAAUCAAGCCUUCUCUUCCUUGCACAAUAACUCUUCUAAAAUCAACAAUGGCCUUCAACCUUGCUCCAGACGCUCACAAUCAAUUUAGGGUUUCUCUCAGAAGGCUAGAGUGAACAAUGACGGCCAUAAAGUCCCUCAUAUACGUCCCAAACCUGAACGGUUAGGGUUUCGCUAAACAGCGUGGACUCGCCGAGUCCAUAUCCGGACUCGUCGAGUCCAGUCGCGAACCCGCGACCAGAUCUGCGAUCCUACUCGGCGAGUCUGAGCUCCAACUCGCCGAGUCCCCUCUUAAAACACCCAAAAUCAUAAUUAUAGCAAUAUCUGGAAAUUCGGGCUGUUACAACUCUCCCCCACUAGGACUAGACUUCACCCUCAAAGUCUCACUCUGAAAAUAGCUCCGGAUGCUGCUCCCACAUCUCACGCUCCAGCCCACAGGUCAUUUUCGAUCCCCUCCGGUGCUGCCACUGAACUAACACCAGAGGUAUCUCCUUAUACCUCAGAACCUCGAUCUUCCGAUUUCUGAUGACCACUGGUCUCUCGGCAUAAUUCAGGCUCGCAUCCACCUGAAUGUCUUCUAAUGGGAUCACUGCCGACUCAUCGGCUAUAUACUUUCUCAAUUGCGACACAUGAAAAAUGUCGUGGAUUUGUCUCAAAUCCGUGGGCAACUCCAAACGGUAGGCCACCCGGCCUACCCCCGCAAUCACAUGAAAAGGCCCAAUAUACCGGGGCCCCAACUUGCCCCUCUUCCUGAAUCGAAUCACUCCUUUCCAAGGAGAGACCUUCAGGAGUACGAAGUCGCCGACCUGAAACUCAAGCUCGGACCGGCGUCUGUCUGCAUAACUUUUCUGUCGGCUCUGGGCGGUCAAUAACCUCUGUCUAAUCUGCUGAAUCUGCUCUGUCGACUGAAGCACGAUCUCUGUACUGCCCAUCACUCUCUGGAACCGAGAAUUACCCAAGAUGCAACUCUGCUCUAAAUCUCAACGAUCACUUGACCCAUAAGGGUUAGGAAACCAUGAACCACCGGAUCCCCGAUCCAAAGCCCACUUUGUCCAUUCCGGACCGACUGAGAGACCCAUUCUCACUCUCAGAGCAACUCUCACGAGUUCUCCUCUUGCAAUCACAUACACAUGCUGAACUAGCCCCAACACCCGCAGGUUGGAAGACCCGAUACACUGAUGAUAUCCUCGAACAUCUCCCAGGAUGAACCACUAAUAUCCACCCUAUACCCUGAUCAGAAUCACACUGAGAAUUCAAGAUUCUCUCUCCCCCUGCAUCCCUUCUGAGCCUCAACAGACAUCCCAAACCGGAUGAGUUCCUACUUCACUGCCGCGAACACGAUGCUCAAAACCAUACUCGAAAUACUCUAACCAUAACUCUGCUCUGCAGCUUUCACUUUCGUGAACUUGCACUCCCCUUCGGAGUUACACACCUUUCUCUUUUCUUUUUCCAAGGAACCCUCUUGACCAUAAUGCCACUCCAACCGGUGCCACGGUGCUCGCCCCAAGCGACACCACCCUUUUUGCGUAACCGCUAUUCACAUACUCUGGUUCUCAUUGCAGGGGCUCUCAAGCCCAUGCACUCUCUCCAUUCCACAAAAUCACUACCUCAACUAAACAAAAUCACUAACCCGGGGCCAGACCUUCCAAUGUAAUCACACUACAACAUACAAAAUCCAAAAUCUCAAACUGAUCCAACAAUACUAUCAGAGUCCCCAGCAUGACUGGACCGACUCUCAUAACACACACCAGCCACUCGAGGCUAUAUCUCGGUGGGUCCGUACACCCAAACUCUGUGAACCCUUAGGUUCCAACUCUGGGAACCUUCCGGUUCCAACUCUAGAAACAUGCUCAACAUAAAUCUCGUGGGAUUAAUGCAGUACAACCCAUCACAUACAUCAAGCAUACAAAUACUCUGAUCACAUAACCCCGGUUACUUACUUAAACUUGAUCCCGGCCUGCUCCCAGGCCUCCACAAUCAAUUGCCCUAGGUCUGUAUCCCGCCCCGCAUACCCGACACUCGCUCUUGUCAGCCUAUACUCUGAGCUGACAGAACACUGCUGAAUCCCAACAGCUAAGCACCCUCACAUACUCAUCGAUCUCCCGGAGAAUUCUCCAAUUCUCCCCCACUUAAAGCACUGACUAACAACCACCGAUCGCCAUUAACGACCUUCCAGAACAACCCCGCACAAAGAGAACACUUACACACUGACUGCUUCCCACAAGCAUAAGCAACCCUCAGCAAAACACAUCUCCUCCCUGAUCAAUCCGCUCAAAAGAAUCCGGCCUUUCAAUUUUCCACUCCACGACUACAGAUGCUACCCGAGAUUCAACCCAAUGCCGCAUCUCCGCUAUCAACCCUCACGAAUGAUAACCAAAGGAAUUCCCAAACAAUAACUCAUAACCAAACCCACAACUUGCAAAAGGAUGGAUACCGCAUCGAAAACCGCACAAUAAUAUCGGCACCAAAACACCAGACUAUAACCAUACCAAACCAUCAGGGAACAACGAAUGCCACAGCGAAAACCUGAAACACCAAUCCAUAACCAUGCCAAACCCGCGAAACAACGAAUACCGCAUCGAAAUCCACACAAGAUACCAGCACAAACAAUACGCCACAAUCAACGCAAGAUAAUCAAGACAUCAAGAAAGCAUCAUACCCGCAGCUGCCUCCGGCACUGCUCCGUCUCCCUCUGCCGCAAGCCGAUAAGCACGACCCUGAGCCCUUGGGGCUCCGCUCCAUCCUGUCCUCCUCCUGAACUCCUCAAGGUGGCCGGUGCUAGAGCCUGCACCGGUCCUGCAGAAAGCUGUGGACAGUUGACCCUCAAAUGUCCAACCUGCCGACAAUGAUAACAAAUCCUCAAAUCCCGAAUCGGCACUGACUGCCGACAAUCCCGCGCAUAGUGCCCCUCCUUUCCGCACUUGCGGCAUGCACCACCGGACCAGCAAACUCCGGUGUAAUCCCUCCCACACUUCCCACAAGUAUGGCCGCUCCAAUCUCCCAUUCUAACAUCAACGGUACUGGACCGUUUCGGCGCUGGCUGCGACUGCAUCGGAGCCUGCCUCAGCUCACGGAACUGCAAAUCAACCUCUAACUCACGCCGCAUGGUGGCCUCCUGUAACACCAACAAGGUCUCGCACCUCUGCGCAGACACGAACUGUCUGAUAUCCCCCUUGAGCAUACUCAGAUAUCGGGACAUCUGAGCCUGCUCCGAAGCGAACUCAGGGCAAAACAUCGCCCUCUCAAUAAACAUCCUGGUGAUCUCAGUCACCGACUCCGAAUCCUGCUUCAGCUCAAGGAACUCCCGAUCCAAUCUCUUCCUCUCAUCUCGCGGAACAUAGCGAGUACUGAACAUCUCUCGGAACUGAUCCCCUGAAACCGCAGCCCUCUGCGCGUCGGAAAAUGACCUCGCAGUCAAUCUCCACCAAUCCUUCGCUCCGAGCCUCAAUAGGUUCAGAGCACCCCUCACUCUCUGAUCAGUAGGGCAUAAACUCGUGGAGAAACACCCCUCCACGUCUGAUAACCAUCUCAUAGCAACAAUCGGGUCCUGAACUCCAUCGAAUGUGGGAGGCUUCGUAUAAUAGAAGUCCCGAUACUGAAAACUCCGACUAGCUCCUCCCCUUGCCGCUGCUACAGCCGUUGUAGCCGUCGCGGCAACCGUCUCUGCAAGAGCCGCAUAUCGCUCGUCGAAAUACUCAAUCAUAGCGGUCCUGAUCGACCCAAACAAUUCUGGCGACUCAGCCCGCAACAAUGCAGCAACCUCAUCACGCAGGAUCUCGCGAAUCCUCGCAUCCCGCUCGCUCGUGCUCGUCCGAUCGAUAACCUCCGACGGCACCGAUCCACCCGGAACUCGCUCUCCAGCUCCCGAUCCUGAUCCGGAUCCACUAUCAUCAUGCCUCGAAAUCUCCAUACUGAAGACACCCUACCAAUCUCAGACACUUCCCAAAAUCCUGGGAUCCAACUCUCGCAACCCUACCCUAGAGACCAUGGUUUCCCUGAUACGCGUAUGGGUCCUGUGCUUUCAGUAGUACGGGCCCAUACUACCUUCCACACCUACCCAUAUUUGUAUGAAGUACUACCACAAUACCCUAGAGAACAUGCAUAACAACUAUCAACCCUCACCACUAGAGGAACACUGAGAAUAUCCCAUAAGGGACCCUAGGCUACAGGCAUCACAAAUCAGGCAACAUUAUCAUGAAUUCCUGAAGAUCCCUAGCCUAACUCUAGCAUGCUGUUCUAUCAAGCUCAAAUAAACAAAUAUCAUGUAUGGUAUCUUGGGGUUACUUACUGGCUCCGGCUGAUCGUACCUCCGCGUCCUCCUUUUACUAAAUUUGAAAACCAUUUUAAUUUCUCUUUUUAAAAUCCUCCUCGAUUUGAGACUGGAGUCACACGAAUGUUUCCCCAAUUCACUCAAACCAAGGCUCUGAUACCAACUUGUAACAUCCAAAAUUUCAAAACAAUUAAAACUUUUCAAAAUCACCCAUUUUAUUAACGUUGUUACAAAAAGGUUUUCAAUACAUUAUUAAACAGAGUAAUUUCCCAGGUUCAUAUCAUAAAACACCAACGCGAGGAACGGUACGAUCACGCCUUUGCCUUGCCACAGACUCUUGAGAACCUGAAACAUAAAACCACAACUGUAAGCCCGAAAGCUUAGUGAGAUACCCCCAGAAUACCAACCACAUAUACGCCUUUCCAGGCCCUGACCUUCCGGUCCAUGUGUCUCAGGGGACUUCCGUCCCUGCUGGGUAAACCUUCCGGUCCUACCCACGCCGACCUUCCGGUCCAUCACACAACAUAAUCGCCUUCCGGCCCAUAACAUAUCGCCUUCCGGCCCAUAACAUAUCGCCUUCCGGCCCAUAACAUAUUGCCUUCCGGCCCAUAAGCAUAAAAUGCAUAUAUAACAUAACAAAUAAUCAUAUAGCAGUUCAUAGACAACAAUCGAUCAACAGAUCACAUAUCAUAGCAUUACUCUAAACAAGAUACCGGUCUAGCCGGUCACUAGCAUAACAUUACCCUACGAAUCAGUCAACAUACUAAAUGCAUACAUACGCCUUUCCAGGCCAUGACCUUCCGGUCCACAUAGCAAUGCCUUCCGGCCCAUAACAUGUAAUGACAACUACCCGGAUUUCCAUCCGAUAAAAGGGUCGGCCUUGGUGCCAUAAACCCUAGCGAUAUAGUGAGGAUAACUCACCUCGAAACUGCCGACUGAACAGAUAGCUCAAGCUGCUCCGAUCACUGAUACGAUCUCCACCUCUGGACAGCCACCAAUGCACUGAACUCAAACAAUAAACAACAAUUACCAAAAUACCCCUGGAACCACUGGUCAAUCCUUGGUCAAAGACAAGGUCAAAGUCAACCCCUGACUGACCCUACUCGCCGAGUCAACCCUAUGACUCGCCGAGUCCCCAUACUCAGAACUUCACUCAAUCCGCGAUCUAACUCGCCGAGUCACCCCAAGACUCGCCGAGUUCAACAACUCUGAGUCCACUCGCCCUUGACUCACCGAUUCUCUAAGAUUCCCUUUCUACACGUCGAGUAUCCCCCUUGACUCGACGAGUUACUCCUGGAAGAAUCGCGGGGCCACCCCGACUCAACUCGCCGAGUCUGAAGAACAACUCGACGAGUCCCAGUUAAUCUUCAAGCUACUCGCCGAGUCUGUUCAUCGGACUCGGCGAGUCCAUGCCAUGCAACCGCUCAAACUGCUUUCUAAGGUCAGAACUGCUCCGACCAUUCAUAGGUCUGGCCUUCCUAGACUGAUUCAUCACGUAAGAUCCUCAUUUCGGUGCUCAUAAUACACCCCAUGACUCAUAAUUUACAUUUUGACCUAAGGCAUAAGGAUUCCAAUCCAAAACCUCCAUUGACUCCCGAAAUGCUCAGGCAUGGGACAUUCUGGACUUCCAAAGGUCCCAAUACAGAGUUCCAACCGAUUGGGGGACUAUGGUAACACUCAAUCUAGCCACAAAAGGGUUCAAUAAACCCUAAAUCCAUAAACACAUCAACAUAGAAGGAUGCAACUUGAAAUAUUACCUGAAUAACGUGCUCUCUGUGUCCCCAAUCCUCAGAAUGUGGCUUCUCUUGUUGUUCCCUUAACCAAGCCUCCUCUUCCUUGCAAAACAACACUUCCAAAAUCAACAAUGGUCUUCUACCUUGCUCCAGAUGCUCACAAUCGAAUUAGGGCUUCACUCACAGGACUAGGGUGAACAAUGACGACCAUAAGGCCCCUUAUAUAUGUCCCCAAACCUGGACGGUUAGGGUUUCGCUAACCAGCGUGGACUCGUCGAGUCCAGUCGCGAACCCGCGACCAGAUCUGCGAUCCUACUCGGCGAGUCUGAGCUCCAACUCGCCGAGUCCCCUCUUAAAACACCCAAAAUCAUAAUUAUAGCAAUAUCUGGAAUUCCGGGCUGUUACAUUCUUAACAUGAAAUCUUUGGCAAAGUGGUUUUUGCCAUCGCAGAAGUUGCAAUCGUAUCCGAAGUCUCCUACCAGUUUGCUCUCCUUUUUCUCUUCUUCUUUCUGAGGAUUAUUUUUGAUCUCCUCUUUCACUUUCUCUGAGCUGUAGCUUCCCUGCCAGUUUCGGUUCUUGGCAAGAGGGAACUUUUUGCGAGAAAAUUGCUUUGGGAUGGAAAUCAUCAUUGCCUACUCUUCGUUUGUCAGAUCACAUUCUGAAAAUUCUAACUAUUCUUCAUCUUCUGCCAUAUUCUUCUCCUUAGAAAGAGGGGCCAAGUAUCCUAUACUAGACACCGCUUUGGAUUCCUUUGUCACAAAACUUUCAUGAGACUUGAGAAUACCCACCAUGUUUUCCAAUGAAUAGGUUUUAAACUGCUCGUGAGCCUUCACAGUUGAUGCCAUAGCCAUACAUUCGGGUCUUAAACCAUUCAGAAAUGUAACCUUCUGUUUGAUCACUUUUCUUCCAAUACCAUGCUUGAUCAUCUUGCUCAAAAGAUGGUUGAAACGAUCGAAUGCUUAAAUGAGUUUUUCAUAUGGCUUUUGUUCAAAACCACCAAACUCAGAGAGCAAUAGAGUUUGGAUAGAGUAUUCUAGGUCCUCAUCAGUGGAAUACAACUCUUUGAGUCUAUCCCAGAUCUCUUUUGCUAUGGCGCAUGGGCUUACUAGACGAAAAGUAUUGGACUGAAAAGCAAAUCUAAUCAUUCUCAUGGCUUUAACAUUACAUAACAACUUUUCUUUUUCAUCUUGAGGAAUCUUCUCCACGUCAGUUAAAAGUUUGUUGUACUCCUUUUGAGUUUUAAUGGUUCUAUUUGUUCCAGAAUGAACAAAAGGACCCAAUGUUAUAGCUUCCCAGAUAAGAUAAUCGUUGUCUUCAGAACCAACAACGUAGUCUUCAAAGUGAUGCGUACAAACUUCAUAAUAUUGAGUGUAUAGAAUCGGGAUAAUAAUUGUGGAUCCAAUGCUGUUGGAGAUAUUGAUCGGAUUGGUUUGUGAAUCGUCGAGAGACAUGAUGACCUUUUUCCGAUAUCUGCUAAGAAUCAGACUUGUAAAGAUUGAAUUAGGGUUUUAUCAAAAGCAAGAAACAACAUCAAUGAAGAGAUGACGACUCCUACAGAUUUGAUAAAAGCGGAAACCCUAAAAUUAUUCUUCCAACAGAAGAGAUGCGCAAAUUUUACACAGUCUCCUGAUCUGAUACCAAUUGAUGGGAAUAUUGUUCUCUAGGAUCGAUAGAUUCAAUCAGAUAUGAAUGAAAUGAUAAUAAGUAAUAAAUAAUGUUAAACACCAAGAUGAAUCAAACGAGUGUCGAAUGAUUACUAUGCUUCGCCUCAGAAGAAUUCAACGUGAAUUGCUACUGUAGAGGUGUGCUAGGGUUAGAAUACAAGAUCUAUCAAAUAAUAAUGAAGAAGUGCAAUCCAUAUAAUGCAUGCAUGCACUAUAUAUAUAUAUACACACACACACACACACACACUAAACCCUAAAACAAAAAACGGCUGGACAGGCCCAGACCGAGUAUACUAAUGGACCAAAAUGCUUAGCCUAAUGACGCAUUUCUUAGACUCAAUAAUGAUCAAUAAUUAGGUCAUAACCAUAAUCAGGACUUAAUUCACUAAUCUCGGCUCCUAGGGUAAAAGACUAUUUUAUCCUUCCCUUCAAUUAGCCCAAAUACCAAGGCCCAAACUCAAUGGCACUAAAAGCCCAAUAACCAGCCCAAAUCCAAAAGACACCCAAGUCCCAUUACAGACCCAAUUCCAUAAAGGCCCAACCAAAAGCCCGAAAUUUCAACAAUCCAUCCUCACAUCGUGACCAGUCUUUGGGUACAUCGUGAUAUCUCACUCGAUUUGAUUCCAACUCAUCCCGACUCAACUCAGUCAACUCAGACAUAAAAAGUCACCGAAGCUGACCUCAUGUUGUGAGAGCCUACUCCCACGUCGUGAGCUCCAAGAAGCUAACCAGAAAUGGGGUCAUUAAACCCUCACUUCGUGAGCUUUAUGUCUCAUGUCAUGAGAUCCGUUUGAAACCAAAAUUCAAACUUUUAAGUCCUUAAUCCAUUAAUCCUUGAACUUUAACUUUCCAUAUGGUCUUAUAAAUCCAUAAUGCACUAGAAAGUCAAUGUUUUAUGACGUGUGUGUAAAAUACAUGUCUAGAUCUCAUUUGGGUCCAAAGUUGAUGAAAAGACAUCUAAAUUUCAUGCAAGGCUCUAAAAAUCAACCAUUCCCUAGAUCUAAACUGCAUAUUACUCUUAAUACCCUAAUAACACAUAAAGUUUCCAACUUUAUGGUUUGCAUUCAUCAAACUUGCACAAUCAAGAGGAAAAGUGGGACAAAACAUAAAUAUAGCCUCAUAGAAUAUUAAAAGAGCAAUCUUUGAUACUUACAAUCAUCCAGAGACAAUGUAAGUUGAUGAUGAUGAAGACUCCUUGCAAGCCUCAACUAAAGAUCACCUUCUUCUUCUUCUUUUCUCCUUCUUCCAAACCAAGAAAAGCUCCAAAAUGACCAAAGAUCAAGCAAGGAUGAAGACUAGGGUUUUUCUGAGGUGAAAGAGGCUUUGGGGCUAAUAAGAAACACUAAGAUGAGUUUAGAGAUGCUUAAAUAUGAAUGAAACCCAAAAAUGAUCAUGGGAUAGGGUUGCACCUGCUCUCAUGUCGUGAGCUCCAUGUCUCACGUCGUGAGACCAGUCCCGAACAAAGGUUUUCAUGCAACCCAUCUCAUGUCAUGAGCCUCCAAUGACGUUGUAAGGCUUCUUGUCUUCCAAAACCCAACCUUUUGACUCCUUGAAACCCUAAUUUUAUUCAUCUUAGAAAAAGGGUGUUACAACUCUCCCCAACUUAAAUUAGAUUUUGUCCUCGAAAUCAUUCCUUACUACCUUCCAAAAAUGCUAUACCUCUUGGGAAAUACUCCUACAACCUCGAUACGGAAUGAUAAGUCGACUCGAACAUACAACUAUUUGAUUAGGUGUCUAAACCCAUAACUAUAAUUGGUAUGUACUUGACUCAAGAGUAGCGUGGUCCAUUUGGGUUGCCUUCACCAGAGUAAUUUGAUAGGAUGGACUUUUGAGAAGAGGUUAUUUGUGAUUUAUUAAUAUACGGGGAUUGAUUAAGUAAAUCAAUGAUUCUUAUAGUGUGGGCCAAUGAUCCAUGGUUAUUAGGAUGGGCUAAACUAAUAUGAUAGUCCACGGACGUUUAACCCAUGGCUCCUAAGUAAUAUGAAGGGUCAUGUGAAUUAAUGUUUACAUGGAUGUAACCCUAGACUUUGCCACACUAUAAAAGGAACCCAUAGUCACCAAAAUCGACCCCAUGCAUUCUAAGAAGAGUGAUAAACGAUUUUGUGUUCUAAGUAGCCUCUCUCUCAAUUCCUCCUUUUUUCAUGGUGUUUGUGAACCAUUUGAGGCAUCACAUUUGAGGUGCUAAGUUCUUAAAGGCCAAAACUACAAGCUACAACAAAAAGAUAAUUAUAUAAAUCGAUUUUAAUGUUGAUUGUAUGCUAAUUGUAGGCUUAAUGCUUUGGAAACAAUAUUGCAUCUAUAAUUAGAGAAAUCAUAGUUCCAAAGCAUUUAGGGUUGUAUGUGCACCAUAGGAUGUUGUAGUAUACAUAAACCCAAUAGUGGUAUCAGAGCCUAGGAUUGUUUUCUAUUAUAUUUGAUACUGGCUUAUUUUUUCAAAGCUGAAAAACUGUUUUGACAGCACCUAAUCGACGAGUACAUGAUUGGACUCGACGAGUACGUUGUUUUUUUGCCUAGAACUCGAUGAGUCCAUAGUUGGGCUCAACGAGUUGGAUGAUCAGCCAGCAGUUUUUCGGGAUUUUUGGCAUGGAUUGGAUUGGGUUCACUACCAAAAACUUUUUUGCAUCAUAAAAUUUGUUUUUUCUGAUAUGAUAGUGAUUAUGCUCAUCCAAUCAAAAGAUAAUUGUCAAAAUUUCAAGAUUUGUAUUAGUUUGUAUGAUAAGCUAAUUUAUUUUAAAUUAUUAAUAUGAAUUGUCUUGACUUAUGAGUUUGCCUAGAUCAUAGAUAAAUUAUAUGAUAAUUUUUUAUUUGUUAAAAUAUUGAUCUAGAUGUUCUUUAAAGUCCUCCAUAAUUUGUCCUCAAGUUAUGGAACAUGAAAAGGUUUUCCAUAAAAACCAAAUUAAACUCAUUAGUUAUGAAAAUCAAAGGUUUUUCAAGAGUUACAAAACUUGCCCUCAAGUUUCGGUGUUUGAAAAGUCUCAAAUUAAGAAACUAUUGUAACUAAAAGGUGUAACUCUUGCGUUCAUAAAUUAAAAAAAUUCAUUAAAUAGAUUUUAAUUUUGAAUUUUUAUAUUUAGAACCUUGAAGUAUUUGAGUAGUUCAAAUUGCACCUUAUGGACUUUAUUAAAUUAAUUAAAGUGUUUAACUAAAAGAGAAUUAAUAAUUCCAUAAUGACAUGGUUUAAGUUUAAUUAAAACUAAGAGUAUAGUUUAAUUAAUAGAUUAAACCAUCUAGUAUUUUAAAAGUUUAAAAUACACCCUUAUAUUAUCAUAAUAUUAAAAGUUUAAUUAUUAUUAUUAUUAUUUUAUAUAUAUAUANUCUUACCGUUAGUAGGCCUCAUUCACGAAGCCACGCCCACCACUUCCUUGACUGGUGGAGGGUCGUUAGCCGAACGGGUAGUAUAGGACAUUCUCAUUAAAAGUAUAAUGAAUAUUUUAAGUAACUAAAUGUCUUACACAUUCCCAAUCUUAGUUACUUUAGGAAAAUGUGAAUUUGAUUUUAAUCCAUGAAAUUGCAGUUUGCACCUUGCCAAGUCAUUAGUGGAGUGUGUGUGGUUAACCAGCACACUAACUUGGACUAACAAGGGUGGAAAAGGGUAUCUUGAUGUUUGUCAUUGAUCAAUGGAGCGUGUGUGGUUAACUGCCACAUUGAUUAGGUGAUAAAUGACAUCGAGAGUACCAAGCUAAUUUGCAUGGUUAUUCACGCCUUGUUAGUGAUACUUGGUAUCCCAGUCACAAACUUGAAGGGCAUAAUCGAGAUUAAACAUGCCAUUGAAAAGUUCAAUGAAUGUCAAAAGAUCUAGGAAUUUCAACUCAUUUAAAACCUAAAAUUCAUUUUCGUUUUUCAUGGUGGAAAUUGGUAAAUCGUCAUUUACCUACCUUCAAAUAUGUUGCAAUGGGAUUACGAGAUCCCUCUUCCGAAGUGUAAAGUAUUGUGUUGGGUCCUAGCCUUAAUAUUUUAUUUGGGUGUUAUAUUAAGGACUUAAAUAAACUAAAAUUGAAUUUCUCCCUUGUAGAUGUCUAGUUCUAACAACUAUGGUCUUUUCGAAUCUUAUGGAAAAAGCUUUCCUCAUGAAGAUGAUGUCCCACGAUUGAAUAAGAAAUGAUUUGGCGUACUAGUAAAGAAAAUUUGAUUGGAAGAUCUACUCCCCAAACUUACAUGGACAUUGAAAAUGGUAUCAUCGGGAGUCCAGACAAGCUUUCUCUUCCCAAUGGAAAGGGGUCAACCAUAGUCAAGUCAUUUGACCAAAUGGUAAAGAGAAAGACUAAGUCUAAGAUAAUCAUGUUUUCCAUUUCCAAAGAGUCCAUAUGUUUCUAUUGCCAAGAGAAGGGGCACUAGUUGCGAAGCUACCAUAUUUACCUGAAAGAUCGCAAAGAUGGUAAAGUCAAAAAUUUUGACUCUACUUCAGGUAAAAUCCACUAUCUAACUCUAUUAAGUUCCUAUUUGGAGAUUCUUAAUACAUGAUGUAAUGUAAUUACAUUUUGAUGAUUUGUAGAAUCAAAGAAAAGAAAGGAAACUUAAAGGAAGAGUAAGCUGAUUCUGAUCGUGAAGAGAUGGAUUUCAAUCGCAUGGUUCGAUGAUCAGAAUUUUAAGCUGCUGCUUAAGAGUUAUGAUAGAUUGCUUAGGAAUAGAUAACAACAUACUUUUCAUAUGUAUUUGCAUUGUAAGGAAAAGUUUUCCACAGUUUUAUGAAUAAAAGAAAAAAUUUGAUUUUUAUCUUGAUCUGAGUUUCCUUACAAUGGAAUUUGUGAAAAUUGUUGCUUAUAUGUUUCCACUGAUAGCAAUAUUGGAAAAUGGAUUUGAUUUUUUCGUUUGUGGUAGUGUCAUAAUUUACCAAAUAAGGAAAGAUUCUCAUCACCCAAGGUUCAGUUGGAUAGAAACUGGGAAUCAUGCAACCUGUAUUGUGUGAUGAAUGAGAACUUCAUCUUUGGGAAAUUAAGACUAAUUCCUUGUUCACAUGUAUAUGUGAGUCAAGUGAAGGACUAGGAGAUCAGGUGCACUCGGUUGCACGUUGAUCGGGUCCACCACAAAGAAUGGUAAGACUAUUCGUUAUGAUUUACUAAAGUUCGGUAAAUAUGGUUAUACUUAAAAGAUUAAGUAUAAUUCUGAACCAUUAGAAAAGUUUCAAUGUAUAGCAGAACAAAUAAGAAGAAUCAAAAUAGGCAGAAAGAUAAAGUUUCUCCAAUCUGAAAAUAAGGGAGAGUACUCAACAUUGAUAUCAUGUUUUAUGAUAAUCUUAAUGAUUAUGAAAACCAUAUCACAAUUGAUCCUCUAAGUACACUUAUAUGGCUAAGAAGAGGAAUCGGUAAUUGUUGAAAUGGUUAAAUCAAAAGGUGAAUCAUACUUCAUUCCGAAAUCAAGUCUUAGAGUCAUACUCCAAGAUUGUAACUUGAGUGACAUAAUCUUAAGAAAGGUUUAUAAUCCUUAUCAAUUGUAGAGUAAAAUGUUUCUUACUCUUGUACAUUUGAAAUUGGUAAGUUGUGAUGUUUUGGAUAAAACAAAGACCAACUAAGACCUAUUGUGUGAAGUGUUUUUCUUGAUAAGAAACCACACUAACUCUUGAAUAUUUGUUUGUCAAGAAUGUUUCUUGACAAAGAGAAUCUUAUAUGUCAAGAGGUCAGUGGGAGUCUUAAAGAUCUUGAAAAGGUUCAAGAACUAAUCAAGAGUAAACCUAUUGUUAAUCACUAGCACACGACUUGAGGUUUAUAACCUAUCAUGUUGACAUAUUCUUGUUUCUGUGGCCAUUCCAAUUAAAGUUGACUAUGCAUGUGAGUUCUAUGAGUUCUCAAUUGUGCUGCCAGGUGGCAAGAUAUUAAGUUUGAACAAGUUCACUCCAUAUGAGUUUGGAUUUGUCACUAACCUUGUCUUGUGAUUAUGGUUAUGACAAAUUCACAUGGAUAGGAACACAUACACCAUAAAAAUCUAAGUGUCAUAAGGUUUAUCUCCAAUUCAUGAAAAUGAUUGUGAAGAAACGCUUUCACUAAGUAGAUUUUAAGGAGAUAGCAAUUGUGUUAUUUGCAUUCUCAAAUUCGAUUAUGAUUACGACAUCCCUCUUCAUAGUUUGAAUUGUAAGAAAUGGAAAAAGGUCUAAACAUUUCAGACUUAUGACUGUAAGUUCUACAAUUGUUUAGACAUACAUGUGAGCUAUCUAAGGAAUGGUGUAUGAGUUUGAGAAGCCUAGAUAAAUUCUUAUUGAAGCAUCUCGUAUCAGAAAUAUAAACUUUGGUAAGAAAGUCAAUAAGUAUUGAUUUCUAGAAGUCCAGGUGAUUUCUGGGUACAUGUCAAAGCUAGUGGGAGCAUAAGUGUUAUGCUAAUAGGAAUGUAAUUAUUAUUCUAGCGGGAGCACAAUUAUUACAUUAAGUGUUGCGAUUUAGCAAUGUUAAUUAUAGAAAACAAAAGUUUCAAUUCACAAAGUUGCAGGAUUUGAAAAGUUAUUUUGCUAUAAUUAAGGUAGAGGAAUUCAUACUUCAUUUCAAAUCUAAAAGCUUAGAUUGAGAUUUUAAUCAAAUUUAGUCAAGGAUAUAUAUGAGUGUUAUGUUGGAAAGAUUUGACAUAAGGAAAUUCUAUAUAUGGAAAUGUUAUAGCAAGAGACAAGUAUAGUAUCAUGUCUUUCUGUGAGACAUUAUGAAUAGUAUUCCAUAUGCUUCAAAUAUAGGAUCGAUUACAUCUACCAUGGUAUUAAUCUGUUCAAAUUUUCAAAAUACCUAGGGCAUUAAGAGGGAAAAGGGACUAGAACGAGAUAUGACUAAAAUGGUUAAGCAAUUGCCGAGGACAAUAUGAGGUUUACCAAAGAUUGGUUGCUUAUGGACAGUUGGAAGUAUAUUGUAAAUUUUGGAAAGGACCAUAUUGACAUACUCAGAGAAGUGGUAACUCUUGUUCAGGAGUGGUAGUCGAAAUGAGAAUAUGGAAAUGUUUCCAUAAGUGGAAGCUAUUCUUUAAAUCUGUGUAAGAUUAGGAAACUUAAUGCAAGAAGGAUGUUCAAAGGAAUGUACUUUGAAUGUGAAACUUCGUUUCCAUGGAUUUUCUCUCCAUUGGAAUAUUUUGUAAUGUCUUUUGCGAAGUCUUUGUGACCUUUGUGCAUUGACAUUAGAAAAGGAUUAUUGCAUUUAAGUUUCGAAUCUAACAGAUUAUAGUAAAUGGAAAGAACUUGGUAUUCUUACACUUACUAUAAGGAUUUGGAUUGAGAAAUGAGUUUCAUUAGAAAUGGUUACAAUUGAUCUAUUUCACAAAGAAAGGACCAUAGGAAAACAUAGUGUGCAUGCUUGGUGCAUGGCAUAACUGUUGUUUUGAUUAAGCAUUAAGCUGAUUAAUCGAAACAUUAUACAAUGAAUAAUGUGUAAUUAAUAUGGUGAUUAAAUAAAAGGUGUUUAAUUUAUAUUCAUAAGUUUUGAGACCAUAUUGGAUUCGAUUAUUCUUGUGUUUCACUUUGCAUGUUUUGACUUCCCGAAUAACUAGGUUAUUCAAACUAUCCACAGUCGAUCAUACUUUGGAAGUAGGUAUUGGGGCAAGAAUUGAUGAGUUUUGAGCAUUCUAACACUCCUAUGGUGUAAAUGCAACCCUAGAAACCUUGGAUCUGUGUUUGACUAAGAUACAUGCAAAUAAUUAAUUUUACAAGGUUCUUAGACUAUCUAGCAUGGCAUGGGGAACUUGAAUCAAAUAAACCUAGUAGAAUUACUUACCUUGUUGUUGUAGUUGAUUUCUUGGAGUUUUAGAGCCAAGUACCAAUAGUGUGGAUGCCUCAAAUGGAAAUCACAAAUCACCAAAAACUUUGGAACUUUGAGAGAAUAGUAAUCACCUUCUUGAAAUCGGCCCUCUUAUUAUACUCACCACAACUAGUGUGAUUUCAAGAACCAAAGGCUCCUUUAUAUAGUGUGGUGGAUUAGGGUUACAUCCAUGUAAACCCUAAUACCCAUGUCUUUUCAUUUCCAUGAGAUCCAUGGGUUAAAGCUCCAUGGAGUAUCCAUGGACUUUCCAUGCAAGCCUAGCCCAUUCUAAAUAAGCAUUAUCCCACACUAUAUAAAUACAAGAGCCCAUAUUUAAUUAGUCAUACUUUUGAUCUCUAAAUUAAUUAUAGAUCAAUACUAAUUAAACAAUAUGAUUUUAUAUUAAUAUAUUAGAACUUAUAAUAUAUUAAUAGAUCAUAACUUAUACUAUUCUCAAAGGAUUAUCCAUAAUUGUUCGGGUGAAGUGCAACCCAAAUGGACCAUGCCGGGUCGGGUUAAGUACAUACCAAAUAUAGUUAUGGACUUAGACACUAUAUCCAAUAGUCUCCCACUUGGAUAAGUCAAAUAACUAUAGUUGCAAGUAUGACUUCAGGAACCGAUCAUCAAUCAUAGCACUUUAAACUGUAUUGAACUAUGAAGCGCCAUUUUAGAUAAGUGAUCAUAUAGUCUUCUAUUCUAGAUAUCAAUCGGACAAAUACAUGGAACAUGGUCUUGCUUAUUGUCCAACAUUUGUUUCCCAAUUUCCGAUUUUUUGUUUGACAUAGAACUUAACUGAACACAUCAGUUUAGUUUUGACCGGGCCCGAUACAUGGAUCAAAACAAAAUCAUCGAGGGGCCCAGAUAUCGCUUCUAAUCCUAGAAGGAACAGAUAAACUUCGAAUCAUAUGUUUGCUCUACUAAUUGUUGAAUUACACACAAAAGCACGGUUUAUAACAUCAUGUUACCAAUGCGUUUUUGUGCAAUCGAUGCAUAACCAAGUCAUAGGCAACAAAUCAUAUCUCUAGGUUUGAAGCCUUAUAUGAUAUUAUCGUCUCACGAUCACUCGAGAUGAAUUCCAUGAAGUGAUACAAGUGAGCGUGGGUUGAGUCCAAUACUCAGAACUUAUGAGCACUCAUGAGUGUUGUAGCCUCGCUUUGUGUAACAUCUCAGACCUCUACAAGCCAACCCAUGACAAUCCUGAUUCAUAUCUACUUCCAACAUAUGACCGACAGUGGACAGUUUGAAUAAUAUGAUAUAAACCAUAACAUAAUUAUUCUGGAAGUCAAAACAUUCAAAAACAAAUAAUAGUAAACGAUUGACAAGAGAUAGCAACACUUUACUCAUAAAUAACAACUUUUAUUUAUAAUCAAAUGACAAUUAGAUUUUACAAAUUUCAAGAUUAUCUAACUACUAAAACUAAUAUCAUCCUUCAGCCCUAUGCUCCGAGCAUGCUGGAGAUUCUUAGCCCGAGUCAGUCCCUUCGUGAAGGGAUCUGCUGGGUUCUCAUCUGAUGAUACCCUCUUUGCCACGAGGAUUCCUUCUUCUAUUCGAUGUCUGAUGAAGUGAUAUUUUAUGUCAAUGUGUCUGGAUCUCCCAUGAUCUCUUGGUUCCUUGGCUAAGGCAACCGCACUACUGCUGUCACAGAAAAUCUCCAUUGGCUCCUUUAUAGCUGGUACAACUCCAAGGUCUCCGAUGAAGUUCUUUAGCCAUAUAGCCUUCUUUGCUGCCUUGCUUGUUGCUAUAUACUCUGAUUCACACGUGGAAUCCGGCACUGUCUCCUGCUUGGAACUUUCCAAGUAAUUGCCCCUCCGUUUAGGGUAAAGACCCAGCCCGACUGAGAGCAAAAAUUAUCCCUGUCAGUCUGAAAGCUAGCAUCACUAUACCUUACAAUUCUCAAGUCAUCACUCCCACCAAGGGUAAGGACCCAGUCCUUAGUCCUUCGAAGGUACUUGAGAAUAUUCUUUACUGUAGUCCAGUGUGCCUUGCCAGGGUUCCCCUGAUACCUGCUAAUCAUGCUCAAAGCAAAGGCUACAUCAGGUCGAGUACACGUCAUAACAUACAUGAUCGAUCCUACAGCUGAAGCAUAAGGUAUUCGACUCAUUUUUGCUAUCUCAGCCUCUGUACUUGGACUCUGAGUUUUACUCAGUUUGGCAUUACACUGGAUAGGUAACUCACCAUUCUUGGAGUUAUACAUGUUGAACCUUUUCAACACUUUGUCCACAUAGGUGCUUUGACUAAGUCCAAUUAGUCUUAAACUCCUGUUUCUCAAAAUCCUUAUCCCAACGAUAUGGGCAGCUUCUCCAAGGUCCUUCAUAGCGAAACAAUUCCCAAGCCAGGACUUUACUUCCUGCAGGGUUGGGAUGUCAUUUCCUAUGAGUAGUAUGUCAUCCACAUAUAGUACCAAAAAGCUCACUAUACUCCCACUAGCCUUGAUAUAGACACAAGAUUCAUCUUCACUCCUUGGAAAGCCAAAUUCUUUGACUUUCUCAUCGAAGCAAAGAUUCCAUCAGUGAGGUGCCUAUUUCAAUCCAUAAAUGGAUUUCUUGAGUUUACACACUCUGUUGGGGUACUCUAAAAUGAAAAAACCCUCUGGCUAAACCAUGUAAACAUCUUCAGCCAACUUUCCAUUAAGGAAAGCGGUUUUAACAUCCAUUUGCGAUAUUUCAUAGUCAUGAAAUGCAACAAUGGCUAAAAGAACCCUAAUAGACUUAAUCUUGGCCACUGGUGAAAAGGUCUCAUCAUAAUCAACUCCAGGAGUUUGAGAAUAACCCUUUGCAACUAGUCGUGCCUUAUAAGUGUGUACAUUACCAUCCAAGUCGGUCUUCUUCUUGAAGAUCUAUUUGCACUCAACUAUCUUACGAUCAGGUACAUUGUCAACCAAGUUCCAAAAUUGAUUGUCAUACAUGGACUGUAUCUCGCUAUGCAUAGCCUCUUUCCAUUUUGCAGCCUCAGGGACUGCCAUGGCUUCCGUGUAGCUGUUAGAUUCAUCCAGAUUUACCAGUAUGUUAUCACUGAUAAGUGUUUCACCUUUUGUAGUAAUAUGGAAACCAUAAUAAUGCUCAGGUGCAUUCCUAACUGUGGUGGAACGACUCAGAGGUAUAGAUUCUUCAGUCGGCUCAACACGAGUUUCCUCAGGGUUUGAGAUUCCUUCACCACUUGACUCUUGAAUUUCCUCAAGGUCAAUUUUCCUCCCACUGUCUCCUUGGCUUAUGAAUUCUCUCUCUCUCUCUCUCUCAUGAAUCCUCUUCUUGCUACAAAGACCACAUUUUCACUGGUUCUGUAGAAGAUGUAACCAAAGGAUUUAUGUGGGUAGCCGAUGAAAAUACACCUUUCGCUUCGGGGUUCGAGCUUAUCGUGAGUCUCGCAUCUCACGAAAGCCUCGCAACCCCAAAUCUUGAUGUGGUCUAGAUUGGGAACCUUUCCAGUCCACACCUCGAGAGGUGUUUUGGCAACCUUCUCUUUAGGGACUAGGUUAAGGAUAUGGGCAGCAGUCUCUAAGGCAACCCCCAAAAUGAGAUUGGUAGCGAAACUUGACUCAUCAUGGAACGAACCAUGUCCAACAAGGUCCGAUUACGCCUCUCAGCUACACCAUUCAACUGUGGUGUCCUAGGAGGUGUCAGUUUUGAGACAAUCCCACAUUCCAUAAGAUAGUCAAGGAACUCAUUACUAAGAUACUUACCACGACGAUCGGAUCGAAGCAUCUUAAUGUUCCUGCCCAACUAAUUCUCCACUUCUUGCUUAAACUCUUUGAAUUUCUCAAAGGUUUCUGACUUAUUCUUGAUUAAGUAGACAUAUCCAUAUCUAUUAAAAUCAUCAGUAAAAGUCACAUAGAAGCGAUUAGCAUCUCUUGUGGCAGUUCUGAAGGGUCCACACACAUCCGUGUGUAUGAGAUCCAACAAACCUUCACCCCUAGCACAAGUGCCAGUAAAAGGUGACUUUAUCAUUUUACCAAGCAAACAAGAUUCACAACUAUCAUCCGACUUUAGGUCAAAUGACUCCAAGACUCCAUCCUUUUGGAGUUGGCCUACGCGUUUCUUGCUUACGUGUCUAAGACGACAAUGCCAUAAAGAUGCUUUAUCUAAGCUGGUGGAAGAGUCAAUACACAAUACAUUAUUUCCUAGAUUAUCUACAAUAGAUACAGUUUCAUACUCACCAUCACAAGGUAAUGCUUUAAAAUAAAGAACAUUAUUGAAGAAAGCAUCAAAACUACCAUUAUUAUUAUCAAAAUAAAAGGUAAAACCUUGUUUAUACAAUGCAUGAAAGGAAAUAACAUUUCUUGCCAUUUCUGGCGAAUAAUAACAUUUAUUAUAAUCUAAUCUAAACCCACUAUUUAGCACUAAGGAAUAAACUUUUAUCUUGGUGAUAGGGGACGCUUUCUUGUUUCCCAUGAUAAAGUUUAUCUUUCCCUACUCCACAUUCUUACUUCUUCUUAGUCCCUGCAAAUCACAACAUAUGUGAGUACGACAACCUGUAUCAAGGACCCAAGACUUAGAAUGAGGUGAGUUAUUAGACAAUAUAGUGUAUAUACCUGCAUGGUUGGGUUUUACUUUCCCAUCCUUCAAAUCUUGCUGGUACUUUGGGUAGUUUCGCUUCGAGUGCGACUUUUCAUGGAAAUAGAAGCAUUCAGCCUCAUUAGGGUUAGCAGAAGGAGUGACAAAACCUUUCUUGGUUUUGCUUGAAGAGGAGCCUUCAAGGGUCGUAUCCUUGGUACCCUUAGAAGGUUUCUUUCUCUUCUUCCCUUUGCCAUGCCCGAAUGCCAAGAUAUUGGCCGCAGUUGGAGUAGGAGUAGGAGUAGUAACAACCGACUUACCCUUUAGACCACUUUCGGAGGUCUUCAAGAGUCCUUGAAGUUUGUUGAGGGUGACUUCUUCCUUGUUCAUGUGAUAUGCCAUGCGGAAUUGAUCAUAACACGAUAGUAAGGACUGCAAAAUGAUGUCUAUUGCUAACUCCUCAGGGAAGUUCACAUCCUGCCUCAGUAAACGGUCCAUAUACCUUUGCAUUUUCUGCAUGUAGCCCGUGAUGGGUUCACCAUCCUUCAUUCGGGUUGUUAUCAUGGAUGAGAUUAUUUCAUAUCGCUCUUGACGAGCACUUUGAUGGUAGCGGUCCAUCAAGUCCUGGUGCAUCUCAAAAGGAUAAUAGUCCUCAUAGGACUUUUGAAGCUCGCCUGUCGUGGUGGCCAUCAUGAUGCAUGCCACUUUUGUAGCAUCUUUUUCAUGUACCUCAUAUUUAGCAAGCUCUUCAGGAGUAGCAGUUGGCUCGGGUACCUUCAGCUCCUUGUCGAGAACAUAUUCUUUGUUCUCAUACCGGGUGACCAUCGUGAUGUUUCUUAUCCAAUCAGUAAAGUUAGAUCCAUCAAAGAUGACUCUCCCAUAAAGAUUCAUGAGAGAGAAGGAGCUAGUAGGGUUUGCGCCAGAAGCAUUGUUAUUAGAAGACAUCUAAAAAGAAGAGGGAAUAUAUUAGAUUAGAUUUAGAGAUAUUCCUUAAUAAAACACCCAAAUAUAGUAUUAAGGCUAGGACACAACACAAUAUUUUAUAACUUAGAAGAGGGAUGCCGUAGUUUAAGCUAUAAGAUAUUUGAAGGUAGGUGAAUGAUGAUUCACCAAUUUCCACCAUAAAAACAAAAUAUUUAAUUAGGUUUUAAUUUGUUUAGAAACUCCUAGAUUCUUUGAGAUUCAUUGAAAUUUCUUCAAUGGCAUGUUUCAAUCUCGAGUGUGCCCUUCAAGUUUUGUGACUGGGAUGCCGAGGAUCACAAAACAAGGUGUGAAGUAACCAUGCAAAUUACUUGGUACCCUUAAUGUAUUACCCCUCAAUCGAUGUGUCGGUUAACCACACACGCUCCAUCGAUACUAUGAUAAACAUUAAGUCACCCUUUACCUACCUUGUUAAGUCCAAGUUAGUGUGCCGGUUAACCACACACGCUCCACUAACGACUUAAACAAAGUGUAAAGUGUAAUUUCAUGGAUUAGCACCUUAUUCACAUUUUCCUAAAAUAACUAAGAUUGGGAAUUCAAUAAAGUUUAGUUACUUUAGUAUUAUCAUUAUACUUUUAAUGAGAAUUUAUAAGUCCUUGUCCUACCCGUUCGGCUAACGACCCUCCACCGAUCAAGGAAGCGGUGGGUGAGAGUGGACACCCAUUAAGUUGNACUUGAUCUUAUACAUACAUACAUACAUACAUACAUACAUACAUACAUAUAUAUAUAUAUAUAUAUAUAUAUAUAUAUAUAUAUUAACGUAUAAUAUUAUAAAUUAUAAGGGUUGAAUUUUAACUUUUAAAAUUCUAAGGGUAGGAACUAAAGUUUUAAUCAUGACUUUAUUUGUUCCAAAACUUGAGGGCAAGUUUUGUAAACUUUCAAAACUUUUCAUUUCUGAUAACUUAUGAAUUUAAUUGAGUAUUAAAAUAAAGACUCUUCAUUUUUUCUAACUCUUGUGUUCUUUUAAUGGUUUUAUUAAAGUUUGACCUUUGGAUUUCCAUGACUUGAGGAAAAGUUAUGGACUCCAUUAAAACACAUAAUGAUCAAGAAUUAAACUACCAAGUAGGUUACAAACAGUUCUAAUGAUCAUAUAAUCUUCAUAAGUUCAAGAACAUGAAUAUGAACAUUCCAAGAAUCAUAAAUUACUCAUGAAACUUGUAAUGUUUGAUAAUAGCCAUUGUAAAUGGAUUAACAUAAACAUUACACCUUCUAAAACAAGUUUUAUAACACCAAAACAGUUUAGGGUAAUGUUUCUAGUCCAUUUCCAGCAGUAAAACACGAGAACUUGCAUUCUGCAAACUAAACUCGUCGAGUUCCCUAAGGAACUCGUCGACUUCAUGUGUUAACUCGUGAACUCGGAGAGUUUUUGGCCUGAACUCGUCGAGUUUUGCAAUCUGUACAGUUUUAGUUUUUGAAAAACCAACUUUUGCAUCAGGUAUCAUACAAACAAGCCUAGGCUCUGAUACCACUGAUGGGUUUUGAGCAUUCUAACACUCCUAUGGUGUACAUGCAACCUUGGAAACCUUGGAUCUGUGUUUGACUAAGAUACAUGCAAAUCAUUGUUUUUCCAAGGUUCUUAUCCUAUCUAGUAUGGCAUAGGGAACUUGAAUCAAAUAAAACUAGUAGAAUUACUUAUCUUGUAGUUGUAGUUGAUUGCUUGGAGUUUUAGAGCCUAGCACUAAUAGCAUGGAUGCCUAAAAUGGAAAUCACAAAUUACCACAAACUUUGGAACUUUGAGAGAAUAGUAAUCACCUUCUUGAAAUUGGCCCUCUUAUUAUACUCACCACAACUAGUGUGAUUUCAAGAACCAAAGCCUCCUUUAUAUAGUGUGGUGGACUAGGGUUACAUCCAUGUAAACCCUAAUACAUAUUUCUUUUCAUUUCCCUGAGAUCCAUGGAUUAAAGCUCCAUGGAGUAUCCAUGGACUUUCCAUGCAAGCCUAGCCCAUCCAAAUAAGCAUUAUCCCACACUAUAUAAAUACAAGAGCCCAUAUUUAAUUAGUCAUAAUUUUGAUCUCUAAAUUAAUUAUAGAUCAAUACUAAUUAAACAAUAUGAUUUUAUAUUAAUAUAUUAGAACUUAUAAUAUAUUAAUAAAUCAUAACUUCUACUAUUCUCAAAAGACUAUCCAUAAUUGUUCGGGUGAAGUGCAACCCAAAUGGACCAUGCCGGGUCGGGUUAUGUACUUACCAAGUAUAGUUAUGGACUUAGGCACUAUAUCCAACAAGACUAUCAUGAAUCUGACUAUAGAUUGUCUAGGUGUUUUAGACCUAGCACAAGUUUGCUGCAGUGUUGAUGACUUCUCCUGGAAUAAGAUUUGAAUAUUGGAUUAAACCCAAACUCAUCUGAAUCGCUUCAUGGAUUUUAUCACGAGUAAUUGUGAUACGAUAAUAUCUUAUAUUCUUAAAACAUAGACGUGUGAUUUGUAGCUUACAAAUUGGUUGCACAUUGAUGAUGCGUAAAUGCACUAGCAACUUGGUGUUAUAAAAUGCAUUGUGGUGUGUGAUUUGAUGAGUAAAUAUAACAAGCAUAUGAGUCAAAGUUUAUCCAUUCCUUAUACCCUUAGAGGGAUAAAAGCGAUAUCUAUGGGCCCCUCGAUGAUUUAGUGAUGACAAACCUAAGUGCUUGGCUAAGCCUGGACUGAUUUGAUUUGUUCAAUUAGUCGGUCGUCAUAAAUCAGAUAUCGGGAAACAACAGAUGGAUAGAGAGAAUGAUUAUAAUCCAUGUCUCAGUCCAUAUGAUAUCUUGUAUAAUGGAGGAAUAUAUGAUCCCCUAUCUAAUGGACGCAUCACUGACUAUUUCAGAGUUCGAUAGCGACUUUUAAGAGCUACGAUUGCUAGUCGGGAUUUUGGUGUCGUACUUGCAAUAAUAGUUAUUAGACUUAUCUAAGUGGGAGACUAUUGGAUUAGGUGUCUAAGCCCAUAACUAUAAGUGGUAUGUACUUGACCCGAGAAUAGCAUGGUCCAUUUAGGUUGCCUUCAACAAAGCAAUUUGAUAGGAUGAAAUUUUGAGAAGAGAUUAUUUGUGAUUUAUCAAUAUAUUAUAAGUUCUAAUAUGUUAAUAUGAAAUCAUAUUAUUUGAUUAGUAUUGAUCAAUAAUUAAUUUGGAAUUAAUUUAGUGAUCAAAAGAGACUAAUUAAAUAUAUGGGAACUGAUUAAUUAAACCAAUGGUUCUUAUAGUGUGGGCCAAUGAUCCAUGGUUAUUUAGGAUGGGCUAAACCAAUAUGAUAGUCCAUGGAUAGUCCAUGGAGGUUUAACCCAUGGAGCCUAAGUAAUAUGAAAGGUCAUGUGAAUUAGGGUUUGCAUGGAUGUAACCCUGGACUUUUCCACACUAUAAAAGGAACCCAUAGUCACCAAAAUCAGCCCCAUGCAUUCUAAGAAGAGUGGUAAAUGAUUUUGUCUGGUAAGUAGCCUCUCUCUUAAGUCCUCCUUUGUUCAUGGUGUUUGUGAACCAUUUUAGACAUCACAUUUGCAGUGCUAAAUUCUUAAAGGCCAAAACUGUUGGGUUUUGAGCAUUCUAACACUUCCUAAGUGUACAUGCAACCCUAAAUACCUUGGAUCUAUGUUUUCUCUAUUAUACAUGCAAAUAAGAACUUCCAAGGUAUUAUCCUAAUCUAGCAUACAAAACAAUAAUGUAACAAGAUAGAAUACAUACCUCUUGAUGUAGAAAGUCUUCAUGAAGCUUGAGUGCUUAGUGCCCCAAGUGUGACACCUCAAAUGGAAUCACAAUCAUCAAAACACUUAGAAUGACUUGAGAGAAUUCUACACUCACCAAAAUCGGCUAGCCCUUUCUUGAAUACUACUAGUGGCCGAUUUUUCCUCAAUAAUAAGAUGCUUAUAUAGUUACACAAUUAGGGUAAACUCUUAAUUGUCAUGGCUUUCCAUUUCCUUGGAUCCAUGGGUACAAAUACACCAUGGAGCAUCCAUGGACCAUCCUAUGGGUUUUAGCCCAACUUGAUUAUCCAUGGAGCAUUAGCCCACUAUACAAGUAUGGAUGAUUUACACAAUCAACCCAUAUAUUUAAUUAGUCUUCUUUUGAUCACUUAAUUAAUCCUAGAUUAAUUCUUGAUCAAUACUAAUUAAAUAAUCUUAUUAUUCUUAUCAUUAAUAUACUAGAACUUAUAAUAUAUUAAUAACCAUAAGUGUCUUAUUUCUCUCAUUCAAGUGCAUGAUGGUAUGCAACCCAAAUGGACCAUGCCGGGUCGGGUCAAGUCUUACCAAAUAUAGUUAUGGACUUAGACAUUAAUCCAACAGUCUCCCACUUGGAUAAGUCUAAAACUAUUAUUGCGUAUGACUUCAGGAACCAACCGGCAAUCGUAGCUCUCAAAAGCUUCUGUCGAACUCUGACCUUGUAGAUGAACUCUGACCUUUGUCAAUGACUUGUCCAUUAGAUAAGGGAUCAUAUAUUCCUCCAUUCUAGAUAUCAUAUGGACUGAGACAUGGAUUAUAAUCAUUCUCUCUGUCCAUUUGUUGUUUCCCGAUUUCCGAUUUAUGACGACUGACUAAUUGAACAAAUCAAAUCAGUCCUGGCCCGGCCGAGCACUUCCAUUUGUCAUCAUCAAAUCAUCGAGGGGCCCACAGAUAUCGCUUUUAUCCCGAAGGUAAAAGGAAUGGAUAAACUUCGACUCAUAUGGCUUGUUCUACUACUUGUUGAAUCAUACACAAAGGCACGUUUUAUAGCACCGAGUUACCAAAUGCGUUUUCGUGCAAUCAAUGUACUAUCAACUCAUAGUAACAACUCAUAUCUCUAGGUUUGAAGAAUAUAAGAUAUUAUCGUCUCAUGAUCACUCGUGAUAAAAUCCAUGAAGUGAUUCCAAUGAGCGCGGGUUGAAUCCAAUACUCAGAACUUAUGAGCACUCAUGAGUGUUGUAGCCCUUUGUCCAACACCUUAGACCUCUACAAGCCAACCCAUGACAGUCUUAAUUCAUAUCUACUUCCAACAUAUGACCGACUGUGGAUGGUUUGAAUAACUUAGUCAUUCCGGAAGAAUAACCCAGUUUAUUCGGGAAGUCAAAACAUGCAAAAUGAAACACAAUAAUAAUUGAAUCCAAUAUGGUAUCAACCCUUUGAACAUAAAUAAAACACCUUUUAUUUAUCACCAUAUGAUUACACAUUAUUCAUUGUAUACUGUUUCAGCUAUCAACUUUAUUCUUGAAUUUAAAACAAUAGUUGUCCCAUGCUCCAAGCAUGUACACUAUGUUUUCUUAAACACUAGUCAUGCCACACACCAAGUAUGCAUACUAUGUUUGUCUAUGAUCUUUACUUUGUGAACUAGAUCAAUUGAACAUAACUUCAAUGAUUCUCUUUUCACACUCCCAAAUCCUUACUGCAAAUGCAAGAAUUCCAAAUUCAUGCCAUUUACUGAAAUCUGUUAGAUUCUAAACUUAUAUGCAUUGAUCCUCUUGUAAUGAUUAUGCACAAAGUCACAAAGACUUGGCAACAAUCAUUACAGAGUAUUCCAAAGGAGAUCAACUCCUUGGAAAUAUCCUUCUUGCAUUAAGUUUCCUUAAUCUUACACAGAUUGAAAAUUCUAACUUUGAAACAUUUCCAGAUUCCAUUUUGACUAUCACUUCUGAACAAGAGUUGCCUCCUUACAGAUUAUGUCAAUAUGGUCCUUCCAGAAUUAUCACUAUACUUCCAAUUGUCCUUGAGUAACCAAUCUUUGGUAAACCUUAGAUUGUCCUCGACAAUUGUUUAAUCCUUUUAGUCAUAUCCAGUUCUAAACCUUUUCCCUUCUUAAUGCCCCAGGCAUUUGGAAAAUUUUAGAACGGAUGAAUAUAGCACAUGUAAUCGAUCCUAUAUCCGAAGCAUAUGGGACACGAUUCAUGAUGUCUUACAUAAAGACUAAACCAGUCUUUUGCUAUAAUAUUUCCAUUUCAAUUUGCCAAGUUCUCAUAAUUCAGAUUAUGAAAAGGGAUGCCGUAAUCAUAAUCGAAUUUUAGAACGCAAAUAAUGGACCCAUAUACAGAAUUUCCUUAUGUUGAGCCAUUCCAACAUGAAAUUCAUAUAUAUCCUUGACUAAAUGAUUAAAACCUCACGAUCUAAGCUUAUAGAUUUGAGAUGAAGCAUAAUUUCCUCUCCCUUAAUUAUAGCAAAACAACUUUUUCCCAAUUGAAACUUUUGUUUUCUAUAAUUAACAUUGCUAACUUGCAAUACUUAUCAUAAUUAUCAUGCUCCCACUAACAUGAUGAUUAUUAGCAUAACACUUAUGCUCCCACUAGCUUUGACAUGUACUCAGAAAUCAGCUGGACAGUCUGAAAUUUAGAUUCAUACACCCUUUCCGUAGAUAGCUCACCUGUGUGUCUAAGCAAUUUCAAGAACCAUGAAAAGGGAUACCGUAAUCAUGGUCUCAAUUGCUUAGGCAUUUGCCAUUUCUCACAAGUCCAUGUUAGUGUGCCGGUUAACCACACGCGCUCCACUAACGACUUUUGAAAAUGCAAAUAACACAAUUGAUAUCUUCGUAAAAUCUACUUAGUGAAAGCGUUUCCUCACCAUCAUUUUCAUGAAUCGGAGAGAAACCUUAUGACACUUAGAUUUAUAUGGUGUAUGAGUUCCUACCCAUAUGAAUUUGUCAAACCAUAAUCACAAGACAAAGAUAAUGACAAAUCCAAAACCAUAUGGAUUGAACUCAAUCUUAACUUCUUGCCACCUGGCAGCUCAAGGGCCUGCCAUUGCUUCCAAGUUGUUGUGCAACAAAUUGAGAACUCUAAGAACUCAUAUGCAAAACCAACUUUAACUGGAAUGGGCACAGAAUAUGUCAACACGAUAGGUUAUGAACCUCAAGUCGUGUGCUAGUGAAGAACUUUAGGUUUUAUUCUUGAUUAUUUCUUGAGACUUUCAAGACCUUUAAGACUCCCACUGUCCUCUUGACAUAUAAGACUCCCUUGUCAAACAUCCAAGAGAUAGUGCGGAUUCUAAUCAAGAAAAACACUUUACCCAAUUGGCCUAAGUUGGUCUUUGUUUUAUCCAAAACAUCACAACUUACCAAUUUCAAAUGUACAAGAGUAGAAAACUUUUACUCUUACAUUUGACAAGUGUUUUAAACCUUCUUUAAGACAUGUCACUCAAAUGACAAUCUUGGAGUAUGACUCUAAGACUUGUAUUGGAACGAAGUAUGACUCAUCU
rnacentral:lncRNA from 1 species